rnacentral:lncRNA from 1 species
UUUAUCCAAUUCUUGUGGCCAUGCAAAGCCCUUGUCUUUCUCUGCCCCACUUUCCACCCACACCUCUCACUCCACCCCCUCACCUCUCCUCUCUCUCACCUCCCACUUCUCCACGGCCACAGCCGCUGCCGACAAGCACACGCCCCAUCUCCUUUCUCUCUCCUCCCCCCUCCGUCGCCGGAAACCCCUGCUGCACCACCUCCCUCCGCCGCUGCCCCGGAAUGACCGUUCUGCUGCCUUAACACUGGGACUCUCUAGCCGGAGAAUUACUUGCAAGGCGACGGAAGUGUCGGUGGCGGAGGAGCCGUCGGCUGCGGGCGAUGGCGAGAACUGGGUGCCAGUGGUGCCGCUGUCGGCAUUGCCCAAGGGGGAGCGGCGCGUGAUUAUACAGGACGGAGAGACGAUUCUGUUGUUGUGAUUAUACACGAAAUUUAUGUGAAGAAUGAAAGGCUCUUUUGAGGCUCAUGCAAGCCAUGUAAGAAUUUUAUGUGGCCUUGGUGUAUAUUAUUAUGUGAUAUUCCUUUAAAUAUUAUGGUCUAAUAAAUAAUAAAACUAAAAUUUUAUUUCCUAAAUUAAAGGUACUUUGAUGAAAAGCAUACUCCUCAUUCUAUAUGGAAAUUGAUCUUCUCUCCAUCCUAUAAAAUAAAUGUUCAGAAAACCUAAGGAUAAAAGGGUUUAGGGAGAACAACACAAUUUCUACUUGGCUUAUUGUUUGGUCUCUUCAAGACUUCUAUAUAGUUUAAAGGUAUGUCUUUUCUCAAUAAUGGAAUUGUGAAAAUCAUAUUAUUCUAUAAUUCUUGACUAUUUUGAUUUAAGUAAAAUUAGGAUUUGAUUUACAUAAUUAAAUAAUUACUUAUGAGUUUCAUUGGUGAGCAUAUAAUACCAUUGACAUAUGUUGAUUAAGUGACAUGUAUACCUUUGAUGCUACUGUAAUGAAGUUUAUGAUAAUAAAAGUUUAUUUUAUCAAUUUUCGAUAUGUUAUAUACAAUGUAUGUUUAUGGCUAAUAUAUAAAGUGAAUGACUUUCUUGAUUUAUGAAAUUUAGUGAAUCGAUUUAUGCAUCAACCGCUUUUGAUUGAACCAAAAGUAUGAUUUUGUUCAUGGUAUUGCAUCUUCAUCAUCAAAAUAGAUAUCUAUAUGUAUGUGAAAUAAAUUAUGCUAUAUAUAUAUGUCAAUAGUGAAUUUUGUGUCUUCAAUGGUAAUGUUUUAACGAUAUACAUAUACUAUAUAUAAAAAACCAAGAAAAUUCUAUAAGAGUAAACACAUUGAGAGGAAGUACCACAUAAUCUAUAGAUAGUACAAAAAGGUGAUAUGGUAGUUUAGAAGAUAUCUUUCGGAAAGAGCCUAAUAGAUUCAUAUACUAAGACAUUGACUGGAAAAGUCUUUGAUUGUAACCGGGACAACAUAGGUGUCAGAUAUGCACCUAAUUUACUUUUAUUGCAUUAUGUUUUGAGGGCUUAUGGAAGAUUGUUAUGAUAUCAUCCUACAAAGCUUUACAUGAUAUAAGACAUUUGGAUUUAUCAUUUAUUUAAUUAUAUUCUAAUUGCUCUUUUAUCUAUGCUUGUAAUAGAGAGUUCCCUACGCUCAGAUCCCAACACUUAUAUCAUAUAAAAUAAAGUUUCAUGCUAGUAGAAUAUCUAAAUAUAUUCUUGGUAGUUUUUGGUCAUGCAUGCAUUCGCAUAACUUUGGGCUAUGCACAAUAAUUUUCCAUAUAAUUGGCUUUUAGGUAUAAAUUUAAUUUCUAUAUGAAAUCGUUCAAUAUAUAACUUUCUGCUACAUGAGUCUAAAAGUUAUUAACUUCCAUGCAUGGUGCGACUGGUGGGGUUUCCAGUCACUUGGAAACCAUGUCCAGAUACAUAUGAAGAGAUCAAUAAAACCAACCUUCCACUUCCUACAAUAAUCGUUUACCAAGUGUAUCUUCAAUCCUAAGCCAGUCUGGUAUUCGUUGUUGCAGCUCCUGUAAACUGGCCUCUGCUUGGUCCAGCUCCAGAUAUAGCUGCUCUACUUCAGCUAUCUUCUCAUUCAAGCGCCUACGAAUCACGUCCCUCUUGCCCUCUGCUUGUGCAUACUCAACUAAAGGUUGCACUCCAACAAAUGGGCUUCUUAACCAAUCAACCUUAACCUGAGCCCUCUCCAAAUCACUCAAUGUUCUAUCAAUGAAGUAGGUGUCUGCACCAGACAGGCUACGGGCAGUAUUCUUCUGCAUCAGCUCCACAAUCUGCAGUAUGGAACCUUUGAUUAUCUCUACAAACUGGGGUGCUGUAAAGGAGCAAUUGGCAGUUACGUCUCCAUAUUUGGUCAAUAUUUGCUGCCAAAUCGACUCCCUGGUAUUGGAAGUUACACCAGAUCCCUCAACCAUCUCAAGAAGCCCUGCAGCGGCUGUGUUAGGAUCUGUGAGAGUUUUGUCUGUGUCCUCAGCUUCAGUUGGAGCGAAGGUAGUUUGGAUCUCCUAAAGCCCAAAAAAGAGAAGGAAAAGUAUAGAACUUGUGCUUGGAAUUAACCAACAAAAAAGAUUAAUUUUGAUGUAAAAGUGCCCAAGGAAAAAUAUUUUGGUAGUUUCAGUUGAAAAUUUUGACAAACCUUGUCAGCUCCCGAAGCACCUUCCACUUCAUCUGAAGGCCAAUUAAGUGUAUCUAGGCAUUGCAACCUGUGAUUAUGCUCAAGAUGAAGUUUUGUGAUCACCCAUUGUCCAUUGUCAAGUUUGACUUGGAUCUGGACAUUGCAACCUGUUCUUGUUUCUGAUCUCUUAUACUUUGUUCCCUGGUUGGGAUGCUUCUUGGUCCGGAAGCCUUCACAUGAACAAAGAAAGCAUCGCCCUUUCAGUGUACCAUUUGCUUUCCUUUGUACCUUUCCUUUUCUUACUGUAAAACCAAUUCUCUUGGCAUACUUUUUACAAAAUUCUUCAGCUUCUAACUCAGAAGAAAACGCCAUCCCUCUCCGUGGUAUCUGAUCAUCGUCUUCAGGAUUUUUCUCAUUUACAUUAACCAAUGUUCCAAUCUCAUCACCAUUUACAUUAAUAGCCAUUUCAGUCUCACCACUAUAGAACGAACUCCACCAAGAAUCAAAAUUAAGCUCAUCCUGUACAAAGUGAGAUAGAGAGAGAAGUUUUCUAUGAGAAAAAUGAGAAGCAAAAAGCGGUACAAUGCAUAACAACAAUUUUCUUCUGUUACACCAACUAUUGAUUCAAACUACAUCUUAUCCUGUAACUCUUGUAGAACAAUGAAUUAAUAUAAGAAGAGUGACACUGUAAGACGGCUUAUAGACAAGUAGAUGGAGCAACAAAUUCUUGAUUUGCUGGUUGCAGCUUUAUUUGGGCAGAAAAGUUCAUGAAUUAUUUAUCUUUAAAAUUAACCGUUGUUCUAGAAAAUGGAUCGAGCUUACCUGGAUAGUGAGGCCCCUGAAGGAACCGCCAACUCUGUGGUGGUUUACUAAAUCAUCAGAUUCCUGUAUGGCACCCCAAACAUCUGGGCGUGAACCGAUGGAACUAUACCUGCCAAGAUGAUAGGGUUCGAUAGACAUUCUGGUGCAGUUGAUGGGUGUGGAUCCAGAGGAUCGGUGCUUGAUUGCUUUGCUUCCGGCUGGACCUUGGGAUCUCGCCUUCUCAAGACAGGACUCGUUUUAUAGCUCUCGCAGCCUGCUGUGUGGGACAGCGUCCCUUUUUCCUUGUUUGCUUUGCUUCCAUUUCCAAAUUCCAACCCACUGCGCUUUGACCAAAUGGUCCAAAUCUCCAUUUCUCGGCGACGUCGGUGCGUUCGGUUCUCUUUUCCCUUGUUUUAUUUCCUUCAGUGCCUCUUUCCUCCCAAGAGGCUACUACUCGCCCUCUCAAAAAGUCAAAACUUUAGAAACAUUAAAUAUAUAUAUUUUUUUUUAAAUAGAGAACUAUCAAAACGGUGGGCGGAAAGUGAUAAUCCUUUUUAAAAGUCAUCAUGUUGACCAAUUCUACUCUUCGAGUAAUCAUUUGAAAGCUUAACCAUUCGAAAUUUUCAAUUAUAUCCUAUUUAAACUUUAUUUUUUUAUUUUUUUUCUUUUGUAUUAUUAUUAUUAUUAAAUAUUAAUAUUACUCUUAAUAUUAUUAUUUAUGAUAUUAGUAUUUUAAAUUAUUCAUAUUAUUAUUAAUAUCAUUCUUAUUAAUAUUAUUUAUUAUUUUUUUAUUAUUAUUCAUAUUUUUAAUAUUAUAUUAAAAAUAAUAUUAUUAUAUUUUUAUUACUACUACUACAAAGAAACCUUAGGAGAUAAUUUAUAUUUUUUAGUUCUUAAAACUUGUAAACUUUAUUAAAAAAUUAUUCUUUUUUUUCAAUUUAUACUUUAUAUGUUAUAUUAAGAUUAAUUAAAUUAUUAUUAUUCUUCUUAUUAUUACUAUUAAUAUUUAUGAUAUUAGUUUUAUAUUAUUAAUAUUUUAAUAAAAUAAUAUUAUAUCCAAGUUAUAGAUAUAAUAAAAAUGCAUUGAUGUUAAUGAUAUAGUAGAAUAAAACAAUGUUUCUAAUAUAGAUAAAUACAACAUUUAUCUAUUGAAUUUAUAACAUAAAUACAUUAAAAAUACAAUAUAUUACAACAUUUUUAAUAGUUUUCAUGUAAAAAUAAAAUAAAAUUUUAUCAUUCAAUGCGCUUUUUCUAUUUGAGUCGUAACACCCGACUUUUUCUUUUCCUCUUUAUCAUUCAACGCGCUUUUUCUUUUCUUUGUUGCGUAAAAUAUUUGAAGUUUUGUUGUGAGACUUGCUUCGAUCACAGUUGUAUUCUCAAUUUUGCAAUUAAGCAAAUUUAGCUUUAUUAGUCAGUUGUGGUUGAUAUAAAUGAACUUUUUCUACUGCAAUUAAGUCAGGACUCAUAUCUCAGACUUGGUGUCUCUACUGCUCAGUAAUGGCUGCUGCUGCUGCUUCUUCUGCGUCUUCUCAGGGGCGCUAUGAUGUGUUCCUGAGCUUUAGAGGGGAAGACACCCGCAAUAACUUCACUGCCCAUCUCUGUGAGGAGUUGCACACCAAAGGAAUCAACACUUUCAUAGACGAGGAGAAGCUCGAGAGAGGGCAAGCCGUAUCUGCUGCACUUGUUUCUGCUAUUGAAAACUCCAUGUUUUCUAUCAUUGUUUUAUCAGAAAAUUAUGCAUCUUCUAGAUGGUGUUUAGAGGAGCUGGUGAAGAUAAUACAGUGCAUGAAAAACAGGGGGCACAGGGUUCUCCCAAUUUUCUAUAAUGUGGCUCCCUCGGAUGUGAGAAAUCACAAGGGAAAAUUUGGAGAAGCCUUGGCUAAACAUGAAGAGAAUUCCAAGGAGGGUAUGGAGAGGGUGCAGAUUUGGAAGGAUGCUCUCACUCAAGUCACCAAUUUCUCUGGUUGGGAUUCAAGGAAUAAGUAAUUAUUUAAAGCUUUUUUUCACUCUUACUUUUAUUUUUUAUUUUUAAUAUUGCCAUUUUAAAUGCUCUUGCUAAUUCAACUAUUAGUUAUUACAACACAAAGGGUAUGAUAAUAUAUACCAUGUUAACAUUAUCUGAUUAAAGGACUGGGUUCAUAGGAUUUAGAAAUAUUUUACUGGACUUUUUUAAAUUAGAUAUAAGAUACCAACCAUAUCUUGACACAUAUUCUCAUAUUCUCUUUAUUUUUAUUAUCUUUUUGUAGAUAGCUGGACUUAUUAUGUGUUUAUGCUUUAAAUAUGACAGGAAUGAGUCUCUACUAAUCAAGCAAAUUGUUAAAGAUAUUUUGAAUAAAUUGUUAUCUUCAUCCGGUAGUGAUACCAAGAAUCAAGUUGGAAUAGAUGCUCACAUACAAGAAAUGGAAACCUUAUUAUGCUUGGCGUCAGAUGAUGUUCGAAUGGUAGGAAUAUGGGGCAUGGGUGGAAUAGGGAAAACAACCCUUGUCAGAGCUGUUUAUAGUCGAAUCUCCUAUCAAUUUGAAGGUUGCUCCUUUCUUGAAAAUGUUGCAGAGGGUUUAAAAAAGAAGGGCUUAAUUGGGUUGCAAGAGAAACUUCUUUCUCAUCUAUUAGAGGAAGAAAAUCUAAAUAUGAAAGAACUCACAUCUAUAAAGGCAAGGCUCCACUCAAAAAAGGUCCUUAUUGUUCUCGAUAACGUGAAUGAUCCAACAAUAUUGGAAUGCUUAAUUGGAAAUCGGGAUUGGUUUGGUCAAGGAAGUAGAAUUAUUAUAACGACUAGGGAUAAACGUUUAUUACUUUCACAUAAAGUCAAUCUUUAUAAGGUUCAUAAAUUCAAUGAUGAUGAAGCUCUUGAGUUUCUUGCACGUUAUUCAUUAAAACACGAACUCCUUCGAGAAGAUUUCCUAGAGCUUUCAAGAGCUGUGAUAUGUUAUGCUCAAGGCCUUCCAUUGGCUCUUACGGUUUUGGGUUCUUUUUUAUUUAGCAUGAGCAAAGAAGAAUGGAGAGAUCAAUUAGACAAAUUAAAAAGUAUUCCUAAUAUGAAAAUUCAUGAAGUUCUUAAAAUAAGUUAUGAUGGGCUAGAUUUUGAGGAGAAGAAUAUAUUUUUGGAUAUUGCAUGUUUCCUUAAAAGAGAGGAUAAAAAUUACAUUAAGGAAAUACUAGACUAUUGUGGCUUCUUCUCAGUUAGUGGUAUACGAGCUCUCGUUGAUAAGUCACUCAGUAAGUUUUUUUCACAAUAGGAUAAUGAUGCAUGACUUAAUACAAGAAAUGGGUAUGGAAAUUGUUCGCCAAGAAUCUCAUACUCCCGGCCAGCGUAGUAGAUUGUGGCUCCAUAAAGAUAUCAACGAUGCAUUGAAAAAAAACAUGGUAAGAGCAAAAAAAUGAAAUUUAUUUUAUGCAACACAAGUUAAGAUUUGAAAUUAUUUUGGCUUAAGUAGUUAUAUGCUAAUAAAAUUGUAGCAGACAUAUAUUUAUUCACUAUGCAUGUUUUUAACUUAGUCUCCUUCUUGGUAUGCAGGAAAAUGAAAAAAUUGAAGGCAUAUUCCUCGACUUGUCUCAUUCACAAGAGAUAAUAGACUUUAGCACUCAAGCCUUCCCAAGGAUGUAUAAACUAAGAUUGCUCAAAGUCUAUGAAUCUAACAAAAUUUCAAGAAACUUUGGAGAUACCUUAAAUAAGGAGAAUUGUAAAGUGCAUUUUUCUCCGAACUUAAGAUUUUGUUACGACGAAUUGAGGUACUUAUAUUUGUAUGGAUACUCUUUGAAAUCAUUGGACAAUGAUUUCAAUGCAAAGAAUCUUGUUCACCUCAGCAUGCAUUAUAGUCACAUUAAACGACUUUGGAAAGGAAUCAAGGUAUGAUUAUGAUGUAUUGAUAUUAUUUUCUUUAAAAAGCGUUUAAUGUGCAUGAAAGCUAAUUUUUAAGUCAACUUUCUUUCAUGGUAGGUUCUUGAAAAGUUAAAAGUCAUGGAUCUCAGUCACUCCAAGUCCUUAAUAGAAACCCUAGAUUUCUCAAGAGUCCCCAAUCUUGAACGAUUAGUUCUCGAAGGUUGUAUAUCUUUGCAUAAGGUACAUCCGUCUCUUGGAGUUUUGAAUAAACUCAAUUUCUUGAGUUUGAAAAAUUGUGAAAAGCUCAAAAGUCUUCCAAGCAGCAUGUGUGAUUUGAAAUCCCUCGAAACAUUUAUUCUUUCUGGUUGUUCGAGACUCGAAGAUUUUCCUGAGAACUUUGGGAACUUAGAAAUGUUAAAGGAACUUCACGCAGAUGGUAUUCCUGUAAGAGUACUACCCUCCUCUUUUUCGCUCUUGAGAAACCUUGAAAUAUUAUCCUUUAAGGGAUGUAGAGGACCCCCAUCUACCUCAUGGUUGUUGCCAAGAAGAAGUUCAAGUUCUACUGGUUCCAUACUGCAUCAUUUGUCUGAUGUAGGACAACCCUAGGAUGGUUGCCUACACUCAAGGGUAGGUGGGCUAGGGUUUUAUUUUUAGGGUGUAAGGAGGGGAACAAGGAAUAAACUUUAUGGUAGAGAAAAUUAUAAGAUAAGAAAAAGAGAGAAAGAAGAAACAAUGAAGAAAAGAUGGAAAACCUUAGAGUCUCACUAAGGCCUUCUAGGAGUCUCACCUAGAAGAAAAUCAAUGGAGUCUCACCAUUGAGGGUUGCAACCUUGCAAUGAAAGAAAGUAUAAUAUUAUUCAUCAAAAAUUCAUUCCUUUGAUUUACAUUGAUUAGCCUAUUUAUAGGCUUCUCUAAGAAAUCCAAAGUCUACUAGGACUCUAAUAACCUAUUCUACUAGGACUCUAAUAGGACUCUAAUAACCUAUUCUACUAGGACUCUAAUAACCUAUCAUGACUCAAAUUCUAAUUAUAUUAAUCCUACUUAAAGUUUACUUAGGUCUUCCCUUUCUUCCUUGAAUAAACUUUAAAAGGCUUUCCCCCAUCAUUGUCAGGUCUAUAUUCUUUAACAAGGCUAAACCUAGGUUAUUGUAAUUUAUCAGAUGAAACAAACCUUAGCAGUCUUUGCCUCUUAUCUUCAUUGGAAGUGUUAGAUCUAUCUGGGAACAACUUUGUUACUUUGCCAAACAUCAGGGGACUUUCUAGCCUAGAAGGUCUGUUGUUGGAGAAGUGUAAAAGACUGCAAGUACUGCCAGAACUUCCAUCAAGCAUAUAUAGUUUAAUUGCGCAAGAUUGCAUAUCAUUGGAAAAUGCCUCAAAUCAAGUACUCAAGUCACUCUUUCCAACUACAAAGUCCCCGAAGAAAACUUUCAAGGUGGGUUCUAUUUGUAUACGAUGUAUCAUAAUUUUAAUUAUAUAUGCAUAUAUAUAAUUAUUUCGAUUCUAUCUCUCUAACAUCCUAAUAAUUUUGAUUCUACAGCGUAAUUCGGGUGCACACUUGAUAUAUGUGAUGGUUUAUGGGAGUAGAAUACCAGAUUGGAUAAGGUAUCAGAGCUCAGGGUGUGAAGUAGAAGCAGAUCUACCUCCAAAUUGGUAUAAUUCCAACUUGCUGGGUCUUGCUUUGAGCUUUGUCACUUAUGUUUUCGCAUCUAAUGUGAUUAUUCCAGUAUCGUAUACCUUGCGCUAUUCAACAUCCAGUUACAUUGCUAACCGCAUUAGUAUCAGAUUUGAUAAGGAAGGUGUAGGGUUAGAUCACGUGUGGCUACUUUAUAUAAAACUCCCCCUCUUCAGCAAUUGGCAUAAUGGAACUCCCAUAAAUUGGCAUGAAGUGACUCACAUCAGUGUAUCAUUUGGGACUCAGGUCAUGGGGUGGUAUCCUCCGAUUAAGAGGAGUGGGUUUGAUCUAGUGUACAGUAAUGAUCAAGACGUGAAUCCCCCAGUGAUCCAAUUCAGUUCUAUCUCCUCUCCUCCUCUUCCGAACAAGUCAACAGUAGUCCUUAAAGAAAUCCAUAAGAAGGAGGAACCCAGUGGAAGUGAGUUGUCGAAUGUUGAUGGCUCAGAAUCAGACAGCUCUGAUUACCAUACUGCUGAUGAGGAAGAACCCACAACUGCAAAAGAAACUGACCGCUCAGAGGAUCACUCUGAAUCAGAGAUGCGGCCGCAGAAACGUUUGAAGUGCAGGCAUUAUGAGGGCAUCCCUUGAUGAUCGGAGAAACAGACCUAAAACUCUUCCCAUAACAUCAUCUCUUGGUAAUGGUAGGUUGUGUGUUUCUUUUCUUUCUGCCUUUCUUUCUUAAUCUGAUUUUCAACAUUUUUGCUUGGGUAGAUGUCUUAAGAUCAUUUAGAACUGUUUAAAGCGGGAACUAAAAAAUCCCAUAACACUGUUUGAAAUUAGAGUACUCUCACAUAUCGUCGAUUUCAUGCUUAAUCAUCCCGGGAUACACAUGGUUCCAUAUCAUUAGAAUCAUUUGUAUUAAUAAUGCAUUCUCAGUUUACUAAUUGUGGCAACUAAACAGAGUCCCAAAAUCUCUCUCGGGGUUGAUCAUCUUCAAUAGAUACGCAUUGUUUUAGCAGUGAUAAUGUAUUUUGUGAAUUGCAGUCGCAUGAUCUCCAUUCCUGUGAGCAUUGCAAUUAACUAGGGAGAUUAUUUUAGUGGGGGUGAUGCUACAGCACCAGCGAAGGAGCAGAAGCAGAAGCAGAAGAGAGAAAAGAUCUUGUAACGGAACCCAAUCUUCCAUAAACUAACUAUUUUUGGAUUGUUUUUCAUUUCUAGAAAUGGAACGACUAUGUAAAUUAAAGGAUUACUGGAUUCUUCAAUUCAAAGAGUCAUCACAAAUUUGAGUCACUACUCACCUACAUUUGAUUUCAUUCCUUCUACUAUCUCCACCUUGCUCCUUAAUUCUUAUAAUGAUAAAUGUGUUAUAUAAAAUUUUGAUUAUAUUUCAUUUAACCAUUUUUGCAUUAGGGUCACAUCUCUUAGUCGUAUAGAUAUUGUUUACUUUAAUCCAAAGGACUCCCACGAUUUUAAAACGCACCUAUAAGGUUAAAAGGAAUCCAUGCAUAUAUAGAUAUAUCACAUCCAAUAGGGUGAAAAAGCUUUUACUCUCUUACGCCAUCCCUUCCCAUGAAACCCUCUAUUUUGUGCCCACCUAUACCUAUCCUUUCCCUCUUUCUCUCAUGGGCAUAUCCUUUGCAUGAUACACAUUUUAAUCAACAAAUUAUAAUUAAUUUGUUCACUAAAAUAUUUCUUUAGGUUGUAUUUGGUUCCAAAAAUUACUAAGAAAAAAAAAGAAAAAUAUAAAGAAAUAUUAUUUUUUCAUAUUUGGUUAUCGUAUGAAAAAUAUAUAAAAAAUCAAAUAUAAUUAAAAUUAAGUAAAAUUUUUUGUAUGUUUAAAUUAUUUAAUUUUUAUAUCGAUGAGUUAAAAUAAAUAAAGUCAGUUUAAAGUAACAAAUAAAAAUAAAAUUUCAAAUUUUAAUCUAUUUUUUUAUUUUUCUUUAUUGUUUUUUUCUUUUACUUUUUCUUUCUAUUUUCUUCCUCCCAUAUUUUCCCCUAAUUUUCCACCUUAAAAUUGUAUUUUUGUGAUAACUUUCGAAUAUAUUUGACAUAGUGGUUGCCUAGGGUUCAUUCUAAACCAUUUGUUUGGAUUUCGAAUAUAUUUGACAAUUUUUUAAAUCCUUCCUCCCACCUAUACCUAUCCUUUCCCUCUCUCUCACACACACAACCAUCCCGUUCGGGCCAUUCCCAUGAAACCCAUUUUUUCUCUCUUUUCUCAUCCCUCUCACAAAUCACAACCACUUUUUUCUUCCUUUCUUCUCAUCAUUUCAUGUUCUUUAUUUUUUUUCUCUCUCUCUCCCUCUCUUUCUUUUUUCCAUAGCCAUUUUCAUCUGCCCAUCACCGACGCCACCAUCCAUUGUCCGCCGCGACGUGCCACUACCGACGCUGGCGUCACUCUUUCAUGGCUUCCUCCUCUCUCAUCUCAUCAUUUCUCUCUUCUUCUCUCCCUCUAAAAUACCAAGAGCAUGGCAUGGAGGGAAAAUGGGAAGUUCGGGUGAGCUAAACACCAAGGCAACUUGUAGAGUCAUUGCUAUGGCUACUUUCAUCUUGUUUUCAAGACAUGCAUGGGUAUACUCUUUGAUCUCUACACAGUAGAUGUUAGUAAUUUGUGGGUUUUGUUUUCAUUUGAUGUUUUGUUUAUUGAUUUAUAUUUUUGAUGUUGGGUUUGGACUUGUUGGAUUUUGUUUAAUUCUUUUAGGCGUCAAUUAUUAAUGUUAGGCUUGGUUAUUCCAUGCAGACUUGGGCCUGUGCGUAUUGAAUAUUUAGGUUGGGCCUCAUUCCUUGAUUUGAGCCUGGUAGGGAGGUUUUGGACUUGACCUUGGGUUAAUUUUAUCCUUUAUAGUUCAUUUAUGAUUCAUUGUCGUGUUUAGAUCAUUCAAAAAAUUUGUUUUCAACUAUGUUCUUGAAAAUAAUUUCACUAAAAGUAUCAGAAAUCAGAAGGUGUCCAAUUAGUCGAGUUUUAAAAAUAUUGUUGACAAAUUUACCAAUAAAUUCUUAACAGCCCAACCACCCAAAAUAUAAUUGCCUACUUGAAUGAAAUAAAUAAUAAACUUUAAUUUAUACAAAAUAUUUAUUAUUAUAAUUAAUAUUUUAAUAUCCUUCAUUUAAAAAUAAAAUGAAUAAAUAAAUAAAUAAUCAACACAGACUCUUCUUCAAUGAUCGCAUUUAAUUUACUGCAAAUUUUGCUAAGAGUAUAUUAUUCCCAAUUCUCAUUUUCAUACAUAUUCUAUUAUUUUUCUUUUGCAAAUAAUCAAAUAUAGUUAUCUGUUUGUUUGAUUUGUUCAUCAAUUUGGAAUUAUAUGUAUCUUUUUGUUUCCCACUGGAUAAUUUAGGAUUCACAACUCAAAAUUUCUGAAUCCAUCUUCUCCACUCCUCAUAAUGGCUGAUCCUUCUUCUUCUCCCUUUCUUUACAACAGGGCUAUAACGUGCUCUUGAGCUUUGGAAGAGAAGAGAAGACACCCACAAUAGCUUCACUGCUCAUCUCUAUAAUGAGCUUGAAAAGGUGUUUAUACUUAUGAUAUCUUAAUCUAAUUUCUAGAUUUGGACUCAAUUUUUCGUAAUCAUGUUUUUUUUAUUAAAAAAUGAGUUACAUUAGAAUUUUAUUUCUUAUAUUAUUUUUCUUUAAAAACAAAUAAAAAUAAGUAAUGGCUCUAAUUUUUAAAAAUUAAUAUGUUUUUUAAUAAAAAUGAGUUUCACCAUUAAAUGGAAAUACAAGUAAAACAUACAAAUCAUAGUUUCAUUGUUGUUUUCCUCUUAUGAUCUUUUAUGUUUAUAAAGAGAAAUAUGAAAAAAGUAAUACAAAAGGUAAAAUUAAGUCCUUAUACAAAUUCUAAAAACUGAUGACCCCAUAGACUACUUAUCCUUGCCAAUUCACACUGUUCCACAAUUUUGCAUGUUCACAUUGCUCAAAAUAAAACUAUUAUAGAUCAAAAGAUGCGUCUAGGUUCAAAGAGUUUAGCAGAUUUUUAGGAAUGCUAGUUGAAGGGUGAGAUGAAGAAAUCUACUUGUUGCUGAGUAAGUUGAGGAAAAUGGUCGAAAGCAGGACAUCUUGCAAAGGAAGGAAGAAGAAAUCGGUGUCCGUUUCUCACUUUGAAAUGGAGCUUAGAAGGUUGGAUUGUUCGAUUAGUUAUGGAGAUUUUGUGUUCACUUCCAAAAAGGGUGGCAAAAACUAUUGGGAGCUAAUUUUGGUGGAUUGAUGAAGAUCAAAUCCUCUCUUGGAAUGUUAGAGGGCUCAAUGACAGGGAGAAAUAAAAACUGCUUAAGUCAGUGAUUAGGUCUCAGAAGAAAGAUUUGGUUUGUCUUAUUGAGAUGAACAUGCAGGAGAUGUUGUUAAAGGUGGUGAAAAGUCUGGAUGUUGGUAGGUUUUUGGACUAGGGUGUAGUUGAUGCUAGGGGAGUGUCCGGAGACAUCUUGAUUUUUUGGGACAAUAGAGUUUUGGAUCUUCUAGAGCUAAAAUGUGGAGGUUUCACCAUCUCGAGUAGUUUUAGGAAUGUGGAAGAUGGUUUUGUUUGGGUAUUCACAGGUGUCUAUGGUCUAGUCCUCUCAAGGAAGAGAAAAAAAAAAAGACUUUUGGGAUGAGUUGGGUGUAAUUAAAGGUAUGUAGAACGAUCCCUGGUGUGUAAGAGGGGAUUUCAACUCUGUUAGAUUUCCAAGGGAAAUGAGGAAAGAGGUCAGUUUAACGGCAAAGAUGAGAAGAUUCUAUUAAGUCAAUGAGGAACUAAGACUAAAAGAUUUACCCCUUUCUGAUGGUCAGUUCACGUGAUGUGGUGGCUCAAACUCUCAAGCAGCGUCAAGGUUGUAUCAUUUUUUAGUUUUUAAUGAAUGGGAGGACCACUUUUCAAGUGCCUUCCAAUGCGCUCUUCCUAAGAUCGUCUCUGAUCACUAUCCUAUUACACUAGAGGGUGGAGGGGUUAAAAGAGGUAAGACUGUGGACCCACAUUUUUCACGUGCGUCCCCACUCGAUCGGCGAGACUCGCUUUUUAUUACUAGUGAAAAAAUAAUUUUGGAAAAAGUCGGAAUCGCCACUUAUUUUAUUUUUAUUUUAAAGGGAAAAUAAAACAAAAAAGAAAAACCUUAAAAUGUGACUCCAUAAUUUUUGGAAAAAACAUGUCUUUGAAAAACCUGAGUUUAGGUCCAGGGAUCAAGUUACUUAUUGGGAAGGUACCUCUAGGAGGUAGCACCCCUCUAAGCCUAAAAGAGGUCUCUACUUACUAAGUUGGGGGAAGUGUGGCAAUUAAUUAAUUAAUUGAGGAUACCUAGAUAGGCUAAGGUGAUUUCAAAAAUAACAUGCCAAACAUGAUCAAAUUACAAUAAAUGAGAGUUAGGGUGCAUACCUGGACUGCUUCUUAAGCGCCAUCUAAAGACAUCAAUGAUUAGUUUGGAAAAUAAAACGCACAACAUAUAUUUUAUCCUAGUCUCUUAAUCAAACAUGGCAAGCUAAACAAACAAUAAAAAAGAUAUGUUGAAAAAUUUGAGAAUCGCAUACGAAGCAAUACAUAACGAUCAUAUAUAAAGCAAUACAUAAUUUAUGGAAUUAAGAUACGAAGGUAAGAAGCAUACCUGAAUAGCAUGGGUAACUCAUAAUGCUCUUCCACAAGACAUGAGGGGUUAGAUAAUAAAUAAUGAGAUAAAUUCUAGCAUGCUUGUUAUCUAAUUAGCAUAGCAAAAAUUAUCAGAGUAUACUAAUUCAUCAAUUAUCACAUAGUCUUGUAUAUAAUUCCUAAAAAAAUUGAUAUGAUUGUAACAACCAACAAAGGUGGUAGCAAAAAUAAGUUUUGAAUAUAUUUUUUUGUGUAGGGGUUUCACCAAUUCCCCAAUUGAUAUACACAAAUCUAACCUAGAAUUAUCCCAUUUAUGUGGGACCACAAGCUUGGAUUCGUGUUUGAUUUAAAACCAAAAUUUUCAUUAAAAAAACCGAGAAAGAUGCAAACCAAUAAAAAAAAAUGGUUGCAUAUUAUUUUAAGAAAAUGGGGUUUUUGAUUCUAAGGACUCUAAAUGAAUUUUUAAAAUAGGUUUUUAUAAGGAACAUUUUGGGAAAAGUAUUUUAUUUUAAAGGGAAAGACAUUAUUCACAAACAAACGAUUCGCAAAGGUCAAAUAUAGGCAACCCAAAAUAAAACAAAAUCACAAAGUAAAAUUUUCUCAAUAAUCAACAAAACUAAUAAAGGUGAGGGUAGAGGCCAAUCUUCAUGAUUUGCCAAUGGCCUCUAAAAAUUAAUCUUCACAAAAAAAUAUCAAAGCAAUAAACUAAAUGAUUUUAGAUCAGAUAAGAUUAGAAGAUAUUAAUCAGGAGUUAAAAAUGGGGAAUCAAACACAGAAGAAUAAUAAAAAAACUAACAUAAGAUCAAUUAAGCUAAUUAACUAAAAUUUUAGAGAAACAUAUGAACUAAAUUAUGAUUAAUCCAAGAAUGAAAAUUUAUACAUUUAAGAUGAAAAUAAUACAACUUAAGAUCAAUUAAAACAGUUAUCUAAAGCUUUGAAAAAACAUACAAACUAAAAGUGGACCAACCAAGAAAUAAAAUUAACAAGUUCAGAAUAUGAAAAUGACAUGGAACCAAUCAACUUAAACAACCCCAAGUCUUAAAAACUCACGUACUAAAAGAUGAAAUAAAAAAAUAAGAUUAAUAUUGGAAAACAUAAAUUCAAUUGCAUAGGAUCAAUUAAACUAAUAAACUAGAAUUCUAAAACCACUUAAACUAGAUAACAUGAAUCAAAACAAGGAUAAACAAUUUUAAAAGACAUGAGAUUAAUUACAUGGAUCAGCCAAAUUGAUAAACUAAAAUUAAAAAAAAAAAAAAAGAACCUAAACUAAAUAGAUAAAUCAAAACAAAACUAAAGCAAGGCUAAAAACAUGAACUUUAUCAAUAGAAUUGGUUAAAUUAAUGAACUAAGAUUAUAUAAAAAAAAAAAUGCAAACCAAACAAAUAAAUUGCAAUUAAACUAAAACAAGAUCAGAAGCAUAAAUUUUAUCAAUAAAAUUAAUUAAUCUAAUAAACUAAACCAAGAUUAUAAAAAUACAUCAACUAAAAAGAUGGGACAAAACAAAAUCAAAACUCGUUUUAAAAAACAUAAACCUUAUCUAAUAAAAUUAUUUAACUAAUGAAUUAAAAUUACUAUUACAUUCAAACUAAAACUAAACUAAUGUGGAAUUAAAAAAAUAAACUUUACUUUACAAAUUACUUAAACUAAGGAAUUAAAGUCACUAACACACUCGAAUUAAAUCAUAAGCUAAAAUUAAGUUAAUCCGGAAUUUUAAAAAAUAAACUUUACUUCACAAAUUACUUAAACUAAGGAAUAAAAAUCACUAACUCAUUUAAAUUAAAUCAUAAGCUAAAAUUAAGUUAAUCCGAAAUUUAAAAAAAUAAACUUUACUUCACAAAUUAUUUAAACUAAGGAAUUAAAGUCACUAACACAUUCAAAUUAAAUCAUAAACUAAAAUUAAGUUAAUCCAGAAUUUUUAAAAACAAAUUUUAUCUCUCAAAUUAUUUAAACUAAGGAAUUAAAGUCACUAACACAUUCAAAUUAAAUCAUAAACUAAAAUUAAGUUAAUCCGGAAUUUAAAAAAAUAAACUUUACCUCUCAAAUUAUUUAAACUAAGGAAUUAAAGUCACUAACACAUUCAAAUUAAAUCAUAAACCAAAAUUAAGUUGAUCCGGAAUUUAAAAAAAUAAACUUUACUUCACAAAUUACUUAAACUGAGGAAUAAAAAUCACUAACUCAUUUAAAUUAAAUCAUAAACUAAAAUUAAGUUUAAAAAAUAAACUUUACCUCUCGAAUUAUUUAAACUAAGGAAUAAAAAUCAUUAACACAUUCAAAUUAAAUCGUAAACUAAAACUAAAAGGUGGAUUAGAACUAAACUAAUUGAGAAUUUAAAAAACAAAAUAAACUUUAACACAAAGAAUUAAUCAAAAACUGAAAUUUGUUUUAAAAGAAAUCUAGACUAAAUAAGAAUAUUAUAUGGAAAACUAACCUGUGAAGUGAAAGAGAAAAUCCCUUCUUGGUGACUAAGGUGAUAGCCCGGUCUCUGCCUGAAGUCCCUUGCUCUCCUCUAAAGUUCCGCGUGAAAAUUCUUUCUGUCUCUUCCCCUCUGAAAAAAAGUUCCUUAUGCUUGGAUUCUCUCCUUUAUUUAUAAGGCAACCCACUCCUUAUGGAAUAUCUUAUUUCCAUUUUUUCUACAUGCCCGUGGAUAUGGGAAGUCCAUUAUGUGUGGCUCACUUGGACAUUUCCCCAAGGAUGCAGCCGUAUCUUGUUUGGUAAGUGAUCAGAUCCCUUUUAAUCUUCUUUCCAUAUGCUCCCGGAUUCCUUCUUAAAGCAAAUCAUAUGCAGCCCGGAUUGUUCUUAAAGCCGUGAUCUGCCCACUUUCUAUAUGCAGCCCGGAUUCCUUCCAAGUUUCCCUAUUUGGCCGUGAUCUCCUCUCCUUGAUGUCUUCAAUUGUUUCCUUAUCUCCUAGAGCCACCUUUCCUUAAACUCUCCCAAAACGUAUCUUCCAAUCUCAAUAUGGUAUCCAUUCCAUCUCCAAUGAUCAAGCAUCCAAGGAAAUCCCACAUUCCAAAUAUCAAUACCGUGCACAUCUUCCAUACAUUUCCUAUAAAAUUUCAAAUAAAUAAGGACAAGUAAUAAAAUAAUAAUAAUAAUAAUAAUAACAAUAACAAUAAUAAUAAUACUAAAAAAAAUAAAAAUAAAAAUAAAUAAAAAUAUUUACACAAAAUUAUUAAAUUAAAAUAGAUAAGUAAGGACAAGCAUUAUGGAAAAAGUGACAAAAUAAUAAGGAAAUAAAAUAGAUUAAGAAAUAGACAAGAUAAUAAAUAAAAUAAAUAAGAAUUAAAUAAUAAAAAGUCAAGUCAUGCAACUUUAAAAUAAACAAGUCAUGCAAGUCAUGCAAGCCAUACAAAAAAUGCAAUCAUGCAAACAUGCAAAAAAUUGCCUGAAAGGUGACCUAAGUGGGCCUAAAUGAGCCUAAGUAGGCCAAGUGUAUCUAAAUGGGCUUAGGGUGUCUAAAUGGGCCUAGGGUGCCUAAAUGGGCCUAGGGUGCCUAAGUGGGCCUAGGGUGCCUAAGUGGGCCUAGGGUGCCUAAGUGGGCCUAGGGUGCCUAAAUGGGCCUAGGGUGCCUAAAUGGGCUUAAAGUGCCUAGGUGGGUCUAGGGUGCCUAAAUGGGCCUAGGGUGCCUAAAUGGGCCUAAGGUGUCUAAAUGGGCCAAGAGUGCCUAAACGGGCCUAGAGUGUCUAAGUGGGCCUAGAGUGCCUAAGUGGGCCUAGAGUGCCUAAGUGGGCUUAAGGUGCCUAAGUGGGCCUAGGGUGUCUAAGUGGGCCUAGGGUGCCUAAAUGGGCGUAGGGUGUCUAAAUAGGCCUAGGGUGCCUAAAUGAGCCUCGGGUACCUAAAUGGGCCUCAGGUGCUUAAAUGGGCCUUAUGUGCCUAAAUGGGCCUAGGGUGUCUAAAUGAGCCUAAGGUGCCUAAAUGGGCCAAGAGUGCCUAAACGGGCCUAGAGUGCCUAAGUGGGCCUAGAGUGCCUAAGUGGACUUAGGGUGCCUAAAUGGGCCAAGGGUGUCUAAGUGUGCCUAGGGUGUACUAAGUGGGCCUAGGGUGGUGCCUAAUGGGCCAAGUGUAUCUAAAAACUAUCCUAAAAAUGAAUGAAAAGCCUAAGUCUAAAUUAGGGCUGCCAAGGGUCACAAUAAGGGGUCAGAUAAUCCCUAAACCAAAGUCUCCGAGGUGGCUAAAAAAAGGUAAGUAGUGUGAGUAGCUAUGGGCCACCAAGGAACUACUGUAAAGUAUCGAAUAAGUAUCUAAUAGGACAUGUGCUAGGAGGACAAAAUUGAGGGUCUACAAAGACCCAUUUCCGUUUUGAGAAUAUGUGGCUAUUAUCGAAUGGUUUCAAAGUGUUAGUGAGGAAGUGGUGGACCGAGUACUUGAUUACAAGGAGUAGUAGUCAUUGUCUUGAUGAGACAUUGAAGGGCUCUUAAAAAGGAUCUCAUAGUGUGGAAUAAAUAAAUUUUUGGCAACCUCUUCUUUAAAAAAUCAGAAGCCUUUUCUCGAGCUCAUUUUUAGGAUUCCAAGAGAGAGUUAAUCCCCUCUCUAUUAAGGAGGCAAAGGCUAGAAAAGAGGUUGUCAAGGAGUAUAAGAAAUGGUUUUUAUUGGAAGAAGCUUCUUGGAGACAGAAAUCUAGGGAAAUCUGGUUAAAGAAGGGCAACAAAAACACCAGGUUUUUUCACAAGGUGGCCAAUGCUCGGGCAAGAAGGAAUCUAUUAUCCAAGGUGAAAAUUAAUGGGGUUAUUUUAACUAACAAUGAGGAUAUCAAGGCUAAGGUGUGCAGGGCUUACCAAACUCUACUGACUGAAAAUGGGGACUGGAGACCAAGCCUUGGGAAUCUUCAAUUUAGAGUGUUGGAAAAAGAUAGGUCCAGAAGUUUAGAGGAGCCUUUUUGGAAGAAAAGGUGUUUAAAGCCCUUUCCAACCUUUGUGGUGAUAAAAAGUCAAGUCCAGACAACUUCACCAUGGCGUUCUGGCACUUCUGUUAGGAUUUCACAAAAGUUGAGAUUAUAACCCUCUUUGAAUAUUUCUUCUACCUUGGCACAUUCCAAAGGAGUUUAAACUCCACUUUCCUAGUUCAGAAAAAUGGGUGCAGAAGAGUUGAAAGACUUCAGACCGAUUAACCUGGUUGGUGGACUAUACAAGUUGUUUGCCAAAGUCCUGACAAACAAGUUAAAGUCAACCAUGGGGAAGUUGGUUUUAGACAGUCAACAGGCCAUUAUGUGGACCCGCAUUUUUCACGUGCGCCCCCACUCGAUCUGCGAGACUCGCUUUUUAUUUGUGAAAAAUUAAUUUUUGGAAAAAAAGUUGGAGUCGCCACUUUUUUUAUUUUUAUUUUAAAGGGAAAAUAAAACAAGAAAGAAAAACCCUAAAUGUGACUCCAUAAUUUUUGGAAAAAGCAUGUCUUCGAAAAACCCGAGUCUAAGUCCGGGGAUCAGGUUACCUAUUGGGAAGGUACCUUUAAAAGGUAGCACCCCUCUAAGCCCUAAAAAGGUCUCUAUUGACAAAGUUAAGGGGAGUGUGGCAAUUAAUCAGUUAAUUAUAGAUACCUAAGUAGGCUAGGUGAUUCCAAAAAUAGCAUGCCAAACAAGAUCAAAUCACAAUAAAGGAAGGUUAGGGUACGUACCCGGACCGCUUCUCAAGCGCUAUCAUAAAACAUAAGAGAUUAGUUUGGAAAUAUAACACAUAAUAUGUAUUUUAUCAAAGAUGAUCAAACAUCAAGACAAUCAAUUAUGGCAUUAGACAUGGUCAUGAUUCAUGAUAACAUAUAGAAUUUUAGAGUUGAAGGGUAGAAGGAGCGUACCCGUUUAGCGAGCAUCCACACGUCUAUGGGAACAAGGGUAUCUCAACAAUAGAUAUAAAGUGAAUUCAAGUAUUGCAUCAAGAAGAAAAAAAAUCAACAUAUCAAGCAAACAGUAUUGAAGUGAGUGUUAUGAAUGUUGGGCCCCCACCAAAGCCCUAAUUAAUUUCGCAUGAGUUGAUCCCAUAAAUUCCAUGACUUGAAAUUAUGGAGUUUGUUCGUGCUUAAGAAAAUCGAGAAAAAUCAAGAAGAUCGGUUGAAAAUCAAAUAAAAUAGUGAAAGCGCAUGCCAGAAGAAAAAUGGCAGCAAGAGUAUGUUAGAAUAUGGAUUUUAUACCUAGAAAGGAUCUAAGAUGAAUUUUUCAAAGCCAGGAAUGUUUAGUUGAACAAUGAUUAAAAAAUUCAAUUUAAAAAAAUAAGUUCCCAAUCAAGGAAGCAAAUAGAGGAGAAGAUGUGUAUAGCAAGGUUGCCAUGAAGUGAAGCCAGGGAAAUUUUGGAUAGAAGGGACCAAUUCACUGCAAGAGCGUUCAACUGUCAAAUGCUUCAACGAGCCAAGCUAUCCAGGUGGAGUGUUAAUCGUUGGCCACAAAUGCUAUCCGAAUAAGCGUUAUCGAAGGAUCCGGACAUGUCUGUCCAGGGGAAGUUGAAUCGUCCUCAUCUCCCAUCUGGUGGCAGGCGCCGGAUGUGAAAUAUCUGGAGAAGGUGGAACGUCGGUCGGAUAGAAUUGCGGCGGUGAGAUAUCCGGAGAAAGCGGGGUGUCGGCCGGAUAGAAUGGCGGCUAUGAGACAUCCGGGUGGAAUUGGGAUGUUGGCCGGAUAGAAUGGCGGCUGUGAGACAUCCGAAGAAAGUGGGAUGUCAGCCGAAUAUAAUGGCGGCUGUGAGAUAUCCGGAGAAAGUGGGAUGUCUGCCGGAUAGAAUUGCGGCUGUGAAACAUCCGGACAAGGUAGAACGUUGGCUGGGCAGAAUUCCGGAUGUGAGACAUCCGGGUGGAAUUGGGAUGUCGGUCGGAUAGAAUUGUGGUUGUGAGAUAUCCGGAGAAAGUGGGAUGUCGGCCAGAUAGAAUUGUGGCUGUGAGAUAUCCGGAGAAAGUGGGAUGUCGGCCGGAUAGAAUUGUGGCUGUGAAACAUCCGGACAAGGUAGAACGUUGGCCGGGCAGAAUUCCGGAUGUGAGACAUCUGGGUGGAAUUGGGAUGUCUGUCGGAUAGAAUUGCGGCUGUGAGAUAUCCGGAGAAAGUGGGAUGUCGGCCGGAUAGAAUUGCGGCUGUGAAACAUCCGGACAAGGUAGAACGUUGGCCAGGCAGAAUUCCGGAUGUGAGACAUCCGGGUGGAACUAGUGAGAAUUUCCGUCCGGGUGGAAUGAGCGAUGCCACAAACCAAGAACCCUCAAGAACUAUGGUAACCUCUGCAUCUGUUUAACCCCAAGAAAAACCCGUUUUACACAGCCUUUAUCAAGUUCCCAUCUUUCUUGGAAUGCUCAUGGUCUCCAUAUCCAAGAAUACCAAGGUAAAGAGAGGAAAGAAACGUAGAUACAGAAGCACACAAAAAGACCAAGAAAGAAAAGAAAAGAAAAAACAGGGGAAAAGAAGACCACCAGUGGGUAUUUUGAAGCCAGAUUGGGACAUAAAUGGGGGCAAGACCCAUAACAUCAAAUUCAAAGGUAAACCUAUAUUCAGAUUACUUUCAGAGGAAACCAAAGACAUUAAAAGGAAUAUUAAAAUAGCAUAAACAUGCAAGUAAACCAGUCUCAACUAAUCAAAUUGUGGCCCUUGCGUCCACACCAAACGACGAGAAUGAAUCUUCAGAAAACUAAGAAGUCAGGAAAGAUUGAAACCAAAUGGUGAUAUAGCAAAAAUCUGGAAACAUACCUGCACGUUCUCCUCUCCAAUUGCUUGGUUCCAGGCUGCUGCACCUUUUCCCGACUGAAAAAUCUGCUCCCCAAACCUUUUUCCAUCCACCAAUCUUCUCCCUCUCUAUACAUGUUCCAAGUCCCUCUCUUCUAUGCUUCCUCUUCCAAACCCCUCUCCUGCCCCCCAAACCUUUUUUCGUCCGCCAAUCUUCUCCCUCUCUACACGCGUUCCAAGUCCCUCUCUUCUAUGCUUCCUCUUCCAGACCCCUCUCCUGCUUUCUUUUCUCGCUAAUGCCCCACUUGUUCUUUUUCUUUUCUCCUUAUAUUCGUAUCAGCCUCUCAAACUCAAUCUGCUCAAGAGAAUCCACUUUCCUUUCUUCUAUUUCCCUUCAUUUUUUCAAAAAUCAAAAUGCUUCUCUCUUCUCAUGCAGGAUCUUCUCUUUCCAUAUGUAUGCAGCCACAUUAAUUCCUUUUUCCUCACAAAAUAUUUCUCUUACCUUUUUGAGUGCACAUACCUUAGUGAGAGUUGAAUAGCAACCCCUAUUCUCUUAUCAAGUCAUACAAAAAAGUGGGUCUAAAAGUGCCUACUGGGCCAAGUGUGUCUAAGUGGGCCUAGAGCGAUGCCUAAUGGGCCAAGUGUACCUAAAAGCUAUCCUAAAAAUAAACGAGAAAGCUUAAGUCUAAAUUAGGGCUGCCAAGAGUCACAAUAAGGGGUUAGAUAAUCCCUCAACCAAAAUCUCCGAGGUGACUCAGAAAAAGGUAAGUUGUACGAGUAGUAAUAGGCCACCAAGGAACUACCGUGGAGCACUGGAAGUGAAUUUAAAGACAUGUGCUAAAGGGACAAAAUUGAGGGUCUACACAUUAUUCAAGGUAGGCAUAUUUUCGAUGUUGCCCUUAUAGCAAAUGAGGUUGUGGAUUCUAAGUUAAAGGUCAACAUUCCUGGCCUUCUCCUAAAAUUGGACAUUGAAAAGGUGUUUGACCAUGUCAAUUGGGACUAUCUUCUUUUUAUUAUGGCUAAAAUGGGGUUUGGGGAAAGAUGGAUUAGCUAGAUUAGUUAGUGUAUUUCCAUUGCUAGCUUCAGUUUUAAUCAACAGAACUCCAUUCGGCUUUUUCCAUAACACUAGAGGCUUGAGACAAGGGGACCCGUUAUCUCCCUAUUUUUUCAUUUUGGUCAUGGAGACUCUCAAUCAAUUGCUAUCUAGAGCCAGUUGUGGGGACUUCAUUAAGGGGUUUAAGGUGGGAAGAAGUAGUGGGAAGGGAGAGACUUGCUUCAUUUCCCAUUUGCUAAUGACACUCUAAUUUUUUGUAAUGUCAAUAGCAACCAUCUGAGAUACUUGAGUUGGGUGUUUUUGUAGUUUUAGGCAAUCUCGGAUUUAAAAGUGAAUAGAGAUAAAAGUGAGGUUAUUACCAUAAGAAGGUUAGAGUCUUGGGAGGAUGUUGCUUCGGUGAUGGGGUGUAGAGUUGGGAAGCUUCCCACUUCUUAUUUGGGACUCUUUUUGGGUGCCUUUUUCAAGUCUUCAAGGGUAUAGGAUGCAAUGGAUGAGAGAUUUAGAAAAAAAUUGUCUCUAUGGAAGAGGCACUAUCUCUCUAAGGGGGGAAGGCUCACCUUGAUAAAAAGCACUCUAUGAGGUCUUCAAAUUUAUUUCCUUUCUCUCUUUGUUAUUCUGCGGAAGGCGUGUGUAAGACUUGAAAAGAUUCAAAGGGACUUUUUGUGGGGCGGUGGUGUCUUAGAGAAAAAACCCCACUUGGUGAAUUGGAGCUUGGUUUGUACUUAUAAAAGGAGGGGGGCUUGGGAAUUUGUAGACUUGUGGUUCUAAACAAAGCCUUACUUGGGAAGCGGAGUUAGAGAUUUGCAGUAAAGAGUGAUACCUUUUGGAAACAAGUCAUAAUCAACAAAUUUGGGUUAGAGGAAAGAGAGUGGUGUUCGAGAGUAGCAGGGAGAGGCUACGGUGUGGGGGUGUGGAAAGCCAUUAGAAAAGAAUGGAAGAGUAUUUGUUGCAGAUAUCGCUUUAUUGUUGAGAAUGGGAAGAAGGUCAAAUUUUGGAAGGACUUGUGAUGUGAGGACUAAACAUUGAAAGAAGUUUUCCUUAACUUAUACUGGUUGGCUGUUAAUAAAGAUGAGUGGGUGUCAAAUGUUUGGGAAGGGAGUGAGGAGUUGGGUUGUUGGAAUCCUCACUUCCCCAGGCAUUUUAAUGAUUGGGAAUUGGAGAAAGUGGAGGGUUUGUUCCUGAAACGGCAUCCUUUGGUAGUGAGAAGAGAAGUGGGGGAUGUAUUGAGUUGGAAAGAAAGUAGGGAUGACAUUUUCUCUGUUAGAUCCCUCUACCAUUCCUUCACAAGGGCCUCUAGUGAUCCUUUUCCUUAGGAUAUUAUUUGGAGGUCUUGGACUCCAAUGAGAGUACACUUUUUUUCUUAGGAAGCAUCUUGGAACAAAAUUUUAACCCCUUGAUCAGUUCAAAAGAAGGGGAUAGAAUAUGCCGAAUAGGUGCUACUUGUGUAACGAGAAAGAGGACACUAACAAUAAUUUAAUCUUAUUUUGUGAAAAAAUUACAAUGCUUUGGAGUUUGAUUUUCUCCAUUUUUGGUGUGUAGUGGGUUUUGCAUUCUUCAAUUAAAAGGAAUUUGCUUAAUUUGCAUGAUGUCUUUGUGGGUAAGAAGAGGGAGAAGGCUUGGAAGGCUGCCCCUUUAUGUUUAAUGUGCACCUUAUGAAAGGAAAGAAAUGAAAGAGCGUUCAAUGAUAUCGAACAAUCAAACCAAGCUAUAAAACAUUCAUUUUUGUAUACUCUUGUAAAUUAGGUUAGGGUAUUUAUAGAGGAUCAUACUUUGUCUAUGAUUGAUUUUAUAAAUUGACUAUGUCUAGUUAGGAGAAGGUUUUUUGGCUUCUUUGCCUAAUUUCUUGGGCGUUCUGAUUGUAUACUUCAUUUGUACUUUUUUUUUGCCACUUCUAGGCGUUUCUAAUACAAGCUUUAUUUACCUAUAUAUAUAAAAAAAAAUGCUUCCACUCCUUUGCCUUGCUUUUGAAGUAAACUAGUUUUAUUUUGACCAAUUAAUGUCACACGGCUUUUAUCUUACCUUCUAUCCUUCAAGCUUUUGAAGCAAAUAGUUUGACCAAUGUCACACGACUUUGACCAUCUCUUCCAGCCUUCAUUGUGCUCUCGUCCACCUAAAAAUGGGAGCAUUUUCUUUACCUGUUGUAGAAGCAACUUAUUCCCCUCGUUUACUGCAAGUUUUGUAGUAAAAAAGCAUCAUCACCAAACACUUGUCACUGUUUUUAGUUAUUACUAUUGGUCAUGAUUCUCUUGUGUUUAGAUUUCUUAGUCGUAUUCUUCAGUUAUUAUUAUUAUUAUCUGUUUGUUCAUGAAAUAUUCAUCUGUAAUAUCUAAUAUUAUUUUAAUAGAUUGAUCAAAGCACCUUUUUUCUGCAAGUUAAUUAUUUGAAGUUACAGUUGAAGUCUUUAUAACUUACAUCUCUUCGUCUCUCUGCUUCUCGAUAAUGACUUCUUCUGUUUUUUUUCCUUCUCCUUCUUCCUCAUCUCUCUACUUAUUGACAAUGGCUAUAUAGCUCACAUCUCUUCAUCCCUCCACUUUUCCACGAUGGUUUUUUCUUAACUCAACUCCCUUCAUCUCUCUUUCUCAACAAUGGCUUCUUCUUCUUCUCGACAAUAACUUUAUAACUCGUAUCUCUCUACUUCUCAAUAAUGGCUUCUUCUUCUUUACUCAAAUCUCUUCAUCUCUCUCCUUCUUGACGAUGGCUUUUUCUUCUCAAUAAUGGCUUUAUAAUUCAAAUCUCUUCAUUUCUCUACUAAAUUCCUGAUAAUGGUUUUUUCUUAACUUAAAGCUUUUCAUUUCUCUCCUUAUCGACAAUGUCUUCUUCUUCUUAACUCAAAUCUCUUCAUCUCUCUACUUCUCGUAAUGACGUUUUCUUAACUCAAAUUAUCUUCAUCUCUCUCUUUCUCCUAACUCAAAUCUCUUCAUCUCUUUCCAUCUCGACAAUGGCUUCUUCUUCUUCUUCUUCUUCUUCUUCUUCUUCUUCUUCUUCUUCUUCCCACUAUGAUGUCUUUCUCAGUUUUAGAGGUGAAGACACUCGUAAUUCCUUCACUGCUCAUCUCUAUAGGCAGUUGUGCCAGAAGGGAAUCAACGUUUUUAUAGAUGAUGAGAAGCUUAAGGGAGGGCAAGCCAUAACCCCUGCACUUGUUACAGCUAUCGAGAACUCCACUGCUUAUGUCGUUCUUUUAUCAGAAAAUUAUGCGUCAUCUAGCUGGUGUCUAGAGGAGCUUGUGAAUGAGUGCAGGAGAACAAAGGGACAGAGGGUUCUUCCAAUUUUCUAUAAGAUCGAUCCAUCAGAUGUGGGGAAUCAAAGGGGGAAAUUUGGAGAAGCCUUGGCUAAACAUGAAAAGAAUUUGGAGGGUAGGGAGAUAGUGCGGAUUUGGAGGGAUGCUCUUACUAAAGUUGCCAAUUUAUUUGGUUGGGAUUCAAGGAAUUGGUAAGUUUUUAAACCCUGCAUGUAUUUUUAAUAUGUUUCUAUUAUUAUUAUUAUUAUUAUCAUCAUUAUUAUUAAAAUGAAAAUUGGUUAAGGAAAUAUUAUGAAUGUAUUAUGAUUGUCCACUUAGACUUAAAUAUAGACUUUCAUAAUUAUAGAAUUACAUCUAUUAUGUGAAACCUUUUAUCUUUAAGUCCAAUCUAAAAUUUAAAAUAGAAUAUGAAGAUUUAGAUACUUAGGUGGUGUUUGUUUUUUUACUCUAACUCUAAAUAGAACUUUAAUGCUUAGAGUGCAUUUUGUAGUGAUUUUAGGAAGUGUUUUUACUUUUUUCAACACUCAAAAUUUUUUAUCUUUCAAAUAUCAAAAAUACUAAAAACAUUUCUUAAAAUCACGGUCAAAUGCACUCUUAAUAAUGUUAAGUAUUAGACUAUUUAUUUUUGUAAUAUUUUAUAUCUAUUAAAUAUUAAAAAGUAAAGAAAAAUCAAUAUGAUACUUUUUCUAUUUUUAAAAAAUUAAAUAUAUUGGUUUUUGUACCUAACAAAAUGUUUAUAAUAAGUUAUAAAAAGUAAAAAAAAAAAAAACAAUUUAAAAUUAGAAAGAAAAUUAUUUUUAGCAAAAAAUUAAAAAACCAAACACUCUCUUAGAGUUGGCAUAAGUCAAACUCCUUUUUGAAUGUUUUAUUUAAACAGUGAUUAGUAAAUUUCUAAACUUGUUUCCUUCCCGAAAAAUAAGGAAAAGAAAAAAUUACUAAAGAAAAUUGCAAUACUAGCGGUCACCAUUUAAACCAACGGAUCAUGCCUAUUAUUCUUUGUUCUGCAAUCAUGGCAGGAAUGAGGCUAAGCUUAUUGAGAAAAUUGUCCAGAGCAUUUUGGAAGGCAUGGACGAGCCUUUGAGAAAAUCAAUUGAUGAUGGUAGGGACCCAGUGGUACGAUUUUUUUAAGAAAAUGAGCGAAUUUAUUCUGAGAACUUUGAUACAAUCGACUAGUAGAAUAACGGCUCGUACUCAAUUAACUAGUCGCCAUGGUAGUGAUAUCGUGAGAAAUUUGAUACAGUAGCUAAUUCAAUAAGGGCUUCUAUACAAUCAGCUAAUCCCAAUGAUAUCAUGAAAGAUUUGAUAAAAUUAACUGCUGAAAUAAGGGCUCUUAUAGAAUUAAUUGGUCCUGAUGAUGAUGCUAUCGUGAGAGAUUUGACACAAUUAGCUAGUGAAGUAAGUGCUCUUAUGAAAUUAAUUGGUCCCCUCGAUGAUGCUGUCGUGAGAGAUUUGAUGCGAUUAGCUAGUGAAGCGGAGGCUCGUAUACUAUCAAUUAUUCCCAAUGAUAAUGGUAUCAUGAGACGUUUUGUAGGUGAAACUCAUCAGGUACCUUCGCGAGCAGACAAAAGGCUUCAAAGGCGCAUGGAGCAAGUGCGUUCCAUCUCUUCUGACCAUGUUGGAGAAGAUUUGAAGAGACAAGGAAAACUUCUUUCAAAAGUAUCAGGGUGUAAAAAUCUAGGUUUGAAAUUCCUAUAAGGGCAAGUUUUCUGGGUUUAACACGGAGCACUACGAUAAAGGCAAGACUUCGUGCCAAACAAGUCCUUAUUGUUCUUCACUACGUGAAUGAUUCAGUAGUCAGCAACUAUGCCAAUGCCUCCAUAUUGAUUUUAAUACUAGAUUCUUGGAAUCUCCUGUAUGUGCUGCUUUUGCAGUCCUGUGAUGAUGUGUUUCAUGGCAGCCCUGCUACAAUAUUUUGUGAAUCGAAGUUGAGUGAUCUUCGUUCCUGUGAGGUGGCCGCAUUGGCAAUCCACUGAACUGGGGUGAUGGAGGUCGUUCUAGCGGAAGUGGUAGGAGAAGAAGCAGGAAAGGGAAAAACCCUAAGAAUGGAAGAUUUUGAAGAUAGGAGGUGAUAGAUAAGGACUGACUCCCACUGCUUGCCAAGGAGCUGAAGCUUUUGAAUUAAAAGGCAUUUUCUUGUAAUAUAAUAGUAUGUUCUUGGACUGAUUUACAUGCUCUAUUUUGACUUCAUCUGCACGGUUCUAAUCAAUAUUAAAAACUUGAAUAUUGUUUUAUUCUAUAAUUAGCUUCUUUUAUUUAUGAUCAUAUUCACUUAAGUACUACUUUAUUCUCUUAUUCAUGUUCACAUAUUAGUAUUCAUAAGAUUGAAAGGAUCCACUUGAUAGUUUUAUUAGUAUAAGGAAAGUCGCAUUGUUCUCCCAUGUCUUGAAAAAUCAUUUGUAUUACUUCCUAAAAAAGCACUUGAUAGACGAUUCUCUGAAAAAUACUUUCAUUAAAAGCACUUUAGAUAAAAAUACUAUUAAUUAAUCGCACUUUACAUGAAUUUGUGGUUCUAUGGAAAAAUAUAUCCAUGUAUAUUAGAACAAGCAUAAUUAUGAUGCAUAUUAAAAGAAAGGCAUGUUUCCACAGUAGUGGAGAAGAAAGGAAAAGUAGUUUGUAUUUUCUUAAAGGAUUCGUGUGAGCAAGUUGUCCACCAAACCUUAUAAAAAAAUGGUUAAAAUAAAAGUCAUUUAAGAAAAAUAGUUUAUUUCUAAAUAUGCUUUCAUGAGUAAAAGUAGUUUGUAUUUUCCUAAAAGAUGCAUAUGUGAGCAAGUUGUCCACUCAACCUUAUAAAAAACGGUUAACAUAAAAGUACCUUAUAUCAAAAGAUGCCUUCACGAGGAAAAGUAGUUUGUUUUUACCUAAAAGAUCCUCUCCUAUUGUUAGAAGAUUCUUAAAAUAAAAAAAUCCUCCACGAAGUUGCUUCUCACUACCGGGCAACCUCCUCUCAUCUUGUUUUAGUUGUUUCAAGCUCUUGUUAGAAGAUUAUUAAAAUUAUCUUUCUUUAAUAUUGCUGCUCAUGAAUGGAACCUACCAAAAGACUUGUGUGUGGACAAUAUAUUUGUUGUUUUAGGAUUUCUUUUUAAUGAUGAAGCAUUUUCUCAAACCUUGGAAUCAAUCGAGCUAGCCUAGUAUGAAGUCUAAAAAAAUUUGAACAAGCAUAAAUUCUACUUUAACCUAAGGUUGGUUAGGGAAUGCUUGGGUCCUUGUUUUAACCAUCUACAACCUUCAAAAAACAAAUUUGAUAUCAUUCAUUUCAAUUCCUAAUGUCCUCAUGUUUACUCACUUUUUUUUACCAAUCCUACUAUAUAUAUACCCAAGUUGAAAAAGUCCAAACUAACUUGCUAUUGACCUAGGUACCUUUUCAAAAUAUUGGUCCUUAUUUCUCAUUCUAUAAUUAUUAAGGAAAAUAAUUAAAAAUAUGUACAAAAUCAAAAUCAAUCAUGACAUAAUAGAAAUUAUAAAGAACAUGUACACAAUCAAAUGCAUAAUGAAAAAAAAAACUCACUCCAAUUUGCAUUUUAAAAAAUAAGUUAAUUUCAUUCACCUCAUCCAAAGUUUUCACUAAAUACACCUAACCUCUAUCGAUUUGAAAUUUCAUCAAGUUUUCAUAAAUCAACACCCUCUCCAUGUUCCUCAAGUUUUCUUCAUGUUUAGUCAAUGCUUCUCCAAAAUUUCCAUUUGUGAUAUCUUACAUGUGAGGGAUCCACAUUGUAGAAAAUAGGGAGAACCCUCUGUCCCUUGGUUCUCAUGCACUCUAGAAUCUUCACCAGCUCCUCCAAACACCACCUGGAAGAAGCAUAAUUUUCUGACAAAAUGAUGACAGAAAACUUGGAGUUUUCAACAUGGUUUUGAAAACCGAAUCGGACUGGCCGGUCAUGGUUUCGGUCCAAUCAGGUCAUGAAUUAGACCGGAAAUAGGUUGAACUAGGAUCGAACCUAUUGAACUGGUGGUCCGACCAGUUCACCGGACAAACCGGUCUGUUCGAUUAAAAUUUUUUUUUUUUUCAGCAUCAAAACGAUGUCGUUUUGAUGUUUCUGGAGUCAAAACGAUGUCAUUUUGGAGGACCUUCUUCCAAACCCUCCAUCUCCGACAAUUGCCGCCCACCCCCAACGCGCUGCAACAGGCUCCCACCAUCAGCCAUUUCACCUCAAUGGCAACCAAAGCUCUACUUCCUCCUCCAACAAUGGCAGCAAGAGCAUCAAGUUCCUCAAGAAGACUCUCUCCUGCACAGACACUAGUUCAAUGCUUUCUACUGAGGUCGUCCCAAAAGGGUUUCUGGCCGUGUGUGUUGGGAAGGAGCUGAAGAGGUUCAUCAUCCUGACAGAGUAUCUGGGUCACCAAGCAUUUGGGGUUCUGCUGAGGGAAGCCGAAGGAGAAUUCGGGUUUCAGCAGGAGGGUGUGCUCAAGAUCCCAUGUGAAGUGGCUGUGUUUGAGAGGAUCUUGAAGGUGGUGGAAGAGAAGAGAGAUGUGUCCUUCUUGUAUGAGUUUGGAUUGAAUGCGGAGAAGGAGAUGAUUGGUUGUUGUUCAUCCUCAGAUUGUGAGCUCACACCUUCUCACCAUCCUCAAAUGAGUAGGUGAUCAGAAGAUGAGAAGAUCAGAUCAUAUCAGAUUUCCUCAAAUUGUUGCUUGUCCCACCCAAUUAGUGAUUUAAAUUUCAAUUUGUAAUAAUAAAUUGGCCGAGAAGAAAAGAAAUAGGCACCGGUUGUAGAUCGCACAACCCCCCUCCCCGACUAGUGGUAGUAGCUGCUCCAACGAUUUAUUUUUAUAUAAUUUUUUUUUUAUGUUUUAUUACUUUUAUAUUUAUUAUUUAAUGUGUUAUUUUUAUUUAUUGAUCAUAAUUUUGAUAGAUAUCAUAAAAAUUUAGAUAGAAUUUAUUUUUUUAUUUUUUUUAUUUUAAUAAUAUAUAAAAUGAUAAAAUAUAAAUUUAUGACGUCACCGAUUCGACCGUCGGUCCAAUCAGUGAACUGUGAACCGGGAACUUUUCCGGUUCAAUGACCGGUCCGAUUAUAAAAACAUUGAUUUUCAAUAGCCACAACAAGCGCAGAAGCUAUGACAUCACCCCUCUCAAGCUUGUCAUUGUCGAUGAAAGUGUCGACUCCUUUGGUGCAUAGCUCCUUAUAGAGAUGGGCAGUGAAGCUAUUGCAGGUGUCUUAUCCUCUAAAGCUCCGGAAACAUAUCAUAACUAUUAGAAUUUUUGGGUUGUGUAUUAAUGGUGUUACUGACAAGUUUUUGAAGAGUGAUGGAUGUUGGGUUAUUGUUGCUGGUUUAUGCUUCUAAUUUGCUAUGAAUAUCUAUACCUACAUACUUACAUUCAGUUCAUAAAUGCAGUUUCUUCUUUUAUUCUACAGAAAGGUUGCAGUCUUAUAUGUAGUUCUAAGUGUGGUUGUGAGUUUAAACCAGCCAUGAUUCAAAUUAUUUGAUACUUUCUUUUCAGGGAACACACUAUCCAAACUAUUUUCGUAACUUCAAAAAUAUGAGUAAAAUUGGGCUACAGCCAAUAAAACUGAAUGAAUUUCUCAAAUUAAAUCAGAAGUAAACAAGCUUAUAAAGUCAUCUUCAUAGAGAGUAGAUGACAAUUGGAGACUCUUCAUUCUCAAAGUUUUUGAACAUCAUGAAAAAUUAUUCUUGGAAAAUCACUAGUGGAAUGCGAUGACCAGGUCAAAUGCUCACUACCAAUCAAAUAAAAAAUUCAGGAACCAAAAAUACAAAUUCUACUUUGCCUUAUUCUAAAACCUAAUUCAUUAGGUACGUUAUAAUUAUCAAAGGCAUUAAAAUCAAUACCAGCAGGGUUCGAAUCAUAUACUCAGAAAAAUGGUGACAAAUAGUUUAAUGAUAUAUGCAUUGUAUAAAAGUUUUAAUAAGUUUCUACCCAAUUUAUCACAUAAAAGAAACCAACUAGGUUCAUAAAUAACAUCAGACAAGUAUAUAAAAUAAUUCAUAAGAAAGCAAGAUUCCAAGCUCCUGGAAUCGCUGCAUUUGCAAAGGAGUUGCUCUGCAGAAAGCAAGAAAAUUAACUCCCUCCAUGGAAAUUCUGAUUCUGGCCUCUGCAAAAGAGGAACAGCUUGUCACAUGGUGUAACUCAAGAUUCUUAUCAUUUCCACCCAAAGAAAGUUUUGAAUGUUACAAUUUGCCAUGAUUGUCAAACUCGUGUUAAACAAAAUGUAGAAGAACCGGAUUUUAUGACUCAAACAUCAUAAAUGUUAGCAAAUGUUCCUGCAGUUUUUAUCCUAGUACUCAACAUCAUAAGUUUCUAAUGCUUAUAACACAAGCAAAACUACUACUAUUAAAAUUGAAUCAUUCACAGUCAGAAAAGAAGUAUGCUGGGUGAUUCAUCAGGCAACUUGCAUUCAUCACCCAACACCAACUUUGCUUCAUUUUCUUAAUCAAACUCCCCAUAUUCGCCACCAAGUGCUAAAUAAAACUCAACACUGUCAACAACUAAUUUUGAAGGCUUAAUAACAAAUUUCAGCAUAAUCAAAGGUCAGAUUCAAACAAAAAUAUCUGCCUAAAAUAUCAAAGAAUACAAGAAAAAAUGACAAAGAGAAUUUCAGUUGCUUCAAUCAAUAUAUCUCAAUAAGAGAAAAGUUGAUGACUCACCGAAAAGUCAGACAGAGAUAUAAUAUAUAGACAUGAUUGGAGGAGUUCGCUGAGAAUUAUUGACGAAAAAUAUCAUCACUGAUUUUGAGAAUGCAUGACCAAAUCAACAGAAAAGAGAAUUUUAUUGGAAAAAAGACCUGGAUGAUGGUAGUCAUUCUUGAGGACGUUUGCGCUUGAGCUUGAGCGUGGGAUCAUUGGUGGGUCCAUCACUGCAGCCACUAGAACUAGAGUCCAUUCCACUUCGAUUGAGUCCUGCUCUGUCACUGCUUCUCUCAACUACAUUACACCCCCUACUCUUAAGCUGUUUUCUAUUUUGUGGAUGGAUUCCUUCAAGAUCUUCUGCAUAUAUAAGACAUACGCCACACUUCUUCACCACAUUGGAUGCACUUGAGUUGAAUCUGUGGGCUGCUUCAAAAGAAAUCUCAAUGUGAUUCCACUCAUUGGGGUCAUUGAAUUGAAACAACCUCAACUGGGAACACGGUUGAUAACCCAGCCAGACAUGUUCUGACCCAACAAUGUUGCCUGUCCAAUGGAAAUCAUGGCCGAAGUCUUUCAAGUCCCCAUAAUUAAAAACAUCAGAAUUCAAAUGGCAUAUAAUUCUCUCAGGAAGAUGUUCAAGAACAGAGCAGAGAGCAAAUCCCAAGAAGUCAUCACUAUACCAAUUUGUAGGUAGCUGAAUUUUUAUAGAAGAUCCCACAUUCUGAUGCCAGAUCCACUCAGGAAUCCCAGUGCCAGGAAAAACAAUACUAAAUGCAAUAUUUUCAAGCAAUUUCUGCAUCAUAACAGGUGAAGUAGUCACAGAGGAAUCAGAAGCAGUGGAAGACACAUAAAUAUGUGGAAAUAUUUGUAAUUCUGUCCUCUUAUCAUCACUGGAUUGGUCCUCAACUGGUUUGGAGCAAUUAUAGAAUAGGAACUGUAGCCCUUGCAAUGUGCUUACACUUGAUGAGCCUGGCAAAAGAGACGUGCAAUUGUGUGCAUCUAUGUCUCGGACACUUGGUGGAAGCUCCGGAAUUCCUGUGAGACUCUGGCACUGCGCCAAUCGAAGGUCUUUUAGGUUUGUAAGUUCACUGAUGCCAGCAGGUAUGCUUAGAAAAUUGUUCCGGCUUAGAUCUAAUUUCUUCAAUGAGAUUAAGGAGCAAAUACCGUUGGGGAUUGCUCCUUCUAUUAGUUUGCAGUCACUUAUGUCUAAAUUUGAUAAGGACCUGAAACUAGAAAAACUAGAAGGCAAGCGCAAACCAAUCCCAUUUGAACUGUUUCCAUGCAAUAACCAGAAUGAAAAGAGCGAACCCAAUGAGGUAGGUGCUAAUAUUUUACAUCCAGGAUAGAUCAAUACUUGCAGGUUUCUCAAAAGAACAAUUGAGUCAGGAGGUUGUGCUAUAGCAGUUCCAUCUGCAUGGAGCUGUGCUAGACGUUGCAGGCUCCCGAGGUUCCUCGGCAAAUUGUUUAAUUAUGAACAACCAGAGACAAUGAGUGUUUCAAGAGAUGUCAAAUUACACAUGCCGUUUGAAAGACUCAGAAGGUUUUUGCAUUUCCUCAGAUUCAAUAGAACGAGGCCUUUGAGACGUUCAAUUGAUGAGGGUAGCACUUCGAUAGGUGUCCCAUCUAAAAGAAGCUCUUUCAAAUUGUCCAUAUUCUCCGUCACUUCUGGAAAACUUUCAAGUUGUGAACAUCCAGAAAGAGAGAGAUUUUCAAGGGAUUUCAACUUACAAAUACUUGUCGGAAGACUCUUAAGAUUUUUGCACCAUUUCAGAUCCAAUAAAACAAGUCCAGUGAGAUGCCCAAUUGAGGAGGGAAGUUCCUCAAUAGCAGUUGAAGCUAAAUAAAGCUCCAAUAAAUUUUCCAUGUUACCUUGAAUAUUUGGAAACUUCUUGAGCCCUGAGCAGCCAGAGAAAUUGAGAAUUUCAAGCGCUUUCAUGUCGAUGAUGCUUGGAAAACAAAUAAGCUUUUUGCAAUUUUUCAAAUUCAAUAAAAUAAGCUUGUUCAGCUUUCCAAUAGAUGGGUGAACCUCAAGCAAACUUGAACAACCAUCAAGAAUUAGUUUCUCCAGAUUGGGCGCACUCACUGUGAUGUCUGGAAUUUCAAUGAGGUGUUGAGAGCAACUAACUCUUAUAGUAUUUAACUUUUCAAGAAGCUGUAACAGGAAAAAAAAAAAAAAUUACUUUGAUAUAUUUGCUUUCAUGGACUUUAGAGUUUAACCAAAGAAGAAAUAUGAAUAAAUAAUCAAUCAUCAUACCAAGUCACCUUCCCAAAGUCGUUUUAAGCUGCUAUAACACAUGUCAAGUUCAACAAGGUCCUCUGCAUAAAAUCCUAAUGGCAAAGAUUCCAAAGGAUAACCAUGCCAAUGGAGAUAUCUUAGCUCAUGAGAAGGGAAUUCAAAGUCUUUAGAUAGCUUUACUUUAUUAUCCUCCCUCGUAGAAGCAGAUUCUAGAUCCCAAUGGAUUUUGAGUAGUCUAAGAUUCUUCAUCAUUGCAAAAGCUUCAGUAGUAAUAUGUAUCCGCGUCAAUCUAGACAAGUUCAGAAGUAUGCCUUCAAUUGCCUUUGUUCCCUGGUAAACAAGAGUAGAUGAUGAGUAGAGCAAAAUACAUAGAAGUUAAAUAAGACAUGUAACUUAAACAAAAAUGAUAUUGUUGAAGCUUAGGUAUUUUGAAUAACCUUAAACAUGAAAGUAUAUUCAUUUGCAUUUUCUCUUACCAUUUUUCUUGUCAAUACACGAUUUACAACCUCAGGAUAGCACAAUCUGCUCCAUUUUCCAGGGUCUCUAGGACAUUCUUGUCGAACAAUUUCUCGUCCCAUUUGUUGUAACAAAUCAUGCAUCCAUAUCUUGUUGUCUAAAAUAGUUACAAAGCACUUAUCACCAAGGACUCCUAUUCCACUCUCCGCAUAGAAGUUGCAAGCAUCUAGGAUUCUAGUAACAAAAUCUUUCUCCUCUCCAUUAAAGAAGCAAGCAAUAUCUAAGAAUAUCUGUUGUUGUGUGUCAUCUAAUUCAUCAUAACUUCUCUUAAGCACACGUUGGAUUUCUUGGUUAGGUUCCCUCUGCAGUUUUUGCAAUUCACUUUCCCAUUGACGUACUGUCUUGCCAUAUAGGAAACAACCCAAAAUCUUAAGACCUAGCGGAAGACCAUUAACAUAAUGUACAACAGAGUUUGAAAGUGUUUCAUAGUCUUCUUUGGGAUGGUUCUGUUUAAAUGCAUUCCAACAAAAGAGUUCAAUAGCUUCCUUGUGAUCUAAUUUCUUAGCCUCAUAUAAUGCAUCCAUUCCAUGCAGCUCCAACAAAUGCUUAUCUCUAGUUGUUACAAUAAUUCUACUUCCUGGACCAAACCAACUAUGGUCACCAGCUAAGGCUUCCAAUUGGUUCAAAUCGUCAACGUCAUCAAGAACAAGAAGAACCUUUUUAAAGCAUAGUCUGUCUUUUAUCAUAUGGACCCCUUCAUCAACAUUCCUUAUAAAGUUCUUCCUUCUUGGCAAGAUAUCAUGAAGAAGUUGUUUUUGUAAAUAAAGUAGACCUCGACUUUUAGAAUCCUCUCUAACAUUAGCAAUAAAGCUAGCAAUCAUGAACUGGGCACCAAUUCGGUUGUAUAAAACUUUGGCCAUGGUUGUCUUACCAAUUCCUCCAAAUCCAUAGAUCCCAACCAUGCGAACAUCAUUUGAUAAUGGAUCUAUUAUUUGUGGAAAAAUUUCUUCCAUUUCUUCCAAACGAUAAUCCAUCCCGAUGAGGUUCUUGUCAACCUGUAAGAGUUUCUGACUAAAUUUCAUCAAAAUAACGCAAGUGAUAUCCUCAAUAAAAUCUGCCUCAGACUUGCUGCCAGAAAGCACAUACAUAGGUGAGCUAACAGAGCAACAAAUGGUAGAAAACAUGAAGUAAACUUGAUUAUGCUUGGUUUAGUACAAAACAUGAAUUAUGGGCAAUUAGAAUUUGUUAAGGGGAUAAGGAUGAAUUAAUUAGAUGUUUCAAGCACCAUUAGAACACUAUAAGAAGAAGAAAGAAAAAAACCUUCUAAAUGUUGCCCUUUAUUUCAUCUUUGCUAACCUCUACCUAUACUGGAAGAUUACUCAACUCCCUUCUUAGAUGAUGUUGGCCUUUAUUUUAAACUUUACACUCUUCCUUUCAUAAGCUUUUUUUUCAUUAGGUCUAUCCUAAGUUAGCAUUUGUAUGUAUCAGAAAACACUAAAAAAUCAAGAAUAGUUGUUUGCCCAUACUAACAUAUUAACCUUAUAAAAGAAUGGAAAGAAAUAGGAAAUCAAUUAAAUUUUAGAUGGGCUUUGAUAGAUCAAUUUAAUGACUUGAUAACUUAAUUUAAGUCAUUAAUAGAUUAAGUAUGUUUAGCAAAAUAACUUAAUAUUAUAAUUUAAAGUAAAAAAUAAUUUUAAAUAUUAAGUCAAAUUAGGUUCUUUAUAAUCUGCAAUCCCUUUUACCUCAUGUCCUCAUGUUUAGUGAGAGUACUACACAAUCAUAACUCCACAUUCACAACCCAUCUUUUAUAGUAAAUAUUUUUUAACCAUUCUAGAUAUCUACAAUAUAUGUUUAACAAAUAAAUUUAUUAUUUAAGAUUAGUCAAAGUAAAUAGGAGUUAAAAUUAGUGAGAGUAAAUAUGAGUUAAUUUGAUGAUUUAGAAUAAAUUUUAAAUUAACUUUAUCAAACAACCUUAAUACUUAAAGUGAAAAUUAAGUAAUAUAUUUUAAGUUAACAACUUAAGAAUAAUUUAAUACUAAUUCCGUCUAAUCUACUCUAUCUAUCGGAAUUCUCCAUAUUAUAAAUUCACUUUAUUUUUUAGGAUAAGAUGCAUGUGCUGAUUAUAAAUUCUAGUAGAUUUCUGAUUUAUCAUUAUGUAUAGAAAGAUAAAAGGAUACUUGCAAAAGAUUAUGCGGAUCGAACAAGCUAUAUUUACCCAUUCUGUAUAUGCCAUCCAGAAAGAUUGCCCACUUCCCUCAAAGCUGCUCUCAACUUCUGUGUAUACUCCAGAGGAAUUUUUCUUUCAUGAUUGGCCAACGCUUCUCCAUAACUCUCCCCCUGAUUUCGCACAUCGGAAGGAUUCACAUGAUAGAAAACUGGAAAAACUAUUUUUCCCAUUUGUCGCCUCGACUCCAUGAUCUCCUUCAACUCGUCCAAACACCACUUGGAAUGAGCAUAGUUUUUCGAGAGAAUUACGAGAAAGCACCUUGACAUCUCAAUAGCUCUCAAAGUAGUUGGCAAAAUCAUUUCUCCCCUGAUAUAAUCCACUCUAAAGGUUCGAAACCCUUUCUGAUACAAAGCUGCAUAGAGAUGAUCUGUGAAAUUUUGUCUGGUAUCUUGACCCCGAAAACUCAAGAAAACUUCAUAUUCCCAUGGACCAAUACAAGUAGAAGUAGAAGAAGAAGACGCCCUUCGAAGAUCCAUCCCAACAAGCUUCUUCUCAACCUGUAAGAGUUCCCGGUUUAAACUCUUCCAAAUAGUGGAAGUAAUCAUCUCAAUAACAUGUGACUCGGGUCUGCAAGUGGCAAAGCAUGACACAUGGGGUGAGUCAAUGGUUGCAAACACCAGCAAAACAUGAAUUAAGUGCCCUGGAUCAUAUAUGCUUUUAGCUUUACUUAGAAAACACGAUUUAUCAUGCAAAGAAAAGAAGUUAUAGUUACCCAUUCCUUAAACACCAUCCGCUAAUCUUCGCCACAUUCCACAACGCUUCCCUCCACCUCUUUAUCUUCGACAUUCCUUCCUCGUCUGCCGUUCUUUCAUGAUCGGCUAAUGCUUCUCCAUAACUCCCCAUCUGUUUUCGCACAUUGGAGGGGUCCACCUGGUAGAAAAUCGGAAACACUAAUUGUCCCAUACACUGCUUCCACUCCAUGAUCUUUACCAGUUCAUCCAAACACCACCUAGAACGGGCAUAGUUUUUGGACAGAAUUACGACACAAAUCCUUGACUCUUCAAUAGCUUUUAAAAGUUCUGCUGCAAUCUCUUCUCCUCUUCGUAGCUCCUCAUCAUCUCUAAAGGUACGAAUCCCUUUCUGAUCCAAAGCUCUGUAGAGAUGAUCUGUAAAAUUAUGGCGAGUAUCUUCACCCAUAAAGCUCAAGAAAACAUCGUAAUUCCAUACACGAGUAGAAAUAGAAGAAGAAGAAGAAGAAGCUCUUUGACUUUGAGGGUCUGCAAAAGCCAUCCACUCUUUACUGUGAGAACUCACUCAACUUAACUUAAAUGGCAGGCAAUUUCUUCAUAAAAGGCGGAAAGAAAUGGCAGGAAAACACUGGUAGGUAGAAAGACAGCGAUGAACUCUGCCUUGGAAGGUCGGGAUGCUGUGUGCUAAAAUUGUUGUGAAGGUCUCCACUGUAUCCCGAAUCUUUUCUAUUGUUUACAAAUUAUUGUCCAUGUAUAUAUCAAAUAUAAAAAUGGAUUACAAUAUUUUUAAUUAUUAUUUUAUUUUAAAUGCAAGAAAGAAGUUUGAUUCCAGCUACCAUCCAUCCACAUACGAUGCCUAAAAAAAAAAUUGAUUGGGUUUAGCUUGACACAUGGGUCUGAACAAACCGGCUUUAGCAUUCAGGUUCUCAUGCCAUAUAUCCAUCAUCGUCUCCGAGGAAGAAAGAAAGCCAUGAAAUCUAGUUUAAAUGAAAUUAACCUUAAAGUAAGUGUUUAGUUUAGAUGUUUGCUAAAAAAUUAAUUUAAAACUUCAUCCGGUGAUAUGAAAUUUAAAUUUUAGAGUUUAUUUACAAAUUAUAAUUUAAAACCAAUUUAUUUUUAAAUAAUUCAGUUCUCUUGGGUUUUGUUUUAUAAAUUCAAUUUAUAUGACAUUAAUUUAAUUUAUAUUAUUAUUGAUUCAAUCAUGGCAGGUGGGGAUGGAGGACGAAAUUUCCUUCCAUUGACCUAAGAAAGAUUCAAGUCUUUUCCUCCCAAUAUUUAAAGACUCAUUGGGAUAUGUAGAUGACAAUGAGAAGGGAAUUAAUUGACUCAUUUUCUAAAAGGAGACACCACAAAAGCCCAAAGUUUAAAAUAAAGUAGCCUUUAUGCUGCCCAAACAAUUCACUACGUAUGACUAGCUCUUUCAACUACUACCACUAUAUGUUUUUAUCAUAAAUUAAUUUGUGGUUGAAAAAGUAUUUUAUGGUGAAAUAAUUUUUUUAUUAAAAAUUAUUAUGGUUAAAAAAAUAUUUUGGGGUAAAAAAGUCUUUUUCAUUAAAAAUUAUUUGUGGGGAUGCUUGAUAUAAGUUGGUGAGUAAUUAUUCUUAGGGUUUUGCUUUGAAAAAACUUGUGUAUAAAAUGAUUAUCUAGGAAUUAUAUUAAGUGAUUAUCUAUAUUUGUCACUUUUAAACUUUAAUAAAAAUUUAGUAAAAGAAUAGUUAUAAUUUAUUUAAUGUUACUAAAGUUAUAACUCUAAGACUGUAAAAAAAUAUUUUUGAAAUACAUUUGUGAAAGUGUUCAUUGGUAAAUUAGAAUAUAGAAUCUACUCUUAAUUUAAAAUAGUAUUAUUAAUUUCUUUGAUUGUAAUUAUAUUGUUAGUUUUUAAUUUAUAGUUGAACUUGUAUAUGCAAAGGAUUGGGUUAAACAUUGAUAGUAUUUUUUUAAUUCAUAAAUUAUUACAAUGUUAAAAUAAAUUUAAAAAUAAAUAAAUAAUGUAAAUUUUGAGGAGGGUACGAAAAAUGUGAUGAAAGUACAAAGAAUAUAAAAAUAGUAUAGGAAAUGUGAAGAAAGUACGAAGAAUUUAAGGAACGUACAAUGAAUGUAACGAGUGUAAGAAGAAUAUGAAGAAUAUACAAAAAAAAUGUGAGAAAAGAACGAAAAAUGUGAGGAAUGGAUAAAAAAUGUGAGGAAUUGAUAAAAUAAUGUGAAGAUAGUAUGAAGAAUGUGAGGAAUGUAUAAAAAAAAUGUAAGAAUGGUAUAAAAAAAUGUGAAAAUGGUAGGAAAGAAUAUGAAGUGAGUACGAAAAAUGGGAGAAAUAUACAAAAAAUGUGAGGAGUGUAAAGAUAAUAUGAGAAGGUAUAGAGAAUGUGAAAAUGACACAAAAAUGUGAGAAGAGUACUAAAAAUAUAUGGUAUGAAAAAACAAAGAGAUAUAUGUUCUUUUCUUAAAUGCGAUGUUGGAGUUAUAUUUUUUUUUAAUUAAAAUGUUUAAAAAUCUUAUAUUUGUUCUUAUCUUUUUAAAAAAUAUUUUAAUAAGAAAAAUGAUAUGGUUCAAAGCAAGCUUGAAAAUGACAUGUACAAAUUUCAAGUCUCCGAAUCAACUAAUUCUCAUUCAAAUUGUCAUUCUCAUGAGCCUUUUAAUCAUCCUAAUGUAGCAACUAAUAAUGCUAUUAUAGUACCUAUGCUACCAACUCUCCUAAAAGCAAUUGUUGUUAGGAAAGGUGUACCCUAACCUUAUAGUGCAUUCACCCAAGCGCCACACAAGGGGAAUUGAUGGAUGCAGCCAACCCUCCGAACUACUAACAAUCCCCCUCCCACCCCCAGCGACACCCCUGGGGUUCAAACCCAUGACCUCGGCUCUGAUACCACUUAUAGGACCUCAGACGCUACCAACUCUCCUAAAAGCAAUUGCUGUUAGGAAAGACGCAUACCCUAGCCUUAUAGUGCAUUCACCCAAGCGCCCACGGCGAACACAAGAGGAGUUGAUGGACGCGACCAACCCUUCACUCUGCCAACAACUAUCUCUAAGAUUUUUUAUAUUUGACAUUCUUGUUUAGGUCACCCUUCUAUUGAGAUUGUAAAGAAGGUGUUCUCACUCUCUAUUUUCUUAGUUGUAUCGUUUGCGUACAAAGGGUCAAGCUUUGUGAUUACUACUCAAAAAGUGCUAUUUCAUAGCUUGUAAUUAACUCUUUUAAACACUUUUGAGUAGUAGUUAUCACCUUUUAACCCAAUUAACAUAUUAAGGACCCUUGCAAUCAAUUCUAAUCAAAUUGUGUUAAGUUUUGGUGUUUUGAUAGCUUUUUGAUCACCAAAGCAAUCCGAGAUUGAGAAGAGUUCUUUGGAAUCCAUGGCAAAAGAUGUCCGGACAGGGCGUCCGGACACACCAUCGGAGGGCGGCGGAACGUGGGUUGUGGCAGGCUAUUGGAAUGACGUAGCAAGGCUUGUGCGCUUUAGCAAUGAUCCUGACAACAUAUCCGGAAUUCUGCUCCGUCGAUAUUACACCCGGAUGUCUCACAUCCGGAAUUCUGCUCCACCGACAUUCCACCCGGAUGUAUCACAUCCGGAAUUCUUCUCCGCCGACAUUCCAUCCGGAUGUCUCACAUCCGGAAUUCUGACGCCGGAUGGGAAAGGAGGGCGUUUCAACUUCCCCGGUCAGACAUAUCCGGAUCUUUUGAUAGCGCUUACCUGGAGAGUUUCGCAGCCAUUUUGCAUAGUGCCGCGGUGUUCUCCUGAAGCUUCCAAAUAUUUGCAACCGACAUUUUGAGAUAUUUUGCUUUAGAUAUUUGAUGUCUAAAUCCCCAAACUCUUCUUAUAACCCACCAAUUAUAGGAUUCCUUAGUUCUUAAGUUUGGAAAAAGGGUGAAUAACCCCUUAUAUAUAGUUUGUAAUCUUCUUUAGAAAAUAUCCAUCUCUCGGGAGCUUGUUCUCAGAGACGGAUCCUUUGUACAGUUUUGCAAGGAAGUAAAAUACAGAGCCUUUGCUCUGCCUUACCUUCUCGUUUUAAUUGUUUUGUAUAUUAUUUACUUUUUAUUUCUAGCCAAUCAAACUCUGAGGAUUUUUCCUCAGAGGAUGAGAGGCUAGGCUCUUCGUCUCUUGGAGUGAAGAAAGCCGGGUAAGUUUCCAUAUGCAUAAAUUGGAAGUUUUGUUGUUUUAGUUUUUAAUGAAGAAAAAGUGUGACCCGUUAAUGGUUUUUAUCUUUUUAGUUAACUUAAAACGCCUUUAAAUCACCUGGGCCAACACUUGAUAAGGCAAGUGAUCUCCAUCCAUUGAGAUGCACUAGUUUAUCUCUUGCGAGCCUUUGGGAAGUGGUUUAAAGGUAGGAUUUUCUAGAAUAGCCAACACUUGGUAAGCUUUUGGACUCCAAGGAGACAUCCAUUAGUUAUCUCUUGCGAGCUUUUGACGGGUAAUCCAAGGUUAAAGAUCACCUUGAAUGGUAAAUGCUAGGUGAGAGGCAUGAGCCAUUGCAAGGUGCAUCAGUGAGAGGGAUUUAAUGUUUGAACCCAUUAAAAGGAAGCAUCUGUACCACACCGGUUAGAGAAUUAACUAUAUGUUAAUUCUCUAAAGCGAGGAAAAGAAACAAGUGACCGGAACUCCCUUUUUGUACAAGGAAUCUAAGCCCAGUGAUCUAAACUCCAAGAAACACUUUUCUUUGUAAUUAAAAUCAGUUACUAUUAUUUUUGGUUAGCUUAAAACCAAUCCUUUUUCAAACAUCUUUAUGUUUUCUUUUAAAGCUAACCUUGAAAUGAAAAGGCACCAAUUCAUCUUUGAAUUAAUAUCAAUUGUGAAAUGAAAACCCAUCCUAGUGAACGAUCCUAGAGCCACUAUGCUAUAGUAGCUUUGUCUUUGCUACCCUAGUUCAUGGUGUAAUAGGUUAUAAAUUUUGUUGAUUACUCCCUGAGAACUACAAUCAAGGGAUACCAGCUGGACACGAAUCAGCUAAGACACCAAUUGGGAACGAAUCACUUUGUCAAUCAAUAUUUGUUCACUUCAAAAAUCUUGUAGAAAACCACUUUAACAUUAAGAUAAAAUUAUACCCAAUUGAUGGUAGGGAUGAGUUUAAACCUUCUCAUUCUUAGUUAAUCAUGACAUUAAACAUUGAUUGUCUUGUCCCAAAACUCCAUAGUAGAAGGCUCAGGUAGUAUGUAAGAAUCAUUAUGUUGUAGGUUAGCCUUGUUUGCUCAAGCAUUUAUGCCUUUCAAAUUUUGGGUGUAUGCAUUUCAUGUUGCUAUUUUUCUCAUAAGAAAAAUGGCUUCUUAUAUGUUAAACUUUCAAUCUCCCUAUCAGGUUCUUUUUAGAUCAAUUCUUGAUUAUUCUUCCUUUAAAUCCUUUGGGUGUCUUUGUAAUCGCUUUAUUCAUCUUUUUAAUAAAUAGAAACUACAAUAUUGGUCUACUAAAUGUCUUUUUGUCAGUUAUCACACUCCUCACAAAAUGUAUCUUUGUCUUUAUUAAACCUUUGAUAAAGUUUACAUCACUCAUCAUGUUGUUUUUGAUGAAUCUUGUUUUCUUGUGGUUGUAGGCACUCUCCCUAGUGUUUCUACUAACUCAUCUCCUUUCCUUAUUUUUCCACUUGCUUUUAUUCAUGUCUUUUUCUUCUCCUUCUCAUGGUUCCUUCAAUACUUUACAUUCUACUCAUCAUUCUUCUUUUGUUUCCCCUAUGUCAUCCCCUAUUCAACUUGUGGUUUUGGACUCUAAGAUGCAUCCAUUACCUCCAACUAUUAAUACUCAUCCUACGCUCACUCAUGUCAAAGCUGGUGUUUUUAAACCUAAGACCUAACAAGCUAAUGCUUCCAUUGAGUUAUCUAAUUUUUAGCAAUUUAUCAAGGAUCUUCAUUGGUAAAAAGCUAUGGAAACUAAUUAUGAUGCCUUAAUGGAGAAUGAUACCCAUACACUAGUUUUUCUACAUUCAAAAGCUAAUAUUGUUGGUUGCAAGUAGGUUUAUAAGUUCAAGUACAAUCCUAAUGGCAACAUUGAACAUUUUAAGUCAUGCUUGAUUGCCAAGGGAUUUCAUCAAACACCUGCCAUUGACUGGUUUUAGUCCAGUGGUCAAAGUGGCUACUAUUUGAAUUUUUCUCAUGAUUACUCUCUCAUUUGGUUGGAUGAUUUGCCAAUUAGAUGUGCAUAAUGCCUUUUUAUAUGGUGAUUUACAUGAGCAAGUAUUUAUAUCCUAGCCAUAAGGAUUUUUUCAUCCCAGUAUCUUGACUAUGUUUGCAAGCUUAACAAAGCUCUCUAUGACCUCAAAUAGGCUCCUCAUGCCUGGUUCACCAAAUUAAGAUUGGCCUUAAGCAGCUUGGGUUUUAGAUGUGUAAGGGAUGAUAAUUUAAUGUUUGUUUAUUAUUUAGCCUCAUAUCUUAUCAUUAUCUUGGUCUAUGUUAAUGGUAUAUUAGUUAUUGGUAGUAGCUCUACUCAAGACCCUCAAUUGAUUGUUUUCUUUAUUGCUUCCUUUCUUUAUAUGAUCUUGGUGUUAUCAAUUAUUUUUUUGGUGUUGAGGUCACUCAUACAUUUGGAGCCCUUCUUCUUACUCAACAUAAGUACAUUAAGGACUUGCUUAAUUGCACAAAGAUUCUCACUUGUAAACCAACUGCUACUCCUAGUUGUGUUAGUCCAACCUUGCCUCAAUUUGAUACUUGAUAAGUCCAUUUAGAGCAACUUAUUAUCUAUGAUUUAACUUGAUAUUUCAUUAGUUUAAGAGUAAUUUUAUCUCAACAAUCAUUAUUUUUAUUGUUUUAGGUCUCAAAUAGCCAAGAGUAUGAAAAGUGAGCAAUAUGAGGCAAAAUUGGAAGAAAAAAUGAAGUUUGACGGCCUCUUACGUGACAAUUUGCGUAACUCACCCGAGAAGAAAGCGCCAUUGCGGGAAGGACUUAAGCGCCACGGCGUACGCAUGUGGAAAAUCAUAGUUGGGGACUCGAGACAAAACCGUCGCAAUUGGAGAAGCUUGUCCGUAGCGGCGCCCAAAGGAAUUUCAGAAAUCCUAAGAACCCGAGACUAAAGCGCCACGGCGGGAGACACUGAGCGCCACGACCUGAUAUUUAAAAUUUGAAAAUUAUUCGUCCUUAUCUCAUUCUGUUCAGAUCAGAAUUAGGUGGGACAUCAGUUUACGAUAUUGGGGCUAUAAAUAGACGAAAGUAGGGUUUAUUUGGGGAUUUUGGAGACUUGGAAGAAUGAGGAUCUUGAAGACCUAGGAGAAGAGAGAGCUUGGAGAACAAGAAGGAAAUUUGUAGAUUUUCUUCUAUUUGUCUGGUUUAUUCUUCCAUUUUCUUUAUGAUUGUAAUUCAAGAUGUUUGUUCUUCAUCUUAAGAUGAACUAAUUUCCUUUGUCUAGGGCUGAGAUGUAGCUCAAUCACGAUUUUUGUUUUUGAUUGGUUUAAAUUAAUUCUCUGUUUUGCAUCAAUUUAUUUGUGUAUCUAUUCUGCGCUUAAUGCUCUCAAUUCUUAAGGGCCCAAGUUUUGAUUGAUUUUAUGAUUUAGGUUGAUAACGAGAGUUAGAAUCUAAAUUAAAUCCAUAGAAUAGAUUACGUUAGAAUGAAUGAAUAGUAGAGAUACAUUACCAUGUUUUAAGAGAUUAAUAGUUAAAUCUAUAAUAAUUCCAUAGAUCGUAAUUACUCCUUUAGACUUAAAUUCACAUAAAGAUAUGUUAGGUUAGUAAUUUAAGGAGCAAUCUGAUACAUUUUGAGAGAAAAUAUUGGUUGGCUUAGGGAAAUAAAUCUCCAAAUAAAGCAUAACAGGAAUUAGGUCAAGCAAUCAAUUGCAUGAAAAGUGUUUGUAGUGAAAUCAAAAGCCCUAGAUCGUUUAAAUCAUAAGAGUUUGAAUUUAUUUUCUUUAAUUGUUUAAGUUGUUUUCUUUUACAACUUUAAAUAUUUGGUUGAUCAAAUAGUAAUAGAAAUAAUAAAUUUUAGUAAUUAGUAGCAUAGUCCUUGUGGGUUCGAUAUCCGUACUUAGGUACAAUUAUAUCACUUGAACAAUUCGUUUACUUACGAACCAACACAUCAAGUUUUUGGCGCCGUUGUCGGGGACUAUUUGUUACUAAUAUUAAUUCCAGUUAUUUAUGUGCUAAUUUGAUUUAUUUUCUUUUUAUUCUCACUCAAUUGUUUUUCUUUUUUUAGGUUUUCUUAAUGUGUGAGACGUACAAGGAGUCUGAACUUAGUACCAAUCGACCUUGAUAUCAACAAAACACUACGAAAACUAAAUCGAAAACGCAAGCAACAAGUAAUUCAAGAGGUUCCUGCAAUGGGGGAUGAGAAUCAUGUUGAUAAUGGAGUCCCAAACAGGGUACUCAAGGAUUAUUAUGUUCCUAAUGUGGGUGUCUCAAGCAUUCGAAGGCCACCCAUCCAAGCUAACAAUUUUGAGAUCAAACCGGUAAUUAUUCAAAUGAUUCAAUCUUCGAUUCAAUUUGGAGGAUUGGCCAAUGAUGAUCCUAAUCUACAUAUUGCAAAUUUCUUAGAAAUUUGUGAUACCUUCAAGCAUAAUGGUGUGACCGAUGAUGCAAUAAGACUUCGAUUGUUUCCAUUCUCUCUAAAUAACAAGGCUAAGGCAUGGUUAAUUUCAUUACCUCCGGGGACAAUCACUACAUGGGAUGGACUAGUUAACGCUUUUCUUACUAAAUCCUUCCCACCAGAAAAAUCUGCAAAAAUGAGGAAUGAUAUAACUAACUUUUUACAGCAAAAUCAAGAGUCUCUUUAUGAAGCUUGGGAAAGGUUCAAAGAUCUUUUAAGAAAGUGCCCACACCAUGGCUUACCAAUGUGGAUGCAAGUGCAAACGUUCUACAAUAGUUUGCACCCUAAUACUCAAACCAUGGUGGAUGCAGCAAGCGGAGGAGCUUUUAUUAAUAAGACAUCGGAUGAGGGAUAUCAACUUAUAGAAGUGAUGGCUAGCAACAAUUUCUUGAAGUCUACGGAUAGAAAUGCACAAAAGAGGACAGUCGGGGUUCAUGAUAUCGAUGCUUUUAAUAAUUUGGCUGCUCAAGUUGCAAUUUUAAAUAAUAAUUUUAAGAAACUGAAUGUUGCUACUGUUUCUAAUCUAGUUUGUGAAAAUUGUGCAGGUAAUCAUCAUAACUUAGAGUGUCAAGUUGGAGGCCCAUAUGAAGCAAAUCCAUCCAAACAAGUGAACUAUGUGACCAAUAAUCAACGUCAAUACAAUCCCAACUCCAAUUAUUUCAACCAAGGGUGGAGGAAUCAUCCGAACUUCUCAUGGAGUAACAACACUCAUGUGCAAAAACCACCUUCCGGUUUCCAAUCUCAAGAUAAUAAGCCAAACUUGGAAGAAGUUUUCACCCAAUUUAUACAAAAGACUAACGAUUUUAUUGAUGAUACUAAAGCAAAUUUCAGGAACCAAGGUGCAAGUAUUCGCAACCUUGAGCAUCAAGUGAGGGAGAUUUCUAAGUUAUUGACGGAGAUAACACAAAGAGCACUUCCUAGUAUCACAAAGACGAAUCCUAAGGAGCAUGUAAAGGUCAUAACUCUUAGAAGUGGGAAGUAGUUAGAACAAUCAAAGGAAGCCGAGUAGCAAGCAAAUAAGGAGAAUACUUCAGUUCCCAAGGAACAAGAUGCUUCCACUUCUAUAUAGCCAUCUAUUCCAAAACCAUCAUCUAAUGCCAUUCUUUUUCCUCAAAGGCUGAAAAAACAAAAUUUAGAUAAGCAAUUUUCUAAAUUUAUUGCUAUUUUUAAGAUCUUACAUAUCAAUCUUCCUUUUGUAGAUAUGCUGGAGCAAAUGCCGAAAUAUGCUAAAUUCUUAAAGGAGGUGUUAUCAAAUAAGAGGAAAUUGAUGGACAAUGAGAAUGUGAUGCUCACUGAAGAGUGCAACACCAUUCUUCAAAGGAAGCUUCCUCCUAAGCUAAAAGAUCCAGGGAGUUUCACUAUACCUUGCACUAUUGGUGAUUUUUAUUUUGAUAAAGUUUUAUGUGAUCUAGGUGCAAGUGUUAAUUCGAUGCCUCUUUCUAUUUUCAAGAAACUUGGACUAAGGGAAGUAAACCCUACUACGGUAUGUUUGCAGCUUGCGGAUAGAUCUAUCAAACAUCCAAGAGGCAUUAUUGAGGAUGUUUUGUUAAAAGUGGAUAAGUUUAUAUUUUUGGCUGAUUUUAUUGUAUUAGAUAUGGAAGAAGACCGGGAUGUUCCACUUAUAUUAGGAAGACCUUUUCUUGCUACAGAUAGAACUCUUAUAGAUUUUCAUCAAGGUAAGUUGAUUUUAAGGGUUCAAGAUGAAAAAGUUACGUUUAAUGUUUUUGAGGCUAUGAAAUUUCCAUCUGAUAUUGAUGCAUGCUUUGCAAUCAGUGUUUUUGAUAGGGUGGUAGCUAAAACAUUUCAUGAAACUUUUCCCACUUCACCUUUAGAAAAUUGUAUAAUGAAUGGUAGAAAUUUAGGAACUCUUUGUGAUGAUGAUGAUGAUAUAAUUGAAUGUGUUAAUAAUCUUGAUGCAUUGCUAACUUAUGAGUUUCCAAGAAAGUUAAAAUUUGAGGAAUUAGAGGCCAUUCAUGUUAACAAUCAUACAUUAAAGAAGAAGCUUCCUAAACUUGAACUUAAAUUGUUGCCAUCUCACCUCAGGUAUGCUUUCUUAAAAGAUUCUAGUUAAUAUCCUUUUAUUAUUAACUCUUCUUUGAAUGAUUUGGAGGAAUAAAAACUAUUAAGAGUUUUGAGGGAGCAUAAGAAAGCUAUUGGAUGGACUAUUGAUGACAUUAAUGGAAUAAGCCCAUCGAUUUGUAUGCAUAAGAUCCUAUUUGAAGAAAGCUACAAGCCAACAGUUCAACCACAACGAAAAUUAAAUCCAUCUAUGCAAGAAAUGGUUAAGAAAGAGGUUGUGAAGCUUUUGGAUGCAGGUAUAAUUUACCCAAUCUCGGAUAGUACAUGGGUAAGUCCAAUUCAAGUAGUUCCUAAGAAGGGAGGUAUAACUGUAGUGAAGAAUGAUAAUAACGAACUUAUCCCCACAAGAAUGAUAACCGGAAGCUUAAUGAUGCCACAAGAAAUGAUCACUUUCCUUUACCCUUCAUUAACCAAAUGGUGGAGAGACUUUCCGGUCAUGAUUAUUAUUGUUUUCUAGAUGGAUAUUCAGGAUACAAUCAAAUCCCCAUAGCACCGGAAGAUCAAGAGAAGACCACUUUUACAUGCUCAUAUGGCACUUUUGCUUACUGACGAAUGCCAUUCGAUUUAUGCAACACUCCGGCCACUUUUCAACGUUGCAUGAUGUCCAUUUUCUCUGAUAUGAUUGAAAAAUGCAUUGAAGUGUUUAUGGAUGAUUUUUAUGUUUUUGGUUCUUUUUUUUAUGAUUGCCUUUCUAAUCUUUCUUUGGUUUUGUAGCGAUGUGUUGACACAAACUUGGUUUUAAAUUGGGAAAAAUGCCAUUUUAUGGUAAGAGAAGGUAUUGUGUUAGGACAUCGAAUUUCUGUAAAAGGAAUUGAGGUGGAUCGUGCUAAGAUAGAUUUGAUUGAGAAGUUGACACCACCUACAAAUGUAAAGGGAGUUAGAAGUUUUCUUGGUCAUGCAGGAUUUUAUAGAAGAUUCAUUAAGGACUUUUCAAAAAAUUUCUAAACCUCUUUGUGAUUUAUUGGCUAAGGAUGCAGUUUUUGAUUUUUCUAAAGAAUGUUUAAAUGCUUUUGAAACUCUUAAGUCUAAACUGAUAUCUUCUCCUAUUAUUGUUGCACCUGAUUGGGAAUUGUCUUUACAUUGAUGUGUGAUGCUAGUGACUUUGCUAUAGGUGCUAUUUUAGGGCAACGGAAAAGUAAAAUUUUUCACGUGAUUUAUUUUGCUAGCAAGGUUUUAACAGAGGGUCAAGUAAAUUAUGCAACCACUGAUAAAGAACUUUUAGCAAUUGUUUAUGCUUUUGACAAAUUUCGAUCUUAUUUGAUAGGGUCUAAGGUGAUUGUCUAUACUGACCAUUCAACUUUGAGGUAUUUAUUUGCUAAGAAAAAGGCAAAGCCAAGGCUACUUUGUUGGAUCUUGCUAAUACAAGAAUUUGACUUGGAAAUCAAAGACAAGAAAGGAACUGAGAAUUUAGUUGCAGAUCAUCUUUCUCGGAUGAAUCAUGUGGAGCCUAAUGAAGAAGUUGAUGAUGAUAUUAAUGAAAGAUUUCCUGAUGAGCAACUUUUUGCAGUUGAAAAAGCGUCAUGGUAUGCAGACAUUGUUAACUAUUUGGCUAAGAAGAUUUUGCCUCCCAAGCUUACUUAUCAAAGGAGGAAGAAGUUUUUCUCAGAUCUCAAGUACCAUUUAUGGGAUGAUCAUUUCCCAUAUAAGCAAUGCGACGAUCAAAUAAUUAUGAAAUGUGUGCCGGAAGAGGAGAUGGAGAGUAUUCUGCAUCAUUUUCAUUCUCGUGAAGUUGGAGGACAUUUUGGAGCUACUAAAAUUGCAGCCAAAGUUUUACAAUCAGGAUUUUAUUGGCCUUCUCUUUUUAAAGAUUCAUUUAAUUUUGUUGCCAAUUGUGAUAGAUGUCAAAGGGUUGGAAUAUAUCUAGGGAAAAUGAGAUGCCUCUAAUAAAUAUUUUAGAAAUAAAAUUGUUUGAUGUAUGGGGUAUUGAUUUUAUGGGUCUUUUUCCAUCCUCUUAUGCUAAUGGUUUUAUUUUGGUUGUUGUAGAUUACGUUUCCAAAUGGGUUAAAGCUGAGGCACUGCAGACCAAUGAUGCUAGAGUGAUGGUUAAAUUUCUUAAGAAGAAUAUUUUUGCAAGAUUUGAUACACCAAGAGCUAUCAUAAGUGAUGGGGGAUCUCAUUUUUGUAAUAGUCAAUUUGAGUCACUAUUGGGUAAAUUGGAGUAACACAUCGUAUAGCUACUCCUUAUCACCCGCAAACAAGUGGUCAAGUUGAGGUAUCUAAUCGUGAGCUCAAGCGAAUUCUGGAGAAAACAGUUAAUUCUUCUAAGAGGGAUUGGUCAAGUAAGUUGGAUUACGCUUUAUGGGCUUAUAGAACGGCAUUCAAGACACCUAUUGGGAUGUCUCCAUAUCAAUUGGUUUAUGGCAAAUCGUGUCAUCUUCCGGUUGAGUUGGAGCACAAAUCAUUUUGGGUUGUUAAACUUUUGAAUUUUGACUUACAAACUGCAGGGGAAAAGAGAUUGUUACAAUUAAAUGAGAUGAAAGAGUUUCGUAAUAAUGCUUAUGAGAAUGCUAAGAUUUAUAAGGAUAAGGCAAAAAGAUGGCAUGAUAAGCAUAUUCAGAAGCGCAAUUUUGAAGUUGGUCAAUAAGUUCUUCUUUUCAACUCACAUCUCAAGCUUUUUCUGGGUAAAUUAAGAUCGCGAUGGUCUGGUCCAUUCAUAGUUAACAAGGUUUUACCAUCAGGAGCAAUAGAAGUUCAUCAUCCAUCAAAGGAGACUUUUACAGUGAACGGGCAACAAUUGAAGCACUAUUUGGGAGGAAAUUUUAGCACCGAACGGGUGUCUGUUGUGCUUUCAAUUCCAAAGUACAAGAGUGGAGAAAGUCUAGCUAACAACUUAAAUUUUAGCGCUUUUCGAAAGACAACUCGAUUUAUUUUGAGCAAUUUUUAUUUUCGAAUCUUGAAUUAUUUUUAGUUGUUAGGAUUUUUAUUAAUUUUGUUUUUAUUUUGUUUCAAAGUUAAUUUAGUUAGUGAAUUUUUAGAGUUAAUUGUUUGGUAGUUUAGGAUUAAUUUUUAUUUUUUUUAUUUUUAACUAUUUUUCCUUUAUUUUCAGGAGAAAAAGGGCUUUUUACAUACCCAGUGAAAGGAGCCGCAGCGGGAGGCAUUGAGUGUCGCGGUUGACUCUUCAAAUGCUACUUAUAAAGGACCCGAGGCUAAACCACUGCAGCUAGUAAGGCUUUGCGCCGAAGCAGUCACCCCCAAUUGAAUUUCUCUUAUAAAAAUUAGGGCUUUGCGCCGCGGCGAAAAGACUUGAGCACCGCUACGCGAUGAGUAAAUGGGAGUUUUAAAAGGGCCAUUUUCCUUCAUUUUUCACAAACAACUUUUCUCAUUUUCUCAUCUUCUCUCCAUUUUCUCUCUAUCCUUCGAUCCUAAUCAUAUUUAAACUCCGAAUUCUUUGUUUUCUUUUGGGAUUACUCAUGGGUUUUGGAGAUUUGGCAAGAUUAAAGCUUGAUUUGGUGUAAUUUUGGAAGGAAAAUUGCAUAUCCAAUCCGUCUUCUUGUUGGGUCACGAUUUGGGGUGAUUGUUUCUACCUUUUUGCUGCAAUUUGGACACUACUAAAUGAUAAAUGAGCGAUUUUUUUAUGUGCCCCAAAAAUUCAUCAAAAAUGGAGUUUUUUCUUUUCCUUACUUUAUUUUCUUUUGUUCAUUGAGGGCAAUGAAAGUAAUUAAGUUUGGGGGGAACGAUUAAUUUCUUCUGGGUUUAGCUAAGUUCAGUUAAAAAUGUUUUUUUCGAAACUUCUUGAUUUUUUAGCAUUAUUUUUCGAGUUGAUUCAUAUAGUCAAUGAUAAUAUCUUGAUUGCUAUGAUGCGUGGUUGUUAAGAUGAAAUUUGAUAUUGCUUAGAUUUUGAGGAUAAUUUGGAUGUUUGUUUUGUUUGGAUUUGAGAUUCAAUGUUGGUCUAGUAUGGUGAUUUUGAUAACAAUCCCAUUUUGCAUGCUUAGAGACAUUUUAUUUAGACAAUUGUGGAUGAUAGAACUUGGCUGAUUGUUACUCAAGGUGAAAUCCUAGAUUUUCAUGUUACUUAGGAGAUGAUUUAGGCCAUUUUUAGAUCGUUUGAGCUUUUCUUACCUUACCCAAAAUAUUUUAUCCGCUAGUUACCUAUUUGAGCCUUUUUAUAUAAUGUUAGCCUUAUUUUUCUUUCUUUAAGCCUAUCUUCCUACCUAUUUUAAGCCUAAACACUUAUCCUUACCCUUGAUGAGAAUAUUUACAUGUUUGUUAUUUAUUUUGUUUGAGAGCAAAAAUAUCUUAUUGAGGAAAAUAUGGAAAUGUGUAUUGUUAACCUAGUUAUAAUAGAGAAAUAAGUUUGGGGGUUUUGAAGAAUAAAAGGAAGAGUGUGCAUAAAAAAAAAAAAAAAUUGGCAUUAGGGUGAAAUAUGUGAAAAGUGCUUAUGAGCACGAAAGAAAGAAAAAGUAUGAAAAGUUUCAAGAAGGUAGGAAGUGAUGUUAAUAUUAAAAGCUCCUUGAGUCUGUUACAUUUUGUUCAAUUGUGAAUGUUCUCAUUCUUUGAAUUUAUCCUUUCCAUUCUUUGUGAGCCAACACCUUAGCCUAACAUUACAAGCUUAUUAAAGACCUUUUGAUCCGAGGUAACAUGAUGAAUAUACAUUAGUGUAGGAUAGCAAGAAAGCCAAGCCUAUGAGAUUCGAUAUCAUACAUUACUUGUUAGAGGUCGACUUUGUCUAUAAUUGUUUUUAUAAAAUCAUUUAGGUAGUAGAAUUGAUUGUUUGAAAGGUUGCUUACUUGGAUUUUUCAUAAGAUUGAAGGUUUGAAUGGAAUGAAUGUCUGAGUAAUCCUUCUUGAUUCGUGCCCCGUUAGUGUACCUUGAUUUUUGGUCCCCUGAUGGGAGUAAUCAACAAAAUUUAUAACCUAUAUCACCAUGCACUAGGAUAGCAUAAGCUAGUAUAGCAUAGUGGCUCUAGGAUCGUUCACUGGGAAGGGUUUUCAACUUACAAUUGAUACCAAUCCAAAGUUGAAUUGGUCCCUUUUCAUUUCAAGGUUAGCUUCAAAAGAAAACAUAAACUUUGGUUGAAAAAGGUUUGGUUUCAAGCUAACUAAAAAGAAAGUAAUGGGAAUUACUUAUAAAGAAAAAGCGUCUCUUGGAGUUUUAGGAUCACUGGGGUCAGGCUCCUCAUGCAAAAACAGAGUUCCGGUCACUUUGGUUCUUUUCCUCGCAUUGGAGAAUUAACAUAUAGUUCAUUCUCCAACCGGUGUUGUACAGAUGCUUCCCUUUUAUGGAUUUUAGUACUAAUUCCCUCUCACUGAUGCAUCUUGCAAUGGCUCGUGCCUUUCACCUAGCAUUUACCAUUCAAGGUGAUCAUUAACCUUGGAUUUCUCUUCUCAAGCUCGCAAGAGAUAACUAAUGGAUGCCUCCUUAGAGUCCAAAAGCUUACCAAGUGUUGGCAAUUCUAGAAAAUCCUACCUUCAAGUCACCUCCCAAAAGCUUGCAAGAGGUAAACUAGUGCAUCUCCAUGGACGGAGAUCAGUUGCCUUACCAAGUGUUGGCUCAGGUGAAUUGAAGGCGUUUUAAGUUAACUAAAAACAUAGAAAUCAUAAACGGGUUACACUUUCUCUUCAUUAACAACUGAAACAACAAAACUCUCAAUUAUUGCAUUCGGGACCUUACCCGGCUACCUUAGCUCCAAGAGACAAAAAGGCCUAGCCACCCAUUCUCUGAGGAAACAUCCUCAGAGCUUGUUUGGCUAGUAAUGAAAAAUAUAAUCAAAUUGAGUAGGUAAGGCAGAGCAAAGCUCUGUAUUUUACUUCCUUUCAAACUAUACAAAAAGUUGUCUCUGAGAACAAGCUCCCGAGCUCCCCUUUUGUAAAGAAAAUUACAACUAUAUAUAAGGGGUUAUUCACCCUUUUUCCAAACUUAAUAACUAAGGAAUCCUAUAAUUGGUGGGUUACAAGGAGAGUUUGGGGAUUUAGACAUCAAAUAUCUAAAGCAAAAUAUCUAAAAAUGUCGGUCUCAAAUAUCUGGAAGCUUCAGGAGAACACCGCGGCACUGUGCAAAAAUGGCUGCGAAACUCUCCGGGUAAGCGCUAUCAAAAGAUCCAGAUAUGUCUGACCGGGGAAGUUGAAACGCUCUCCUCUCCCAUCCGGCGUCAAGUGCUGGAUGUGAAAUAUCCGGAUGGAAUGUCGGCGGAGCAGAAUUCCGGAUGUAAGACAUCCGAGUGGAAUGGCGGCGCACUUUCCUAUCCGGACUCCCUCAGGGAGAAGCACACGGCACUCGUGAUCAUCACACCCCGGACGAUAGCAUAUCCUAUUCGGAUAUGUUGUCCGGAUUAUUGACGCCCAUGUUCCUCCGCCCUCCGAUGGUGUGUCCGGACGCCCUGUCCGGACAUCUUUUGCCAUGGAUUCCAAAGAACUCUCCUCAAUCUCGAAUUGCUUUGGUGAUCAAAAAGCUAUCAAAACACCAAAACUUAACACAAUUUGAUUAGAUUUGAUUGCAAGGGUCCUUAAUAUGUUAAUUGGGUUAAAAGGUAAUAACUACUACUCAAAAGUGUUUAAAAGAGUUAAUUACAAGCUAUGAAAUAACACUUUUUGAGUAGUAAUCACUUCUCAUUUUUGUAAUGUUCGAUAGAUUCUUGACGGCUUUGUGUUAUUAGUAAUUUUUGAGAUAAUAUUAUGAAUCAAACUUGACAAAUGAAUUUGAUUCUAGAAGUUUGAGAAGUUUUGAGUCUUGAUUUAGUUUGUGAUUUAAUUAUUUUUAGAAUAGUUUUAGGUUAGAUUUUAUUUUGUUUUUGCUCGAGGACUAGCAAAAUGUUAAGUUUGGGAGAAUUUGAUAAGUCAAUUUAGAGCGACUUAUUAUCUAUGAUUUAACUUGAUAUUUCAUUAGUUUAAGAGUAAUUUUAUCUUAACAAUCAUUAUUUUUAUUGUUUUAGGUCUCAAAUAGCCAAGAGUAUGAAAAUGGAGCAAUAUGAGGCAAAAUUGGAAGAAAAAUAUGAAGUUUGGCGGCCUCUUACGUGACAAUUCGCGUAACUCACCCGAGAGGAAAGCUCUGCCGCGGGAAGGACUUAAGCGUCGCAGCGUACGCAUGUGGAAAAUCAUAGUUGGGGACUCGAGACAAAACCGCCACGUCUGGAGGUGCUUGUCCGCCGCGGCGCCCGAAGGAAUUUUAGAAAUCCUAGGAACCUGAGACUAAAGCGCCACGACGAGAGACAAUGAGCGCCACAACCCGAUAUUUAAAAUUUGAAAAUUAUUCAUCCUUAUCUCAUAUGUUCAGAUUCGAAUUAGGUGGGACGUCAAUUUACGAUAUUGGGGCUAUAAAUAGACGAAAGUAGGGUUUAUUCGGGGAUCUUGGAGACCUGGAAGAAGGAGGAUCUUGAAGACCUAGGAGAAGAAAGAGCUUGGAGAACAAGAAGGGGAUUUGCAGAUUUCCUUCUAUUUUUCUGGUUUAUUCUUCCCUUUUCUUUAUGAUUGUAAUUCAGGAUGUUUGUUCUUCAUCUCAAGAUGAACUAAUUUCCUUUGUCUAGGGCUGAGAUGUAGCUCAAUCACGACUUCUAUUUUUGAUUGGUUUAAAUUAAUUCUCUGUUUUGCAUUAAUUUAUUUGUGUAUCUAUUCUGCGCUUAAUGUUCUCAAUUCUUAAGGGCCCAAGUUUUGAUUGAUUUUAUGAUUUAGGUUGAUAACGAGAGUUAGAAUCUAAAUUAAAUCCAUAGAAUAGAUUACGUUAGAAUGAAUGAAUAGUAGAGAUACAUUACCAUGUUCUAAGAGAUUAAUAGUUAAAUCUAUAAUAAUUCCAUAGAUCUUAAUUACUCCUUUAGACUUAAAUUCACAUAGAGAUAUGUUAGGUUAGUAAUUUAAGGAGCAAUCUGAUAUAUUUCGAGAGAAAAUAUUGGUUGGCUUAAGGAAUUAAAUCUCCAAAUAAAGCAUAACAGGAAUUAGGUCAAGCAAUCAAUUGCAUGAAAAGUGUUUGUAGUGAAAUCAAAAGCCCUAGAUCGUUUAAAGCAUAAGAGUUUGAAUUUAUUUUCUAUAAUUGUUUAAGUUGCUUUCUUCUACAACUUUAAAUAUUCGGUUGAUCAAAUAGUAGUAGAAAUAAUAAAUUUUAGUAAUUAGUAGCAUAGUCCUUGUGGGUUCAAUAUCCGUACUUAGGUACAAUUAUAUUACUUGAAUGAUUCGUAUACUUGCAAACCAACACAUCAAUAGGGAACCAUUUCUUCAUGUCUUUCUUCAUCGCAAUAUUGUUAGUGUUCAACAAUAUGUCUUCAUUACCCAAACAAACCUAUCUUUUAUUGUUAAUAAGUUUGUCAGUUCAUGUCUCAACUUACUUCUACAUAUUGUUUAUCUAUGAAACACACUUUGCAUUAUUUGAUAGGAUCUUUAUAUUAGUAUCCUUUUACAAGAAAUUGAUCGUCUUCAUUUUCAAGCUUAUUCAAAUUCUGAUACAGUCUAGGCUCUUGUCCUAAUGACAAGAAAAACAAUAAUGAUUAUUGUGUCUUCCUUAGGUUGAAUUUGGCUUCUUAGUCCUCUAAUAAGCAAUGGGUUAUUUCAAGGAGUAGUGUUGAAUUAGAAUAUUGUGGUCUAACUACUACAAUUACUAAACUCACUUAGAUCUACUCUAUGCUUUAGGAACUGUGUAUAGCAUAGGUUACCCCUCCAAUUCUGUGGUGUGAUAAUCAAAAUACUGCUUAUCUUGCUACAAAUCCUAUCUUUCAUGCUCGCCUGAAACAUAUUGAACUCGAUAUCUGACAAAAUGUUACAUAAUGAACUUGUUAUUCAAUAAAUUCCCUCUACUGAUCAACUUACUGAUGUGCUUGUUAACCGAUUGUAGUAAACUUUGUGUUGUUCCCAAAUUGAUUAACUUGCGACGGGAUGAUAAAGAGUAGAUUGCCACCUCAACCUAACUUCUAGAAUAAUCUAUUAGCUGCAACAACUAUUUGUUAUGGAUACUACACACCCAUGUUUUGCUCUUGUUAGAUCUAGUGAAUUAGACAUUAAAGCUUAAAUAAAUAUUUAACAUCACAAGCUCAUGAGUUAGGUGAUUUUUUAGUUCAUUCUCUAGAAUUUUCAAUUUACUUCCAAAGCCUAUAAAUGACCAAUUGUUGAAACAUUGUACUAACAUAUUUUUUUUUUUCCUCAAAGCAUAAAAAUCACAAAUUGUUCGAAUAUUGGAUUGACCUUUUUUUUUCCCUUAUACUUUCGUAGUUGAAUUCAUAAUUUUAGCAAUAAAAAGGGACUAAUUACUUCCAUUAUUGAUAUUGAUGAAACAAUUCCAAUGUAUAUAUAUUGACUAGAUUUAAUUCAGUUGAUUUGAGAUUGAGGAUGAUUUUAUAUGAAUUUAAUGCAUUUUCAAGAUGUUUCAAUGAAGAAUUAAUAGAUAGCAUUUAGUAUGAUUACCAAAUUUGGCUAAAGAAAAAAGGAACUAAUGCCAUUGAAUGAUGACUUAUUCUCUUCCAUUUAAUAAAGGUUAUGUUUUUUAUAUUAUAUAUUUCUUGAUGUAAUUUUCUUUUUUUCAUUCUUCUAGGAUAACUCAUGAGUUUAUUAUUAUUUUUUGGAAUAUAAGAUUUUGCUCAGAGAAUUAGAAAAUGCAAUGAAAUUGAAAAUAUAUAAUUAAAACUUGAAUUUUAAUUUAAAUUUGGGGCUAGAAUAAUUGGCUCUAAUAUUCUAGGCUCCACUACUAAUAACUUUCUCUUAUAGAUUCCAACCAUUCCAAUAUCAUUUGACCAAUUACAUCACUAUGUUUAUCAUUCAAUCUCUUGAAGAUGUUUUCCACAAUUUCAUUGAUGUAUUUGGACUCAUACCAACCAAUUAUAAAUCAUAAUAAAACAUAUGGUGAGUCAAAUGAGCUACAAAAUAAUGAUAAAAGCAACAUGAGGAAAAUUUUAUAAUAUUUUUUUAUAAGCAAAUGGUAGUAAAUUUUAUGCUUAAAUCACAUCAUGACUACAUGAUUAGUAUCCAUGUAAAUGAAGCAAUAUCUUAGUGAGGGCUCCCAAGCUCCUAAUUAAGUAUUAUUAUCAUGGAAAAGAUGAUGUAAGGGUGGUAAUUCUUGAUUAAAUCAAACUAUAAAUAGGAUUUGAAAAUGACAUGAAACUAGUGAGUUCCAUUAAUUGAUGUUGAUCGAUCAUAUUCUAAGUUGAAGUUUUCAACCUGAAUGUAUACUUCAUUUUUUUCCUCUUAGUAUUGUUAUCCUAUGAUUGUCUUCCCUCAUCCAUGUUCCUUCAUUGCAUACAUACUUAGGAUCCUUUUCUAAGUCAUUUAUUGUGUCCUUAUUAGUUGUUCAUUGUUACUCAUCUUAUCACUGUUUUUGGACCUCUUUUAGGGAUAUAUAUUAGAAGGAUUUUGUUUUUCUAAUAUGAUUUUAGUAUCCUUUAGUUUUAGCUUAAGAGUUUGUUUUCAUUCGUAAGUUUUCUUUUGAUUUUGGUUUUUCAACUUGUUUUUAGUUUAGCCCCUUUAUCUUUGUUCUUAGGUAAAUUCAUUUAGUUGCAUUUUAGGAAAAUUCACUCAGUAGUUGAUUACUACUCAAAAAGUGCUCUUUUAUAGCUUGUUAUAAACUCUUUUAAACACUUUUGAGUAGUAUUUAUUACCUUUUAACUCAAUUGGCACAUUAAAGACCCUUGCAAAUGUUUCUAAUCAGGUUUUGGCAAGUUUUGGUGUUUUUGAUAGCUUUUUUAUCAUUAAAACGAGCCAAGAAUGAAGGAGAAUUUUGUAUAGUCCAUGGCAAAGCAAGUUGAAGCUCAAACACAUGAAGAAUUCAAGGUUUGGAGAGCUUCGUAGCCUUUUCCAAAUCAAUCAAGUAUGCAAGGAAGAGAAUCAAAGAAGAAAUCUAACAUCCAACAAUUUCACCUGGCUAUGAGAAAUUUUCGCAUAGCAUGUGAAAUGUCCAAAAGGAGUACAAGCUGCAGGACAGAGAGCAAGACUGUGAAAAAUGAAUUUCGCACCCUAUGCGAAAUUUCGCAAGCCUUGCAAAAAUCCUCCUGUGUAAUUUUCAGAUAUUUUUGCACCUACUCCGUCAGAUUUUUAUCUCGAGAUAUUUUGUGUAAUUACCUAUUUUAUCCUUGUAAUCAAUUAAAGAUAUUUUUAGAUAUUUAGGAUAUCUAAAUAAGGGGUUAAAAUAUCUCUUUAUAUAUGUCUUAAAAUAUCUCUUUUGUAAGCUCUCGGAAGAUUUUCCAGAGAACACUUGUAGAUUCUUGUAGUAAGAAAUACACAGAGCUUUGCUCUGCCUUACCUACUCAUUUUGUUUUUAUUUUCUUUCUAGCCAAACAACCUCUAAUGAUGUUUUCUCAGAGGAUGAGUGGCUAGGUUUUUCAUUUCUUGGACUGAAGGAAGCUAGGUAAGGGAUCCAGAUACAAAGGUGGGAGUUUUCCUUGUUUUAAAUGAGGAGAGUUGUUACCCUUUAAUGGUUUUUAUUUUUAAGGUUUAACUUAAAAUCCCUUCAAAUCAUCUGGGCCAAUACUUGGUAAGCUUUUCAGACUUCCUGGAGAUCCAUUAGUUAUCUCUUAUGAGCCUCUAGGAAGUGGUUUAAAGGUAGGAUUACCUAAAAUGACCAAUACUUGGUAAGCUUUUCGGACUCCCUAGAGAUCCAUUAGUUAUCUCUUACGAGCCUCUGGAAGGUGGUUUAAAGGUAGGAUUACCUAGAAUGGCCAAUACUUGGUAAGCUUUUCGGACUCCCUGGAGAUCCAUUAGUUAUCUCUUACGAGCCUCUGGGAGGUGGUUUAAAGGUAGGAUUACCUAGAAUGACCAAUACUUGGUAAGCUUUUCGGACUCCCUGGAGAUCCAUUAGUUAUCUCUUACGAGCCUUUGAAGGGUAAUCCAAGGUUAGGAUCACCUUGAAUGGCCAAUACUUGGUAAGCUUUUCGGGUUCCAUGGAAUCCAUGGAUGUCUAUUAGUUAUCUCUUACGAGCCAUUGAAAGAUGAUUCACAGUGAGAGGUCUUUAGUGUUUGAAACCAUUAAUGGGAAGCAACUACAGUUUUUCAUGGACCAAUGGGAUCAAAUCUUGAUUGCUAAAUACACACCGGUUCGGGAGAUAACCAUUCUUUAUGUUAUUAUCCCCAACGCGAGGAAAAGAUCCGGAAUCUCCUCCUUUUGUCUAAGGAACCUGAACCUAGUGACCUAAAACUCUAAGAAAUCCUUUUCUUUGUAAUUAAUCUCAGUUACUAUUUUUGGUUAACUUAAAACCAACCUUUUUCAACCAAAAUUAUGUUUUCUUUUAAAGCUAACUCAUAAAAGAAAAAGCAUCAUUUCAGUACUUUAACUAAUAUCACUUGUAAUAUGAAAACCCAUCCUUGUGGACGAUCCUAGAACCACUAUACUAUGCUAGCUAUGCUACCCUAGUGUAUGGUGAAUUAGGUUUAUAAAUUUUGUUGAUAACUCCCGUCUGAGGACUGAAUCAAAUAGAUCACCAAUUGGGGACAAAUCAAAUGGCGUCGUUGUCGGGGAUGGUGCCACUUCACAGUGAUAUAACCUUUACAAAACACUUGUGAUCUUCAUCACAAGUUUGGUGAUUUUUCUUUUCUUUUACUAACUCUUUUUAUUUGUUUUCAUUUUAGUUUAUCUUUUAUCUAGUUUUUAGUUAACCUUAAUUUUUUUUUUCUAGAAUUGUAUUUCUUUUGUUUUCUGUGUUUUUGUUUCAAUUAUUGCUAGUUGUGCAUGCCCUAUUGGAUAUGAGACAAUGAGGGAAGACUUAUGAAAAUCGAAACUCCUCACGAAACAGAGUUGGAAUUGUGCUUGAACGUCAUGGAAGCUACACCUGAAGAUCAGCAUAGUCAACAUGCUCAGGAGGAGAAUUUCAACGCAUACCGAUCCAUGAGGGACCGCAUGCAUGCACCUCGUAUGAGUGCACCGUCAUGCAUAGUGCCACCUACAGAGCAACUGGUGAUCCGACCACAUAUUGUGCCACUUCUACCUACUUUCCACGUGAUGGAAAGUGAGAAUCCCUACGCGCAUAUCAAGGAAUUUGAGGAGGUUUGUAAUACUUUCCAAGAAGGAGGAGCUUCAAUCGACUUGAUGAGGCUCAAGUCAUUUCCUUUCACCUUGAAGGAUAAGGCCAAGGUCUAGCUUAAUUCUUUAAGGCCAAGGAGUAUUCGAACUUGGACUGAUUUGCAAGCUGAAUUUCUUAAGAAAUUUUUCCCGACCUAUAGGACCAAUGGCUUGAAAAGGCAAAUUUCAAACUUCUCAGCUAAAGAGAAUGAGAAAUUCUAUGAGUGUUGGGAGAGAUACAUGGAAGCUAUCAAUGCUUGUCCUCACCAUGGCUUUGAUACAUGGCUAUUGGUGAGCUAUUUUUACGACGUUAUGUCUUUCACUAAUGAAGCAACUCCUAGAAACUAUGUGCGAAGGAGACUUCAUGAGUAAGAAUCCGGAGGAAGCCAUGGAUUUCUUGAGUUAUGUAGCUGAAGUUUCAAGAGGAUGGGAUGAGUCGAAUGCUAGAGAAGUGGGAAGAAUGAAGUCUCAACUUAAUGCUCCUAAUGCUAAGGCUGGAAUGUAUACUUUGAACGAAGAAAUCGAUAUGAAAGCAAAAGUUGCAGCUAUGGCAAGAAGAUUGGAGGAGCUAGAAAUGAAGAAGAUAUGAGAAGUGCAGGUCAUUUCUGAAACACCAAUGCAAGCUAUGUCGUGUUCCAUUUGUCAAUCUUUUGAGCACUUAGUGGAGGAGUGUCCUACGAUUCCAAUUGUGAGAGAAAUGUUUGGGGAUCAAGCAAAUGUUAUUGGACAAUUUAAGCCCAAUAACAAUGCUUCAUAUGGCAACACCUACAAUUCAAAUUGGAGGAACCAUCCGAAUUUCUCAUGGAAACCAAGGGCACCUCAGCACACACAACCUGGCCAAGCACCUCCGUAAGCCUCAAAUCUUGAACAAGCCAUUAUGAAUCUUAGAAAGGUCGUGGGAGACUUUGUUGGAGACCAGAAAUCCAUCAAUGCUCAGCUCAGUCAAAGAAUUGACAGUGUAGAGAGUACAUUGAACAAAAUAAUGGACGGAAUACAAAAUGAUCUAUCUCAGAAGAUAGAUAAUCUCCAGUACUCAAUCUCAAGGCUCACCAACCUCAACACAGUAACAAAGAAAGGAAAGUUUUCUUCUCAACCUCAUCAGAAUCCCAAGGGUAUCCAUGAAGUAGAGGCUUAGGAGGGAGAAUCUUCACAUGUGAAACAAGUCAAAGCAGUUAUCACUCUAAGGAGUGGUAAAGAGAUUGAUCUGCCUACCUCCAAGCAAGAGCAUGAACCAGAGAGUGAAACAUAGAAAGAAAAGAGGAAGGAAAUCAAAGGAAAGAAAAAAGGGAACAGUGCAAAGAAUGAGGACCUUGAAUCUACUGUGAAUGAAGAACCAGAGAGGACCAUCAACCAAGAAGAUAUGAUGAAGAAACACAUGCCUCCACCUUUCCCCCAAGCUUUGCAUGGCAAAAAAGGAAUCAAUAAUGCAUCAGAAAUUCUUGAAGUGUUGAGGCAAGUGAAAGUUAACAUCCCUUUGCUAGACAUGAUUAAACAAGUUCCGACUUAUGCAAAAUUCCUGAAGAACUUAUGCAUUAUAAAAAGAGGGUUGAAUGUGAAUAAGAAAGCCUUCUUGACUGAGCAAGUAAGUGCCAUUAUACAGUGCAAGUCUCUAGUGAAAUACAAAGAUCCAGGUUGUUCUACCAUCUCAGUGAUUAUUGGAGGGACGUGUGUGGAGAAAGCUUUGUUGGACUUGGAGGCAAAUGUGAAUUUGCUACCCUAAUCUGUCUACAAGCAAUUGGGACUUGGAGAGUUGAAGACAACAUCAAUCACUCUAUCUCUAGCAGAUAGAUCUGUGAAGAUUCCAAGAGGCAUGAUUGAAGAUGUCCUAGUUCAAGUUGACAAAUUCUACUACCCAGUGGAUUUUGUUGUUCUUGAUACAAACCCAGUUGCCAAAUGAACUAACUAUGUUCCUAUCAUACUUGGAAAACCAUUCCUAGCUACAUCAAAUGGUAUCAUCAAUUGUAGGAAUGGAGUCAUGCAACUUAUGUUUGGCAACAUGACGUUAGAGCUCAACAUCUUCUAUUUGUGCAAGAAACAAUUCCAUCCAGAAGAAGAAGAAGAACCAAAAGAGGUGUGCAUGAUUGACAACUUAGUGGAGGAGCAUUGUGAUCAGAAAAUGCUCAAAGAUUUGAAUGAAAGUCUUGGGGAUCUUGAUGAAGGGUUACCUGAACCCUCAGAUUUGCUUGCACUUUGCCCCCUUGGAAGAGGAGGGAAGAAAUUCUACCUUUAUUCAAUGGGGAGGAGACACAAGAAGUUGUUAAGGAGGAGCCCCCAAAGCUUAUUCUGAAGCCACUACCCACGGAGUUGAAGUAUGCAUACCUGGAAGAAAACAAACAGAGCCUUGUUGUUAUUUCUUCAUCUCUUACCACUCCUCAGGAGGAUUGUCUACUUGAAGUCCUCAGGAGAUGUAAGAAGGCGAUAGGGUGGCAAAUAUCUGAUCUGAAAGGGAUCAACCCUUUAGUUUGUACCCAUCAUAUAUACAUGGAAGAAGAAGUUAAGCCAGUUCGAAAACCUCAGAGAAGGUUGAACCCUCACAUGCAAGAGGUGGUGUGAGCUGAAGUGCUUAAGCUACUUCAGGCUGGUAUUAUCUACCCCAUAUCAGAUAGCCCAGGGGUGAGUCCUACGCAAGUCGUGCCAAAGAAAUUAGAGAUCACGGUGGUGCAAAAUGAUAAGGGAGAAGAAGUUUCUACACACCUCACUUCAGGUUGGAGGGUGUGUAUUGAUUAUAGAAAGUUGAAUGUUGUAACAAGGAAUGACCGCUUCCCGUUGUCGUUUAUUGAUCAAGUGCUUGAGAGGGUCUCUGGCCAUCCAUUUUACUAUUUCUUGGAUGGCUACUCCGGGUAUUUUCAAAUGGAAAUUGAUGUUGAAGACCACUUUCACAUGUCCAUUCGGAACCUACACAUACGGAAGAAUGUCUUUCGGCUUAUGCAAUGCACCCGCAACAUUCCAAAUAUGCAUGUUAAGCAUUUUCAGUGAUAUGGUGGAGCGUAUUAUGGAAGUCUUUAUGGACGAUAGCACCAUAUAUGGAAGUACGUUUGACGAAUACUUAAUCAACUUGGAAGUUGUUCUGAACCGAUGCAUUGAGAAACACUUGGUGCUUAACUAGGAGAAAUGUCAUUUCAUGGUACACCAAGGGAUUGUCCUUGGGCAUAUUAUCUCAAAGCAAGGCAUUGAAGUGGACAAAGCAAAGGUUGAACUUAUUGUCAAGUUGUCAUCGCCAACAACUAUCAAAUGAGUAAGGCAAUUCCUUGGUUAUGCAGGGUUCUAUAGGAGGUUUAUCAAAGAUUUCUCUAAACUUGCAAGACCUCUUUGUGAACUAUUGGUAAAGGAUGCUAAAUUUGUAUGGGAUGAUCGAUGUCAACGGAGUUUUGAAGAACUGAAGCUAUUUUUGACAACCGCUCAAAUACUGAGAGCUCCCAACUGGCAAUUGCCCUUUGAAGUGAUGUGCGAUGUCAGUGACUUUGCUAUAGGAGCUAUUCUUGGGUAAAGAGAAUAUGGAAAGCCCUAUGUGAUCUACUAUGCGAGCAAAACGUUGAAUGAAGCGCAAAGAAACUACACAACCAUAGAGAAAGAAUUGUUGGCUGUAGUUUUUGCCUUAGACAAAUUCCACACUUAUUUGGUGGGGUCUUUCAUUGUGAUUUUCACUGAUCAUUCGACCUUGAAAUAUCUGCUAACUAAGCAGGAUGCAAAAGCGAGGCUGAUUAGAUGGAUUCUCUUGCUUCAAGAGUUCAAUCUUCAUAUCAAAGACAAGAAAUGAGUGGAGAAUGUGGUAGUCGACCAUCUGUCAAGGCUAGCCAUCGCAACAAAAUUCCCAUAGUUUGCCCAUUAAUGAUGAUUUUCCAGAGGAGUCACUCAUGUUGAUGAAAGUCGCUCCUUGGUAUGCUCAUAUUGCUAACUAUUUAGCUAUCGAAGAAGUUCCAAGUGAGUGGAAAGCACAAGAUAAGAAGCACUUCUUUGCAAAAAUUCAUGCCUAUUAUUAGGAAGAGUCAUUUCUAUUCAAAUAUUGUGCAGAUCAAAUAAUACGGAAGUGCGUCCCUGAACAAGAGCAACAGGGGAUCCUCAGUCAUUGCCACGAAAGCGCAUGUGGAGGCCACUUUGCUUUUCAAAAGACAGCUAUGAAGGUAUUGCAAUCGGGUUUCUGCUAGCCAUCACUUUUCAAAGAUGCCCACACCAUGUGCAGGAGCUGUGAUAGAUGUCAGAGGCUUGGGAAGUUAACACAUAGGAACAUGAUGCCUUUGAACCCCACUUUAAUAGUUGAUCUUUUUUAUGUCUGGGGCAUUGACUUCAUGAGACCUUUUCCUAUGUCCUUUGGCUACUCCUACAUCUUGGUAAGGGUAGAUUAUGUUUCUAAAUGGGUUGAAAUGAUCCCAUGCAAAUGCACUGAUCACAGAGUUGUUCUCAAAUUUCUCAAAGAGGACAUCUUCUCUAGAUUUGGAGUACCCAAGGCUUUAAUCAGUGAUGGGGGUACUCAUUUUUGUAACAAGUCGUUCGAAACUCUCUUAGCCAAGUACGGGGUAAAGCAUAAGGUAGCUACACCUUACCACCCUCAGACUUCUAGGCAAGUUGAGUUAGCAAAUUAGGAGAUCAAAAACAUACUGAUGAAGGUGGUGAAUAUGAGCAGAAGAGAUUGGUCUGUUAAGCUUCAUGAUUCACUAUGGGCGUACAGAACAGCUUACAAGACCAUUCUUGGAAUGUCUCCUUAUCGCCUAGUCUACGGCAAAAUGUUCCAUCUCCCCGUGGAAGUGGAAUACAAAGUUUGGUGGGCAAUCAAGAAGCUCAACAUGGAUUUGAGCAGAGCCGACAUGAAGAGGUUCUUAGACCUUAAUGAGAUGGAGGAACUGAGAAAUGACGCCUACAAUAAUUCAAACAUUGCAAAACAAAGAUUGAAGAGGUGGCAUGAUCACUUAGUCUCCCGCAAAGAAUUCCAGAAGGGACAAAGAGUCUUGCUAUAUGACUCUAAGCUCCAUGAUUACUACUCAAAAAGUGCUAUUUCAUAGCUUGUAAUUAACUCUUUUAAACACUUUUGAGUAGUAGUUAUCACCUUUUAACCCAAUUAACAUAUUAAGGACCCUUACAAUCAAUUCUAAUCAAAUUGUAUUAAGUUUUGGUGUUUUGAUAGCUUUUUUAUCACCAAAGCAAUCCGAGAUUGAGGAGAGUUCUUUGGAAUCCAUGGCAAAAGAUGUCCGGACAAGGCGUCCGGACACACCAUCGGAGGGCGGCGGAACGUGGGCUGUGGCAGGCUGUCGGAAUGACGUAGCAAGGCUUGUGCACUUUAGCCAAUGAUCCGGACAACAUAUCCGGAUAGGAUAUGCUAUCGUCCGGGGUGUGAUGAUCGCGAGUGUUGUGUGCUUCUCCCUGAGGGAGUCCGGAUAGGGGAGCGCGCCACAUAUCCUCUUAGAGAAUCCGAAUGGAGUUGCUCCGGAUAGCGAUGCGCACUCCGUGUCAUCAGGAGAAGGGGUCCCUACACCUUGCACACGCAGACAGCCCCCUUGCGAUGUGUGGCAUCGCACAUUCCACCCGGAUGUAUCACAUCCGGAAUUCUUCUCCGCCGACAUUCCAUCCGGAUAUUUCGCAUCCGACGUUUGAUGCCGGAUGGGAGAGGAGGGCGUUUCAACUUCCCCGGUCAGACAUAUCCGGAUCCUCUGAUAGCGCUUACCCAGAGAGUUUCGCAGCCAUUUUGCACUGUGACGCAGUGUUCUCCUGAAGCUUCCCGAUAUUUGCGACCGAUAUUUUGAGAUAUUUUGCUUUAGAUAUUUGAUGUCUAAAUCCCCAAACUCUCCUUGUAACCCACCAAUUAUAGGAUUCCUUAGUUAUUAAGUUUGGAAAAAUGAUGAAUAACCUUAUAUAUAUUAUUAUUGUAAUUUUCAUAUAAAUAUCUCUCGGGAGCCUAUUCUCAGGGAGACGACGCAUCCUUUGUACAGUUUUGCAAGGAAGUAAAAUACAGAGCCUUUGCUCUGCCUUACCUUCUCGUUUUGAUUGUAUUGUAUAUUAUUUAAUUUUUCUUUCUAGCCAAUCAAACUCUGAGGAUUUUUCCUCAGAGGAUGAGAGGCUAGGCUCUUCGUCUCUUGGAGUGAAGAAAGCCGGGUAAGUUUCCUCAUGCAUAAAUUGGAAGUUUUGUUGUUUUAGUUUUUAAUGAAGAGAAAGUGUGACCCGUUAAUGGUUUCUAUGUUUUUAGUUAACUUAAAACGCCUUUAAAUCACCUGGGCCAACACUUGAUAAGGCAAGUGGUCUCCAUCCAUUGAGAUGCACUAGUUUAUCUUUUGCGAGCCUUUGGGAGGUGGUUUGAAGGUAGGAUUUUCUAGAAUAGCCAACACUUGGUAAGCUUUUGGACUCCAAGGAGACAUCCAUUAGUUAUCUCUUGCGAGCUUUUGACGGGUAAUCCAAGGUUAAAAAUCACCUUGAAUGGCAAAUGCUAGGUGAGAGGCACGAGCCAUUGCAAGAUGCAUCAGUGAGAGGGAUUUAGUGUUUGAACCCAUUAAAGGGAAGCAUCUGUACCACACCGGUUAGAGAAUUAACUAUAUGUUAAUUCUCUAAAGCGAGGAAAAGAAACAAGUGACCGGAACUCCCUUUUUGUACAAGGAACCUGAGCCUAGUGAUCUAAACUCCAAGAAACACUUUUCUUUGUAAGUAAAAUCAGUUACUAUUUUUGGUUAGUUUAAAACCAAACCUUUUCCAUUCAAACAUCUUUAUGUUUUCUUUUAAAGCUAACCUUGGAAUGAAAAGGCACCAAUUCAGCUUUGAAUUAAUAUCAAUUGUGGAGUGAAAACUCAUCCCAGUUAACGAUCCUAGAGCCACUAUGCUAUAGUAGCUUUGUCUUUGCUACCCUAGUUCAUGGUGUAAUAAGUUAUAAAUUUUGUUGAUUACUUCCUGAGGACCAAAAUCAAGGGACACCAGCUGGACACGAAUCAAAUGGCACCACUGUCAGGGACCAUUGAGAUGACAGCUGAGACACCAAUUGGGAACGAAUCAUUCCACAUCUUCCCGGGAAAACUGAAGUCAAGGUGGAUAGGUCCGUUUACUAUCCAACAAGUGCAUUCAAAUGGAGUGGUGGAACUACUCAAUUCCAACAACAUCGAGAGUUUCAAAGUCAAUGGCCAUCGUCUCAAGCCAUUUGUGGAGCCUUUUUCUCUAGACAAUGAGGAAAUCAUCAUCUUUGAGCCACAUCAAGCUUAACAAGACAAGUGGUUAGAUGGACUUAGUCUGUCGAAAGACAUUAAGUCUAUAAUUUUUUGUUUUAAUGUUGAUUUAAAGUUUUAUUGAUUUAGUACUUGUUUUAAUUGUAAUUUCUUGCUUUAAUUUUAUUUUUUUGUGAUUUAAUUUAAUUUUUUAUGAUCAAUUGCAAGUGGAUUUCAUAAUAGAUGGGAAAAACCUUUAAAAAAUUUAUGGUGGAGGAAAAACAGAGCAUUUCGCACAUGCUGCGAAAAUUUUGCAAGGCUUGCGAAAAUCCCAAAUAUCAUUUCGCAAGGGGUACGAAAAUUUCGCACACCCUGCAAAAGCCAAUUCGCACACCCUGUGAAAAUUUCGCAAGGCAUGCGAAAAAUUCGCAUACCCACCUUUGCAUUGCGAAAAUGCCAUGCGAAAUUGCUUUGCUUUGCGAAAAUGUUUUGCGAAAACCUGUGCCAAAUUAGAGAGGGUAUGCAAACCCAUUUCACAAUCCUGUGCGAAGUCCAACAGCCGGUGCGAAAACCAACAGUCACUUAAAACUCUAUUUAAAGCCCUCUAAGCCCUAUUUUCAUUUCGUACACCCCAUCUACCCAUUGCGAAAGCCUCUAUCACCUUGCGACGCCCAAACUUCCAUCGUUUUUCUCCAUUGGACGCCCCGCGACCACCCAUUUGAAGAGGCGACCCCCACCGAACUUGAAGAACACAGACCCGAGCCUUUCACUCCAUUUUUUACAUGGCGCGAAUUAGAGGAGGCCAUACCGACUCUUCACUCUCUCGCGAGCCGAGGCCAAGAGCCUGCUCUCCUCAAGAUUCGACAUCUCAGGCCCUUGAGGCCCCAACCAUUCCAUCUUUUGAGGGAGGAGUGCCCUCUAAUCCUCCUCAACAUAGAUACGAGACGUGGAGACCACCGACUACACCUGGGACUACUUCUUCGCGCCCUGAGACCUCAAUACGUUGCACUCCAACUAAGAGGGCCAGGACUUUAGGCCCUGGAAAGUCGUCUAGAUCUUCACAGCCUGAUCAUAGGGCCCCUGUCGAUUCUCAGCGUCCUUCUAACAUGUCACCGGAAGCCAUCAUCAAACGACCUAUGGUCACCGCGCCGCCCAUUAAGGGCAAUUCAGAUUGUAGAGCCAGACCAUUUCAUUCCGAGCUAUAUUUUGACCUCGAGGUUAUGCGACAGUAGUCGGAGCUUCGGGAUUCAUUUGGACUACUCCAGAGGUACCAUCUCGAGCACCUUAUGACUCCCAGGGAGUUCUUUUACCCCAAAGUGGCAAUGGACUUCUAUCAUUCUAUGACUACUCAAGGCGCCUGGAGUCCUACCGCCAUUCACUUCAGCAUUGAUGGGCGCCAGGGUAUCCUUGAGGCUAGACACAUUGCAGAGGCUCUACAUAUUCCAUACGAGCUAGUGAAUCCAGCAGAUUGCCAGGAGUGGUCCCCUGUAUCUCAGUGGGACAUGGUCCGCAUCUUAUCCAUGGAAACCUUUGGAGAUUCAGUCCUUCUACGUAAGGAGCUUCCACCUAGGAUGCUCCUAGUAGAUGUGUUGCUACAGUCCAAUCUUUUUCCCCUUCAGCAUUUAGUGCAGAUGAGAGGAGCCAUUCUGAACGCUUUAUUCCGGAUAUCCAAGGGUUUCUAUUUCGGGCCACAUCACUUGAUUAUGGCCUCUCUCCUCCACUUUGAGGAGAAGGUUCACAGGAAGAAGCUCCAGAGAGCCGACACUAUUCCACUACUGUUUCCGAGGUUGCUAUGUCACAUAUUGGAGCAUAUGGGUUAUCCUACUGAGCCCUACCUUGAGCGCCGCCAUCAUUGUCGAGAGCGAUUCACUCUCAACAAAUGGACACAGUUGGCGGGCUAUUCGGCACCUCUAGAAGUCCCACCCAGGCCAGCACCUCCAGUGCCACCAUAGGCUGAGUAGGCACAACAGGAUGAGCUUCCCACGGAGUCUGUACCACCUACCCCUACAACACCUAUGCCUGAGGCCACUUAUACUGCUCCUCCUACCACUCCUGCCGUUCCACCAGUUGCACCUUCUAUAUCUGAGGCCUUCAUCACCAUUUCUGCCACAGAGUUUCGCGCCAUGGUACAUACAUUCCAGACACUGACCACUACACACAAUGCUUUAUUCCAACAGAUGGCCACCAUGCGUGCUCGGUAAGACCAUCAUACUGCUAUCCUUCAUCAUAUUCAGCAGCAUUGGGGACUUCUGCCACCACCUCAGCCUGACAUUCAUGGACCAUCACAGCCCAUAGCUCUAGUUAAGGAGACUAUUCCAGCUGAGGAGACCACUAAAGCCAAUGUCCCGAUCUAGCCUACUCAGGAGGCCACCACAGAGGCAUCACCUCCACCAGAGGCCCCCGCUACUUGAUCAUCUCUUUAUCAUAUUGUAUUUACUUAUUAUAUUAGUAGACAUAAUUACAUGUUUUGAUGUUUUAUAUUAUGGGAUUGGAUGUAUUACAUGAUCAUAUCUCACAUUGUACUUUCUCAGAGUAAUAUAUACACAUCAUUUUUUAUUAUAUUUGUCAUUCUUCUAUUUCCUCUACUCAUUACUCUUUUGUUUUUUGAAUCAUGUGGUUUAUCCUAUACGACUCAAACUCCAUGUCACUCAGGAGGUACCACUUCCUUCUUUUAUUUUCAAUCGCUCUUGCCACAUUGAGGACAAUGUUGAUCUUGGUUGAGGGGAGAGUUAAGGAAGAAAGUUUUGUUAAUAAUGCUAGGUUAUUUUGUUAAUUUAGGUCUUUUUUCUUAAUUUUAAACUUUUUGCUUAAUUUUAAAAGUUUUUAUUCUACCAUCCAUGAUUAUUAAGAAAAUUUUCUCAAAAGGAAAUGGGAGAUAUUGAAUUCUUAUCUUUUUACUUGAAUCUUAGAGUUUAUAUUAUGUGUAUUGAGGUUGAUGAAUUAUUGAAAAUCCUAUUGAAUUCAACCUUAUUUCUUCCACUUUAAUCUUACCACACACUAUGCACAUUAGGUUCCAUUUAUAAGAUGAAAAACUAUCUCACCCCCUAAACUUAGGAAAACUUUGACUUAGUACCUUUGACCUCAUUUUAAUAGUAUUGGGACACCUUAUAAAAGGCCAAUGAGCCUUUGAAAAAAAAAAUAAGAAAGAACAAAGUGUUUCGCUUGCCUUGAAACCCGAGCAAGAUCCGAGGGGUUUAUGGCGAAAGUCUUUAAAACCCGAUGCCCUAAACCUUUAUUGGUUGGGAGUCACCAACCUCAAUGCUCGUUGCAAGGGUGAAUAGGUGGAGUUUAACAUAUUGUAGGUGCUUGGGUAUUAAAUGUCAAUCUCAAAAGUCCGGGGUAAAAUCUGAAGAGUUAGUGGUCGAAAGAUCCUUAAAGCUUGAUGCCCUAAACCUUGAUUGGUUGGGAGCCAUCGAUGGAUCCCUAUUACAUGGACACUUUAGAAAACAAUACCUUAAGCAUUGCACACUUACAAUGAAAAAAAAAAUUUGUGAAAUAAAAGAGGUGCGUUUUUAGCCUAUUGGAGGUUGGUCAGUUUGCUAAAGUUUGAGAAAGAACUAGGUUGGGGGGAGAGAUUAGUUCAGCAUACUAUAUUCGGAAACUAAUAAGCUUAACACAUAGAUUUUUGUGCAAUAGUAAGGAUUGAGGCUAUGAGAGUGGAAAUCCUUUUAAUACUUAAAUUUGCAUAAUGCCUACUUUUUAUGAAUUGUGAUCAGGCAAGAUAUUUGAUAAAUUCUUGUUGAAGGUUGAGUUUUGCUUCUUUAAUGUCCCAUGAGAGAGUAUGCUCUACAUCAUGCCACUUGAAAAAAUUUUGGAGUGAUCAGCAUGAUUUUGUAAAUUAUUUUACUGUCUAUUUUUCAUUUUUCUCUCCUUCAUUGCUAAGGGACUAGCAAUAUGUCGGUUGGGGGGAGUGAUUACUACUCAAAAAGUGCUCUUUUAUAGCUAGUUAUAAACACUUUUGAGUAGUAUUUAUUACUUUUUAACUCAAUUGGCACAUUAAAGACCCUUGCAAAUGUUUCUAAUUAGUUUUUGGCAAGUUUUGGUGUUUUUGAUAGCUUUUUUAUCAUUAAAACAAGCCAAGAAUGAGGGAGAAUUUUGUAUAGUUCAUGGCAAAGCAAGUUGAAGCUCAAACACAUGAAGAAUCCAAGGUUUGGAGAGCUUCGUAGCCUUUGCCAAAUCAAUCAAGUAUGCAAGGAAGAGAAUUAGAGAAGAAAUCUAACAUCCAGCAAUUUCGCAUGACUAUGCAAAAUUUUCGCAUAGCAUGCGAAAUGCCCAAAAAGAGUACAAGCUACAGAACAGAGAGUAAGACUGUGAAAAAUGAAUUUCGCACCCUAUGCGAAAUUUUGCAAUCCUUGCGAAAAUCCUCUUGUGUAAUUUUCAGAUAUUUUUGCACCGACUCCGUUAGAUUUUUAUCUCGAGAUAUUUUGUGUAAUUACUUAUUUUCUCCUUGUAAUCAAUUAAAGAUAUUUUUAGAUAUUUAGGAUAUCUAAAUAAGGAGUUAAAAUAUCUCUCUAUAUAUGUCUUAAAAUAUCUCUUUUGUAAGCUUUCGGAAGAUUUUCCAGAGAACUCUUGUAGAUUUUUGUAAUAAGAAAUACACAGAGCUUUGCUCUGCCUUACCUACUCAUUUUGUUUUUAUUUUCUUUCUAGCCAAACAACCUCUGAUGAUGUUUUCUCAGAGGAUGAGUGGCUAGGUUUUUCAUUUCUUGGACUGAAGGAAGCUAGGUAAGGGAUCCGGAUACAAAGGUGGGAGUUUUCCUUGUUUUAAAUGAGGAGAGUUGUUACCCGUUAAUGGUUUUUAUUUUUAAGGUUUAACUUAAAAUCCCUUAAAAUCACCUGGGCCAAUACUUGGUAAGCUUUUCAGACUCCCUGGAGAUCCAUUCGUUAUCUCUUAUGAGCCUCUGGGAGGUGGUUUAAAGAUAGGAUUACCUAAAAUAGCCAAUAAUUGGUAAGCUUUUCGGACUCCCUAGAGAUCCAUUAGUUAUCUCUUACAAGCCUCUAGGAGGUGGUUUAAAGGUAGGAUUACCUAGAAUGGACAAUAUUUGGUAAGCUUUUCGGACUCCCUGGAGAUCCAUUAGUUAUCUCUUACGAGCCUUUGAAGGGUAAUCCAAGGUUAGGAUCACCUUGAAUGGCCAAUACUUGGUAAGCUUUUCGGGGUCCAUGGAAUCCAUGGAUGUCUAUUAGUUAUUGACCGAAAUUUCUCUAUUGUACCAAAAUACUUAGCCUUUUUACGUAGUAACUCUGGUCAAGAAAAACUAGAGAAAGAGUCACUACGGCUUUUGUAGUAUUCCGGGUAUCGUUCUCAAGGACUGGCUUAUGAAAAUUGUCAAUACUAGAAUAAAUGAAUUGUUUUUUGUUUAAAUCCUUAAGUGAAAAACAAUAUGUGAAUAAUGUGAAACUAAGUAAAAGAAAUUGGAUUAAUAAGAGAAAAUGAAUAUUGAUUUUAAAUUCAAUUGAUUCAAGUUUGGGGUUUUCCACAAUCCAACCUAGGGUAUAGAAAUUAUAGAAAACAAGGGUAUUUUAAGUAAUAUGAUCUUAGGGUUUUGGGAUCCUUGGCCACUCGCGAUCAAGUUGGGUUCUAUAACUCAAAAUUGCAUCCGAAACCUAAUUUUUCCUUUUUCAAACAGAUUCCUAAAACCAUCAAAUGAAUGAGAUUGAUUAUCAAUUUAAGAUUUGGCUUUUUAACCCUUCCUACUCCUUAUAGCUUUGUUUAGGGGCAAAUAACGGUAGGGAAAACGAGGAUAACUAAUGAUCAAGAAUUACCAAGAAUCACUAGUAUCAAGUAAUAACCUAUCGUAUCAUUCCCUAAACGAACUCACAAGGAUAGGAUAAAAAAAUAUAAUAAAUUGUCACCCAACCAAUAAUUAAUCUCAUUGUUAUAGUAAUUUACCCAUUGUCCCUAUAGGUUUCCUAGCCCUUAGGUUUUCAUGCUUCAAGCCCCAAGUUGGCUCUUAGCCUCUCAUGGGGGUGAUGUCACAUUCACAAUCCAUAGUAGGGUAAAAAUCCAUAAUUUGAAUCAAAAGAAACUAAAAACAAUAUAUUCAAGAAAGAAGGAGAAGAAAACAAACCAAAGUUCUCGUCUUCUUCCACCUUCAAUGUCAAACUCUCUAGAAAAAAAUCCAAGAUCCAAGAUCCCUAAAACCUAGAAUUGAGAGGGUUUAUAUAAUAUCCUCAAUUACCUAACAUGUGGCACACUCUCAUUGGCCACUUAUUACAAAAUAAUUUCCUAAAAAUGAUUAAAAAAUAAUAAAAUGGUGAUUUCUAGUCGUGUGGGGUCCACCUAGGCCGGAUGGAGUGCUUUAGAUGCAAUUCCCGAGGUAGAGGAGGCGGAACAUCAAAGUGGCAGUGGGUGAAUUCGAAAUUGGUGUCAUUUCGAAGUGAAUUUCGAAUUCAUAAGUUGAAUAUAUGCAAUUCCCGGGGUAGAGGAGGCGGAACAUCAAAGUGGCAGUGGGUGAAUUCGAAAUUGAUGUCAUUUCGAAGUGGAUUUCGAAUUCAUAAGUUGAAUUUCGAAAUCAUAAGUUGAAUUUCGAAAUCAUUUCGAAAUGACCCUCCAGCUUGGUGCAGUUGUCUUCAAAUGGCCAUAACUUCUUCAUUUCAGCUCCAAUUUGCAAACCGUUUGAAGCGUUGGACUCCUGACUUCCCGAGCUUCGAAACGAUAUAUAGUAUGUAUAUAAUGGACUCCAGAAAGUGCUCAAAAUUUGUCCUCAAAGUCAGAGUAUAUAAUGCCAUCAGAUUUUUGAGUUCUAAAUUUCCAUGUAGCUAAAUCUUGCUUCAUGCCUCAUUUCCCAUGCUUCCUUGCCUUCUUUCUUACUCCAUAAUGGUCAUUUAUCAUCCUCCAACCUCAUGAUAUCCUUGUUUUGCCUUUCCUUACAUUCAAUGAAUCUUGACUCACUUAUGUCCUCAUUUAGCCCUUUCUUGAUCUUUCAAAAUCUAAAGUCAUUCAAUUUGCACAAUUUUCUUCCCUUGAACCUGAGAUAAAUCUCCAAAGUAUAGAUUAAACUCAUGGCUAGGGCCUUAGCAUUGAUUUAGGUCAAGUUGGGUGAUUUGAAUGUCCUUUGGUGCACAAAUCAUAUCGAAUAUGUGCCAUUAGAGCACAUAUUUUGGCUCCAAUCAGUUAUCUCUUACAAGCCAUUGAAAUAUGAUUCACAGUGAGAGGUCUUUAGUGUUUGAAACCAUUAAUGGGAAGCAACUACAGUUUUUCAUGGACCAGUGGGAUCAAAUCUUGAUUGCUAAAUACACACCGAUUCGGAAGAUAACCAUUCUUUAUGUUAUUAUCCCCAACGCGAGGAAAAGAUCUGAAAUCUCCCCCUUUUGUCUAAGGAACCUGAACCUAGUGACUUAAAACUCCAAGAAACCCUUUUCUUUGUAAUUAAUCUCAAUUACUACUUUUGGUUAACUUAAAACCAACUUUUUUCAACCAAAAUUAUGUUUUCUUUUAAAGCUAACUCAUAAAAGAAAAAGCACAAUUUCACUACUUUAACUAAUAUCACUUGUAAUAUGAAAACCCAUCCCUGUGGACGAUCCUAGAACCACUAUACUAUGCUAGCUAUGCUACCCUAGUGUAUGGUGAAUUAGGUUUAUAAAUUUUGUUGAUAACUCCCGUCUGAGGACUGAAUCAAAUAGAUCACCAAUUGGGGACGAAUCAGUAGCACUUUAGGUAAAUUCAUUUUAGUUGCAUUUUAAGAAAAUUCAUUUAGUUGCAUUUUUAGAAAAUCAUUUAGUUGCAUUCUAAGUAAAUUCAUUUAGUUGCAUUUUAGGUAAAUUCACUUAGUUGCAUUUCAGGAAAAUUUACUUAGUUGUAGUUUAGGUAAAUUCACUUAGUUGCAUUUUAGUAAAUUCACUUAAUUGCAUUUUAGGUAAAUUUACUCAAUUGCAUUUUAAGAAACUUCACUUAGUUGCAUUUGAGGAUAAUCCACUUUAUGUAUUUUUAGGUGAGUCUCAUUUUUGCAUUUUAGUGAAUUUCAUUGGUGCAUUAUUGUAAUUAAAUUAUUGCAUUUUUAGAGAUUUUUCAUAACAUACUUUGAAAGGUUUUCCAUCUUCUAUAAGAGGACAGUAUGCAACAUCAGUUGGCACAACAAACUCUGAGUGCCAGGAAAGUUCUCUUCUUUCUCGGAUUGACCACCGCACUUUAGGUAUCUCAUACUCAACUGGUACUUGUUCAUUGUGCUCUGGAACUACUUUAAAAGAUUUUGGUUAUUCUUGUUUUGAUUGUUUGUUUCCAAUUAAACUUAUAAUGUUCAUCUUUUUCAUCAAUGUGUAUCUUCUUCUUCACUCUGUAGCAUGUCUUCUACAAAGAUGAUAUUUCUACUGAUGAUAAAAUUGCAAGCAAUGGGAUCUCACAAGCGAUACCCCUUUACUCCAUUAGUAUACCCCAAGAAUAUGCAUUUUCUGAAUUUGGAUCCAACUUUAUUCUUUCUUGGUCAUUAUACAUCACAUAAGCAGGACACCCAAAUAUAUGUAAGGAGGAAAAGUUCGCUGGCUUACUAGUCUACAUAUCCAUAGGUGUUUUCAUCUCAAUUGUUGUUGAUGUAGACCAAUUAAUUAUAUAGCAAGCAGUUUUGGUUGUUUCGGCCCAAUAUGUUUUGGGUAGUCUUGCAGUCUUCAAUAUAGCUCUCAUUCCUUUUGCAACAAUUCUAUUUAUCCAUUUUGCUACACCAUUUUUUUAUAGAGUAUAAGCAAUAGUUUUCUGUCGUUGUAUGUUUUCCUGACUAUAAAAUGCAUCAAACUCCUGGCUACAGAAAUCUCAUAUAUUGUUUAACCUCAAACAUUUUAUCUUUUUUCUCAUUUCAAGCUCCCUCUAGGCUUUAAACGCUUUGAAUACUGGAAAAACAUUUGGCUUUCUCUUAAUAGGGUACACCCAACAUCUUCUAAAAUAAUCAUUUACAAACAACACCAAAAUGCUCCCAAGAUAUGUGACUGGUGAUUCCCAAACAUCAUAAUGAACCAAGUCUAGAAUGCUCUUACUUCUUUUCGUAGAUCUACUGAAUCUUAAUCUAUGUUGCUUACUGAUAACACAAUGCUCACAGAAUAAUAAACUUGUAGUUUUGAGUUCAGGAAGCAACUUUUGAUCAGAAAGAAUUUUCAAUCCUUUUUCUUUCAUGUGACCAAGUUUGUGAUGCCACCAUCUCAUUGUUAAUUCUUCUCCAAAGUUUGCAACAAAAGUCUCUACUUGUUGAUAUGUCCUCUCAUGCAACAUGUAUAGAUUUGCAGUAAUAUUUUCUGCCUUCAUCACCACAAGUGCACAUCUAAUAACCUUAAUGAUUUCCUUUUUAGCAUGGAAUUCAUAUCCAAUGUCAUCUAGUUGUCUUAUUGAUAGCAGAUUUUUCUUUAAGCCUUUUACAUGUCAUAUCUCUAGAAUAAUGUGACUCACACCAUCAUUCAUCUUUACUUUGAUGAAGCCCAUGCCAACAAUCUCCAAAGCAUGAUCAUUACCCAUAUACACUAAUCCUCAUGGGAUAGGUUCAUAUUGGUGAAACCCUUUUCUAUGAGAAGUCAUAUGUCAUGUUGUUGUUGAGUCAAUUAACUAAACUUCAAAAAAUCAUUUUCUAACUUCUACAAUUGUUGUUGCCUCAUUGUAUAAGAUUUUGUCUUCAUUUGAAGUACUUGCUACACAACUCUGAGUAUUUGAUAGCUCAAGCUCUUUCUCUUUCAUGUUUUUAUCUACUUCUCCUUUGAAAUGCCAACACUCUUUUUUUACGUGUCAUUGCUUUCCAUAGUGAUAACAUUUAGCUUUCUUCUUACCUUAGGACUUUGAUCUAUUUUGUUUACUCCCACUAGAACCACGUUUUGUUGAUCUCCCUUUAGAGAUAAUUAGAGCCUCGAUUUGCUGAGAAGAUAUUAUGUCUUCCUUGUUUUUACGCCUACUUUCUUCCUCAAGUACAAUAGUCGCAACAUCAUUAAAGACUAGCAUUAUCUACAAUGCACCAUUGGCCACAUUUAUGAUGAGAUGAUCAUAUGAAUCAAGUAGACUUUGGAGUAGAAGUUCAACACGUUCCUUCUCUUAUAUACUAUGUUUUAUAGCUGAUAGUUAAGAAAAUAGAGUUUUUAGGGUGUUGAUGUGUUCAAUCACCAAAGUUGAUUCUAACAUCCAAAGAGUGUAGAGUUUUCUUUUCAAGAAUAUUUUGUUGUGCAAUGACUUGGCUUCAUAUAAGUUUGUAAAAGUAUCCCAAAUUUCUUUUGCUAAUUAAUUGUAAUUUUAACAUGCUUGACAGUAUAUUAUCUGCUACUGCUAAAUGCAAGCUUGCAAUGAUAUCCCCAUCCAUUUGCUUUCACUUUUUAUCUUCAACAUUUUUUGGUCUUUCACCAAUUGUUUCUAGUUAAUUUUCUUUCCUCAAGAUGGCUUUCAUUUUUAUUUUCCACAGCCCAAAAUUGUUCCCAUUGAAUUUUUCUAUUUCAAAUUUUGUCGUCAUUUGUUUCACUUUUAUAGUGAUUAGUAACCCAGAAUAGGAGUAAGUGGUUGUGUUAAAUACACCAAAAAAGUCUCGAGGAAAGUAGAUAAGUCAUAGUGGUCCCACUCUCCUUAGGCUCUAAUUGCCCUUUUUGAUAGAACAUUCCUAGACAUGUACUAACCACACAAGUAACCAUCUAUUGUCCUAAACCAAAGCUCUAAUACCAUUGUAAUGAAAUGAUACCUAGAGCGAUAAUUUGAAAAUAGAAUAAUAAAAAAUAAAAAUGGAAUAAUAAAUAAAACAAUAGAUAAAACAAUAAAUAAAAUAAUGGACAAAAAUACUUACAUGAUAAAACCUUCUUAAUUAAAAUGGAAACUUCCACGGGACAAGAUAAAAAAAAUAUCCAUUAUAUGAAGACAAAAUUUCAACCUCCCUCUCAAUUAAAAUGAAAGAACAUAAAAGCUUACAAAAGAAUGAAAUCCUUUUUUAGGAUGAAUAGUAUAAGGGGUGGAAGCCUUCUUUCAUAGGACAAGGAAGUUCUCCCUUUUUUGUUUUCUUCUGAUGUGGAAUGACUUCAACCUUAACAAAAUACUGGAAAAACUAUUUGUCCUCUUUCUUUCAUGCACUCCAUGAUCUUGGUCAAUUCAUCUAAACACCAUUUCAAUUGAGCAUAAUAUUUUUUUUAAAUGAUCACACCCUUGAUUCUUCAAUUGUUUUCAAGAGUGAUCCAAUCAUUUCUCCUCUCUGAAGUUUGUCAUCUUUAAAGGUGUCAAUGUGUUUUGGACCCAAUGCCUUGAAGAGAUGAUGGGUGAAACCAUCAUGAGUGUCUUCACCUCUAAAACUCAAAAGCACAUCAUAUCUCCAAUAUUCGAUAGUAUGAGAAGAAGGAGAAACUCUUUUCAUACUCAUGGAAGCCAUUGUUAGGUUGUUUAUGGCCAAAUUAUAGGGUAAAUGAUAUUUAAGCUCCUUUCUAAGGGGGGAAAUAAAGUGAUGUAGGAAGCUAGGCUACUUUUUGUGAUUUUCUAAGAAGUUUUAAUCUUGGAAGAUAUCAAGAAGGCAUGAAAUUUAUGUGAAGAAUGAAAGGCUCUUUUGAGGCUCAUGGAAGCCAUGUAAGAAUUUUAAGUGGCCCAGUGUAUAUUAUUAUGUGACAUUUAAAUAUCAAAUUAAACAUUAUGGUCGAAUAAAUAAUAACGUUAAAAUCCUAUUCGUUAGUUUUCAAGAAGUUAGUUUCCUAAAUUAAAGGCACUUUGAUGGAAAAUGUACUCCUUAUUCUAUAAGGAAAUUGAUCUUCUCUUCACCUUAUAAAAUAAAUGUUAUAUUCCAUCAAUAAUAUAUAUGAGAGAAAACCUAAGGGUAAAAGGGUUAAGGGAGAACAACACGAUUUCUACUAUGUUUAUUGUUUGGUCUCUUCAAGAAUUCUCUACAAAUUAAAAGUAUAUCUUUUCUCAAUAAUGGAAAUGUGAAAAAUCAUAGUGUUCUAAAAUCCUUAGCUAUUAUGAUUUAUGCAAAAUUAGGGUUUGAUUUGCAUAAUUAAAUCAUUACUUUAGAGUUUAAUUGGUGAGCAUAUAAUACCAUUGACAUAUGUUGAUGAUUAAGUAACGUGUUGUGGACUCGCAUUUUUCACGUGCGUUCUCACUCAAACGACGAGACUCAUUUUUUAUUUAGUGAAAAUUUUAUUUUUUGAAAAAGACUUAGAGUCGCCACUUAUUUUAGUUUUUUUUAAAUGAAAACAAAAUAAGAAAGAAAACCAUGUGUGACUUCUUAUUUGGGAAAGACAAAUCUAUAAAAAUUGAGUUUAGAUAUGAGGGUCAGGUUACCUAUGGAGAAGGUACACUUAUAAGCCAUAACACUCCUCUAAACCCAUAUACCUACGAUCUCUACUAAAUGAAUCAAGGGAAUUGUGAUAAUUAAUUAAUUAAUUAUAGAUACCGAAAUUAAAGACACAAAUCAAAAUACACAAAAAUAAUUAUAAAAUCAAAUUACAAAAAUGCACAAGAUAAAUGAUAUGAGAAUUAUGAAAAAUGAUUUAUUGAACUAAUUAAUUAAAAAAAUAUUUCAAAAAUUAGUUUUUCAAGAAAUUUCAAAGGAUUUUAUUAAAAACAAUUUUGAAUUAAUAAUUUUAAUUUGUUUAUUUACAAAAAAAAAAAAGUUUCAAUAUAUUUUUAACAAGUGAUUUGAUUCAAUUUCAUUUGUAUUCAAUUUUCAAAAAAGUUAUUUACACUUAUUUUAUCAAAAGAAUUUAAUACAAAAUUUCAAUUUGACAAUAAAAAUUAUUUUUACUUCUUGUUACUAGAAAAAGUUACAACUUUAUUUAAAAAGUCCUUCAAUUUAAUUUCUAUUUACAAAGGAAUUCAUUUCUUUACAAGCUUUAUUUACAAAAAUAUUUUCGAUCCAAUUUAUUAAGAAAAUGGUUUUUGCAACUUGAAUUUGCAAAAAUGACUCCCCUCUGAUUCUCAUUAAAAGGUUAUUUUAAGACCUUCAUUUACAAAAAUUACUUUUAAUCUCAUUCUAAUUAAGGAAAUAGAAUUUAUUUAAAAAAUAUAUUUUUUUGGACAAUUUUAUUAAAAAAAAUAAUCUUUUGAGAAAUAUUAUUUAAAAGCUAGUUUUCUGAACAAUUUUUUUUAAACAUAAAUUUUCAGACAAUUAUUAUUAAAAACAAUUUUUCGAAUUUUCUUAAAAACAAAUUUUUUUGGAUUUUUCUGAAAGCAUUUUUAUGAAUUUUUAUCAAGAAAACUUUAUUUUAUAAAAAAAUAUAUAUUUUCUGAACCUUUAUUUUUAUUAAAACAAAAUUUCUAAGUUAUUGUUCAAUUUUGUUCACACCCAAUAAAUAUAUACAUAAAAAUAUUUACAGGAAUCAAUAACAAUAAAACUAAAUGGAAGUGGAAAAUAAAACGUAUAUCCCAACAAGCCUACAACAAGUUCAAUGCUUCAUUUAUAGUUUUCCUGAGCUUUCUUUCCUUCCAUGAAAUUCGAUUUUCCACUUGUCAUUGAUCUAUAUUCAAUGGAAGGAGCCCAUUCAAAACAAAAUUAAACCAAAUGUAAAUAUCUAGAAAUGUACAAAGUCCAAAAUAAAUAUUUAAACUUAAAUUCAAACUUCAAAUUAGUCAAAUAAAUUUUACUAAUUAAAAAAGGGCCCAAAUUAGUAAAUAAAACUCAACAAAAAUAACCCACAUGUUAUAGGCCUUAGUCCAAGAUCUCCAAAUUAAUAACUAAAAUACAAGCACAAUUAACCAAACCUAAAAUUUGAUAAUUAAAACAAAUUCCAUUAGACCUAAAUUUAAUAUCCCAUAAUCUAAAAGAAAUUAACCCAAUUUAAUAUGUAAACCUAAAUCCAUAACCAAAAUCAACUCAAUUUAAUAUGCAAACUUGAAGUAACACCCAAAAUAUACCACAAUUAUCUCAUAACAAAUCAAAUAAUUUAAAUGAACAAAAUCCAUAUCAAUUAUAAAUCCAUCCAACAAAUUUCAUUAACAACAAAUAAACCCAAAUUUUGUAUUAAUUCAUCAAAGCUCACAUUCCAUAUUAAUUCACCAAUUCAAAUCUCACAAAUAAAAUAAAAUAAUGCAUAAAAUAAACUUACACAUUUUUUUGGAGACCAAGAAUGAAUAGGAGAGAAAAAAAUGGCAGUGGAAUUGAGGAGAGAAAGAAAAGGAAAAAAAGGAAAAAAUAAUAAUAAAAUAGGCAAAUGGGUGAGGUGAGAAAGGGAGGGAAGGGGAAAAUGAGAAAGGGGAAAAGGAGAUGGUUGACCGACAGUGGCUUGCCAAUGACGAUUGGCCGGCCGUGUUGUCCACAGUGAAGGUUGAGUGAGUGUGGUGAGAGAGAAAGAAAGAAGAAAAGAAGUAGGAAAAAAAGAAAGAAAAAAAAAUGGGGAAGGGCAUGUACAAUCUCUAAAAGUGGGUUGUCUCCGUGAUGUGGGGGGGUACGGGAGAAAGUGGGGGUAGGUGGAAAGAGAGAGAAGAGAGAAAAAUAAAAUAAAAUAAAAUAGAGAAAAGAAGAAAAUGAAAAAGAAAAAAUGUAAAAUAUAAUAAUAAUAAUAAUAAAAUGUUCUACAAAAUAAUAAAACUAAGAAUUAAAUAGUGUCUAUGGACAAAAAAAAAAUAGAUGUAAUCAAGUUUAGAAUGUAAAGAUAAAAUGAAGCUCAAAAUCAAUGUAAAAAUAAAUAUGAGACAAAUUUUGAGGUCUAUCCAUGUAUACUUUUGAUGUUAUUGUGAUGAAGUUUAUGAUAAUCAAAGUUUGACUUUAUCAAUUUUUGAUAUAUUAUAUAUAAUGUAUGUUUAUGGUUAAUAUAUAAAGUGAAUGACUUUCUUAAUUCAUGAAAUUUAUUGAAUUGAUUUAUACAUCAACCACUUUUGAUUGAACCAUAAAUAUGAUUUUGUUCAUGUUGUUGCAUCUUUAUCAUCAAUAGAUUCUAUAUGUAAGUGAAAUAGAUUAUGUUAUAUAUAUAUUUAUGUCAAUAGUGAAUUUUGUAUCUUUGAUAGUAAUGUUUUAACGAUAUAUGUACUAUAUAUAAAGAACCAAGAAAAUAUUAGAAGGGUAAACCCAACGAGAGGAAGUACUACCUAAUUCAUAAAUAGUACAAAAUGGUGAUAUGGUGGUCGAGAAAAUACCUUCCACGAAAGAACCUAAUGGAUCUCUUUAAUAAAACAUUAAUAGGCGUCACAUCACUUGUGGCUGGUUUGUGUACCGCUUCCCCGCUUCAUCAAUUGGUGUCAAGUCACUCACAUCAAAGCUUCAUUCAGAAUAACCACCUUGAUGGGCCUUAAUGUAAUUAAGGAAUGUGGAAUUGGUAUAGUGUAUGUUAAUGAAGAGAUGAAUUACUCUAUCUUCACUCCUCCUAAUGAGUCAUCUGUUGUCCUUCAAGAAAUCCACGAGGAGGGACCUAGUGCAAGCGGGUGCUCUAAUAUUGAACUCUGAUUACUAUUCUGCUGAUGAGGGGGAACCCACUGCACCCCUACUGUAAGGAUCACUCUGAAUCAGAGAUGUAGCUAGAGCAACGGUUGCAAUGCAGCCAUUAUCAGAGCAUCCCUUGGCGAGGAGGAACCGGGCAGACAAAUGCUUGAUAUGCACCCAAAUCUUCCGAUAUCAACUAUUGGUGAGCUGUGUGCUUCCUUUGUUUCUUAUCUUGAAACUGACUUUGUUCCUUUGUUUCUAAUAUUUUUGAAACAUCAUAACCAUUGGAGUUUUCGGGUUGUGCAGUAGUGGUGUUGCUGACAAGCUUUUGAAGUUUGAUACAUGCUGGGUGGUUGUUGCUGGUUUUUGCUUUAAAUUUGCCUUGAUACAUGUUGAGUUGUUUAGCAAACUCACUCUUGACAGAUUUUGGUUAUUCUUUCCCACAUGCUAAUGUGAUAUAUCUCUGUUCAAAUUCCUAUUUUCAUUCUUAUUCUCAUAUACUGAACAUACACCCUUAAGGGCAUAUGUUCUCUUCUAAUGUUAGAACAAAAAGGAUCAUGAUAAUUUUUUUUUGGGGAUGGGUUCUUUUGGCUGAAUAUGAUAGAGCUGUUAACAGUUCAUGGUUACUUUGUAAGAAUUGUAAAUUCUUUGGUUGAUUUUUAUACCAUAUUUUGUAGUUUCAUUUUGAUGGAUUCUAAGGUAAUCCAUGACUCAUUUAUCUUCAUUUUGUUAGUAAUGAUGUAUAAGAUACUUGCAGCCAAUGUUUUGAAAACCGGACUAAACCGUUAUCGGCCAUCUCUCAGGUCGAGUUUUCCCUAGGGAACCAUUUUCAUAUUAAACCGGGCUUGAACUGCUCAAGUCGGUCUGGUUUGCACCAGGGAACUAUUUUCAUAUUAAAUCGGUGUUAAACCGCUUGAGCCAUGGUUGGAUCAUUGAACCGGACGGACCGUUCGGCUUCCUAAGAAGCAGUCAAGCCCAAAACUGGGCCAAACUUCCACUUGUUGUAGAAGCCCAAUAGGCUCUACAGCCAAUCAUCCAUUAAAAGCCCAAACCGGUUGAGCCCAAGAGGGUUUAAACGAGCCAAAGCCCAACCCAAUCCGAUGUGGGAUUGAUUCCAGGUGGUAAGGAAAAAAAGUUGUGCAUGCUGCAGGUGGAUUUGAGGUCAGCUUUAAAAUCAAGGGCAAGGCCAUUGAGCUAUAUGCCAUCCAUGUACAAUAAUGCUGUAAAACUAAAUAUAUAGAAAGAUUAAUGGUUUUUUUUUCAAAUAUUUUCAUGUAAAUAUUUACGUUCAUGUCUAUUUGUAUAAUAAUAAUUAUGAAAAUAAUGUAAAUAAUUAAUAUAAUAAUUUUAAAGUAAUAAAAUACAACGAGAUAAAAUUAAAUACUAUGAUUUUAUUUUCAUCUUAAAUACUUUAUAUUUAAAUAUUAUACAUAUUCUAUUUAAUAAGGUUUCAAAUAUUAAUAUAUUUACAUUUAUCUUUAUAAUUUAAUUUGAUAUAUCUAAUAUAAAAUUGAAAUAUUAUUUAAAAUUUUUAUUAUAUAUUCUAAAUUUUUUAUAAUUAUUUUUUUAUUUUAUAUAAUAUAUAAAUUAUAUAAUUAUUACUUCAUUGAUUCUAUUGUGGUUCAACCAUCGAUCCAAUCAAUAAACCACAAAUCGAUAACUUUUUCAAUCCAAUAACGGAUCUGGUUCUAAUUAUUACAAAUGGAAGUAAUUUAUUGCUUUGAGAAGGUUAAGGAAGGAAAGAUAGAAUAAGUCCUCCUCUAUCGAAGUCCCCUUUGGUAACUGGUAACAAAACCUAAGCUCUCCCUUGUAUAUUUCAUGACAUAAUUUUAAGUAAAGAGGUAUAUUUGGCAAAUAAUCAUUCUCUUCCCCUUACUUCCAUCCUGCUCACCGUCCUAGGAAAAAUUUAGCAUCUUCAACCUUGUACCACGCGUGCUCUCGGGUCCUAUGGCUUUGUUUCUAAUCCCCAUUUGCAAAAAGUUCAGUGUGUGAAGCCUAAGGGUCUUAACGAAAAAUCAUGGUAUAAAAUGUGAACCAACCAAAAGGCUUUAUCCAAUUCUUGUGGCCAUGCAAAGCCCUUGUCUUUCUCUAGCCGGAGACUUACUUGCAAGGCGACGGAAGUGUCGGUGGCGGAGGAGCCGUCGGCUGCGGGGGAUGGCGAGAACUGGGUGCCAGUGGUGCCGCUGUCGGCAUUGCCCAAGGGGGAGCGGCGCGUGAUUAUACAGGACGGAGAGACGAUUCUGUUGUUGUGAUUAUACACGAAAUUUAUGUGAAGAAUGAAAGGCUCUUUUGAGGCUCAUGCAAGCCAUGUAAGAAUUUCAUGUGGCCUAGUGUAUAUUAUUAUGUGAUAUUCAUUUAAAUAUCAAAUUAAAAAUUAUGGUCAAAUAAAUAAUAAAACUACCAGAAGUUAAUUUCCUAAAUUAAAGGUACUUUAAUGGAAAGCGUACGCCUUAUCUGAUCUUCUCUUCACCCUGUAAAAUAAAUGUUCUAUUUGAUCAAAUACACAUAAGAAAAAACCUAAGAGUAGAAGGGUUAAGAAAGAACAACACGGUUUCUACUUUGCUUAUUGUUUGAUCUCUUUAAGACUUCUAUAUGGAUUAAAAGUAUGUCUUUUCUCAAUAAUGGAAUUGUGAAAAUCAUAUUAUUCUAAAAUCCUUGACUAUUUUGAUUCAAACAAAAUUAGGAUUUGAUUUGCAUAAUUAAAUAAUUACUUAUGAGUUUCAUUGGUGAGCAUAUAAUACCACUGACAUAUGUUGAUUAAGUGACAUGAAUACUUUUGAUGUUAUUGUGAUGAAAUUUAUGAUAAUAAAAGUUUAUUUUAUCAAUUUUCAAUAUGUUAUAUACAAUGUAUGUUUAUGGCUAAUAUAUAAAGUGAAUGACUUUCUCGAUUUUUGAAUUGAUUUAUGCAUCAACCACUUUUGAUUGAACCAUAAGUAUGAUUUUGUUCAUGGUAUUACAUCUUUAUCAUCAAAAUAGAUAUAUAUCUAUAUGUAUGUGAAAUAGAUUAUGAAAAUACUAGAAGAGUAAACAUAUUGAAAGGAAGUACCACCUAAUUCAUAAAUAGUACAAAAAGGUGAUAUGCCAAUUGAGAAGAUACCUUUUGUAAAGAACCUAAUAGAUUCUUAUACUAAAACACUUAUAGGAAAAGUCUUUGAUUGUAACGGGGACAAUAUAGGUGUCAAAUAUGCACCUAAUUUACUUUUAUAGCAUUAUGUUUUGAGGGCUAAUGGAAGAUUGUUAGGAUAUCAUCCUACAAAGCAUUACAUGAUAUAAUUAGAAAUUUGGAUUUAUCAUUUAUUUAAUUAUAUUCUAAUUGCUCUUUUAUCUAUGCUUGUAAUAGAGAGUUCCCUAUAUUCAAAUCCCAACCCUAAUAUCAUAUAAAAUAAAGUUUCAUGCUAGUAGAAUAUCUAAAUAUAUUCUCGGUAGUUUUUGGUCAUCAUUGGCAUAACUUUGGGCUAUGCACAAUAACUUUCCAUAUAUUUGGCUUUUAGGUAUAAAUUUAAUUUCUAUAUGAAAUCGUUCAAUAUAUAACUUUUUGCUACAUGAGUCUAAAAGUUAUUAACUUCCAUGCAUGGUGCGACUGGUGGGGUUUCCAAUCACUUGGAAACCAUGUCCAGAUACAUAUGAAGAGAUCAAUAAAACCAACCUUCCACUUCCUACAAUAAUAGUUUACCAAGUGUAUCUUCAAUCCUAAGCCAGUCUGGUAUUCGGUGUUGCAGCUCCUGUAAACUGGCCUCUGCUUGGUCCAGCUCCAGAUAAAGCUGCUCUACUUCAGCUAUCUUCUCAUUCAAGCGCCUACGAAUCACGUCCCUCUUGCCCUCUGCUUGUGCAUACUCAACUAAAGGUUGCACUCCUGUAAACUGGCCUCUGCUUGGUCCAACUCCAGAUAAAGCUGCUCUACUUCAGCUAUCUUCUCAUUCAAGCGCCUACGAAUCACGUCCCUCUUGCCCUCUGCUUGUGCAUACUCAACUAAAGGUUGCACUCCAACAAAUGGGCUUCUUAACCAAUCAACCUUAACCCGCGCCCUUGAAAAGAAGAAGAAUUAGCUGAAUUAAUAUUAUUGAUGUUGAAGUGUGUAUUUAUACAAGGAGGUUUGAGAUCUUUUUCUACAAAUCAGAAAUCAGCUUACCAUAUUCUAGACUAUCCAGCUAUAAGUCAGGAAUUACAAUAGGAAAACUAACAUAUACAGAUCAUCUAUUCUUAAUAUGGAAGAUUUAGGAAGAUUGACUUUCCAACACUCCCCCUCAAGUUGGAGAGUGGAUAUCCUGCACUCCCAACUUGCGAAUCAUAGGAGCAAAAAUCUCCUUUCCCAAUGGUUUAGUUAGAAUGUUUGCAAGUUGGUGUGCUGAGCUCACAUGUCUUGUAAUAAUGGAACCAUCUUGGAUCUUGUCCCUAAUAUAGUGACAAUCCAUCUCAAUAUGUCUAGUACGCUCAUGGAAAACAGGGUUAGCUGCAAUGUGCAACGUUGCCUUGUUGUCACAAUACAGCAAGGCAGGUUCCUGAUGUAAAACAACCAAAUCUUUCAAAAGGUACCGAAGCCAUGUCAACUCACAACAAGCUCUUGUCAUUGCACGAUACUCUGCUUCGGUUGAAGAGAGUGACACUGUUUUCUGUCGCUUUGAUCUCCAAGAAAUCAAUAAAGGUCCAAGGAAUACACAGUAGCCUACAGUGGACCUUCUAGUAAGUGGACAACCUGCCCAAUUAGAAUCACAGUAGGCUCUCAAUCUAAAAUCAUUAUUCGAAGAGAAGAACAGACCCUGACCAGGUGUAUUCUUGAGAUAACGUACAACUCUGAACGCUGCUUCCAUAUGAGCCUUUCUCGGUUGAUGCAUAAACCAGCUUAACACAUGAACUGCAUAAGUGAUAUCUAGCCUCGACAUAGUUAGAUAUAUUAACCUUCCAACCAAUCUCCUAUAACGACCUUGAUCCUUGAGCAAAUCGCUCUUAUCAGACAAUUUCAAUCCUCGUUCCAUAGGUGUAUCAAUAGGGGCAGCGCCCAACAAUCCUGCAUCCUCAAUAAUCUCUAAUGCAUACUUACAUUGGGAAAUAAAAAUCCCAUUUUUAGAAACAGAAACCUCAAUGCCAAGAAAGUAUUUUAAAUCACCCAGAUCUUUGAGAUGAAAAUGACUAUGUAGAAAUUUUUUUGUUGUAGCAAUGCUCACAGGAUCAUUUCCAGUAAUCAGAAUAUUAUCAACAUAUAUCAAGAGGGCAGUAAAGGACUUGCCUUGUUUUCUGGUGAACAAAGAAUAAUCGACUCGAGAUUGUGCAUAACCGACGGAUUGAAUAGCUUCUGAGAACUUGGCGAACCACUGGCGAGAAGCUUGUUUCAGACCAUAGAGUGAUUUAUGAAGGCGACAUACCAAGUUUUCCUCCCCCUGUCGCCGAAGCCCUAGCGACGGAGACAUAUAUAUUUCCUCAUGUAAGUUGCCAUGAAGAAAAGCGUUGUUAACAUCCAUUUGAUGAAGAGACCAGCCACGGGCUGCGGCAAUGCAAGCAAGCAGCGGACAGAUAUGAUCUUGGCGGUGGGGGCAAAGGUAUUCUGAUAAUCGACACCUUCUAAUUAAGUAAAGCCUUUCGCUACCAAUCGUGCUUUGUAACGCUCAAUAGACCCAUCUGAACGGUGUUUAAUUUUAUACACCCAUCGACAGCCAAUCGUUGUCUUACCGGCCGAAAGUGGAGUGAGAAACCAAGUGUCAUUAGCUUGGAGAGCCUGCAAUUCAGAACACAUUGCCUCCUGCCACUCAGGAUGAGCGGCUGCUUCUAAAUAAGACCUGGGUUCUGUGACAGCACUAUGUUGAGCAACAAAAGAUCUAUAUGCAGGCUUAUAUCUGUGAUAAGAAACAUAAUUGGCCAGUGGAUGUGUACCUUUAGUUGGACCUGGAAUCAAGAAAGACGAUUGAUUGGAGGAAACGUGGGAACAAACAUAAUCGUGGAGCUUGAUUGGCGGGGCGAUAUGGCGGCUGGAGCGACGAAGAGGAGUGGCUGGUUUGGGUGAGUGUGUCUCGGCUGGAGGAACGGACGGGAUGGAUGCAAACGGUGGCACCGGAGAAGGCGAUACUAGAGUUGUAGAAGGCGGUGGUGAAGGGUUUGGAUCAAUCUGAGAAGAAGGUUCGAUAAUGAGUUCGGAAUGUCGAGAAAGAGAGGAAAAGUCGUCAUUUUCUGUGGUGGGAGACAGUGUGCUUGUGUGGUUGGAAAGAAGAGGGGAAAGUGCGUGAGAAGUAGAGUCAAGGGAGGAAGAGAUGUCGUGGGCCACCAAGGGGAUUGGGCCAGAAUUAUGGGUGAACGAAGAGAGAGUAGAGUUGGGCUUGAGAGAGACAUAAGGAAAAAUAUCUUCAUGAAAUUUGACAUCUCGGCUAGUAAAGACCUUUUUGGUUGAUAAAUCAAAUAAUUUGUAUGCUUUCUGACCAACAGGAUAACCAAUGAAGAUGGAUGGCAUGGCACGGUAAUCAAAUUUGUGAGAGGUGUGAACAUUGGUGGCAUAGGCUAAACAUCCGAAAACACGGAGAUGGAGUAAGAAGGUGGUUUUGAGUAAAGCAAUUCAAAAGGAGUUUUGAAAGACAAUAUUGGUGAAGGUAACCGAUUGAUGAUGUGUACGGCAAUGAGAGCACACUCCCCCCAAAAUUGAGUGGGAACUUGAGCAUGGAAUUUCAAAGCUCGGGCUACUUGUAAAAUAUGACGAUGUUUGCGUUCCACAACCCCAUUUUGUUAAGGCGUGUAAACACAAGAAUGCUGAAAGAUGACACCAUUAUCUUGAAAAAAAGGAACGAAGUGAGGUAAAUUCUCUACCAUUGUCACUUCGAAAAGUUUUAAUGCGAAAUUCAAAUUGUGUGAACACAUAGCUGAAGAAAUGUUUUAAAAGUGAUUGUGCUUCAUCUUUAUAUCGCAUUAAAAAUAUCCAAGUGAAACGUGUAUAAUCAUCGACAAUAGUGAGAAAGUAAUGGGCACCAAACAGAGAACGGUGUCGAUAACGACCCCAAAUGUCACAAUGAAUAAUCUCAAAAGGUUUUGUAGAAGAAAUAGCACUAGUACCAAAAGGUAAACAACUUUGCUUAGCCAAAGGACAUAUAGGGCAAGCAUUAUUGGACUGAACAAAAAAAUUCAAAAAAUUCUUGGCAAUGAAACUCAAACGAGAAGGUGAUACAUGGCCUAAGCAACUGUGCCAGAGAUCGGUGGAAGAGAUGGCGAGAUUGCAGGCUGGUUGGUUUGUGGAUGAGGAAUGGUUGGUUAAAGAUUUCUCCGUCGCUAGUGCCACCAAAUAGUAUAGUCCGUCACGUUGUUUACCCAAACCAAUCGUCCUCCUCGUAGCCAGAUCCUGCAAAAUACACCAAUAAGGGAAACACGUCACUGAACAAUUUAGACCUCUUGUCAAACGACUAACUGAUAUUAAAUCAACUUUGAAUGUAGGCACAGAUAAGACAUCAUGCAGAUAAUAGACGGAAUUCAGAGGCAAAGUCCCUUUCGUAACAAUAUUCGUUUUUUCUCCACUAGGCAACAAUACGAGCGGUAACGAGCAAUUUUUAUCUUUAUGCAAUAACUUAGAGGAUGAAGUAAUAUGAUCCGUCGCCCCACUAUCAAUAAUCCAAUUGCGAGAAGCGACUUUGGACAAACCUGGCUUUGUUACAGCAUUCACUUUGGAACUAGAGUUUUCAUCUUGGUUAUUAAGAAGUGACAAAAGUUGCUUGAGUUGGGCUUCUGACAAUGCAACUGCAGGUUUCCCUUCAUCUGCCUCAGAAACUUGGUUAGCUGCAGAAAAACUUUUAUUUCGAUUUGAGUUUGAGCCUAAGUUUAUUCUUGCUUUUGGAUGGUCUGGUGGGUAUCCAUGUAGUUGAAAACACUUUUGGACCCAAUGACCCAUAUCUCCACAAUACGAGCACUGGGGGCGUCCUCUUCCAGAACCCAUGCGGCGCCAAUCUUGAUCAAAAAAUGGUCUGCCAUCUUGUCCCUGAGAAGACCGAUUCACCCGGAAAUUUUGAGAACUAGAGGGGUGAUCAGUCGGUUCCAUCCUUCCUGUGUUCGAUCGAUCUAUUCCAUCCUUCCAAGUUGCCGAAGACUUGUCGUUGCUACGCACAGCCAUAGCAGCACUUGCGGCAGAUUCCGCUGCUGCGUUCGUCGAAGUGAGGAGGCGUUGUUUUUCUUCUUGAGAGACAGAGGAGUAUGCUUGGCGGACAGAAGGAAGAGGAUUCAUCAGGAGGAUUUGCCCGUGAAUAGCACUGUAAGAUUCAUUCAAACCCAUCAGAAAUUGCAUCAAUUUUUGUUGAUCUUGUUGUGCCCCAUGUGAUGCAGCGUUGUAGGAAGCCAGUUCAUCCCACAGGCCUUUCAAUUUUGUGUAAUAGGCAGAGACAGAGAGUUGCUCUUUUCAAAGACAAGCAAUAUCUCGCUGAAUUUCAAAGAUGCGAGGCGCAUUGCUCUGAGAGAAUCGCUCACAGAGAUCUUCCCAAACUUCAUGAGCAGUAGAAUAAUAGAUUACACUGUCCGCAAUUUCUGGAUUGAGAGUAUUGACGAUCCAGGAGUGAACCAUGUCGUUACACCGUGACCAAGUCGCAUAACCUUCAGGAUCAAUUUCUUCUGAAGGAGCCUUGAUCGAGCCAUUAACAAAACCCAAUUUGUUCUUGGAAUUUAAAGCUAGAAUCAUAGCCCUUUUCCAAGCUGAAUAAUUGUCUCCAUUCAAAGAUUUGGAAAUCAAAACCAAACCUGGGUGAUCUGAAUGGUGAGUGAAAUAGGGAUUGGAGAGAUCUGCCUUUGAGAAAUCCGUAGGAAUCUCUAAUUUUGCCAUGAUGAUUGAAGAAAAGAGAUGCUAUACGAGAGAUUAGAGUGUAGCAAUAAAUCAGGAUUUUAGUCCUGCUCUGAUACCAUGAAAAGAAGAAGAAUUGGCUGAAUUAAUAUUAUUGAUGUUGAAGUGUGUAUCUAUACAAGGAGGUUUGAGAUCUUUUUCUACAAGUCAGGAAUUAGCUUACCAUAUUCUAGACUAUUCAACUAUAAGUCAGGAAUUACAAUAGGAAAACUAACAUAUACAGAUAAUCUAUUCUUAAUAUGGAAGAUUUAGGAAGAUUGACUUUCCAACACCCUCUCCAAAUCACUCAAUGCUCUAUCAAUGAAGUAGGUGUCUGCACCAGACAGGCUACAGGCAGUAUUCUUCUGCAUCAGCUCCACAAUCUGCAGUAUGGAACCUUUGAUGAUCUCUACAAACUGGGGUGCUGUAAAGGAGCAAUUGGCAGUUACGUCUCCAUAUUUGGUCCAUAUUUGCUGCCAAAUCGACUCCCUGGUAUUGGAAGUUACACCAGAUCCCUCAACCAUCUCAAGAAGCCCUGCAGCAGCUGUGUUAGGAUCUGUGAGAGUUUUGUCUGUGUCCUCAGCUUCAGUUGGAGCGAAGGAAGUUUGGAUCUCCUAAAGCCCAAAAAAGAGAAGGAAAAGUAUAGAACUUGUGCUUGGAAUUAACCAACAAAAAAGAUUAAUUUUGAUGUAAAAGUGCCCAAGGAAAAAUAUUUUGGUAGUUUCAGUUGAAAAUUUUGACAAACCUUGUCAGCUCCCGAAGCACCUUCCACUUCAUCUGAAGGCCAAUUAAGUGUAUCUAGGCAUUGCAACCUGUGAUUAUGCUCAAGAUGAAGUUUUGUGAUCACCCAUUGUCCAUUGUCAAGUUUGACUUGGAUCUGGACAUUGCAACCUGUUCUUGUUUCUGAUCUCUGAUACUUUGUUCCCUGGUUGGGAUGCUUCUUGGUCCGGAAGCCUUCACAUGAACAAAGAAAGCAUCGCCCUUUCAGUGUACCAUUUGCUUUCCUUUGUACCUUUCCUUUUCUUACUGUAAAACCAAUUCUCUUGGCAUACUUUUUACAAAAUUCUUCAGCUUCUAACUCAGAAGAAAACGCCAUCCCUCUCCGUGGUAUCUGAUCAUCGUCUUCAGGAUUUUUCUCAUUUACAUUAACCAAUGUUCCAAUCUCAUCACCAUUUACAUUAAUAGCCAUUUCAGUCUCACCACUAUAGAACGAACUCCACCAAGAAUCAAAAUUAAGCUCAUCCUGUACAAAGUGAGAUAGAGAGAGAAGUUUUCUAUGAGAAAAAUGAGAAGCAAAAAGUGGUACAAUGCAUAACAAUAAUUUUCUUCUGUUACACCAACUAUUGAUUCAAACUACAUCUUAUCCUGUAACUCUUGUAGAACAAUGAAUUAAUAUAAGAAGAGUGACACUGUAAGACGGCUUAUAGACAAGUAGAUGGAGUAACCAAUUCUUGAUUUGCUGGUAGCAGCUUUAUUUGGGCAGAAAAGUUUUUGAAUUAUUUAUCUUUAAAAUUAACCGUUGUUCUAGAAAAUGGAUCGAGCUUACCUGGAUAGUGAGGCGCCUGAAGGUACCGCCAACUCUGUUGUGGUUUACUAAAUCAUCAGAUUCCUGUAUGGCACCCCGAACAUCUGGGCGUGAACCGAUGGAACUAUACCUGCAAGAUGAUAGGGUUCGAUAGACAUUCUGGUGCAGUUGAUGGGUGUGGAUCCAGAGGAUCGGUGCUUGAUUGCUUUGCUUCCGGCUGGUGCAGGACCCUCAAAUGUUUGGGAUCUCGCCUUCCCAAGCCAAGACUCCUUUUAUGGCUCUCGCAGCCUGCUGUGUGGGACAGCGUCCUUUUUCCUUGUUUGCUUUGCUUCCGUUCCCAAAUUCCAACCCACUGCGCUUUGACCAGAUGGUCCAAAUCUCCAUUUCUCGGCCACGUCGGUGCCUUUGGUGCUCUUUUCCCUUGUUUUAUUUCCUUCAGUGCCUUCACUACAAAAUACAUGGUCCCACCCACCGUUUUUAAAAUUCAACCCAUCUUAUCUAUUUAAGCAUCCGUUGUCUUUUUUAUAAUUCAAAGAUAAAGGUUUUUUAUCUUUCCUCCCAAGAGGCUACUACUCAAAAAGUCAAAACUUCAGAAACAUUAAAUAUAUAUAUAUAAAAUAGAGAAUUAUCAAAACGGUGGGCGGAAAGUGGUAAUCCUUUUUAAAAGUCAUCAUGUUGACCAAUUCUACUCCUCGGGUAAUCAUUUGAAAGAAAUUUUCAAUUAUAUCCUAUCUAAACUUUAUUUUUUUAUUUUUUUCUUUUGUAUUAUUAUUAUUAUUAAAUAUUAAUACUACUCUUAAUAUUAUUAUUUAUGAUAUUAGUAUUUUAAAUUUUCAUAUUAUUAUUAGUAUCAUUCUUAUUAAUAUUAUUUAUUAUUUUUAUGAUUAUUAUUCAUAUUUUUAAUAUUAUAUUAAAAAUAAUAUUAUUAUAUUUUUAUUACUACUACAAAGAAACCUUAGAAGAUAAUUUAUAUUUUUUCGUUCUUAGAACUUGUAAACUUUAUUAAAAAUUUAUUCUUUUUUUUUCAUUUUAUACUUUAUAUGUUAUAUUAAGAUUAAUUAAAUUAUUAUUAUUAUUAUUCUUAUUAUUGCUAUUAAGAUAUUAGUUUUAUAUUAUUAAUAUUUUAAUAAAAUAAUAUUAUAUCCAAGUUAUAGAUAUAAUAAAAAAUGCAUUGAUGUUAAUAAUAUAAUAGAAUAAAGCAAUGUUUCUAAUACUAUUAGAUUUGUUACAAAAUGUAAGUACAACAUUUAUCUAUUGAAUUUAUAACAUAAAUACAUUAAAAAUACGAUAUAGUACAACAUUUUUAAUAGUUUUCAUGUAAAAAUAAAAUAAAAUUUUAUCAUUUAAAUUUAUCUCAUUUUAACUGUUAUACAUUCCAUCAUGUUAAUGUCUUGUAAAUUACUAUUGCAUUUUUUUUCCCACAAAUAAUAGAUUCAUGUUUAUCAUCUCACAAAUAAAUUUUAAUUAGGAUUUAUAUUUAUUUUAAUUUUUAAAAUAUUUAUAAAUAUAAAACAUAAUACAAUAAUUUAGUUUACAACAUUAAACUUUACCUUGCUCCACAUCCUUUCAAAAAGCAAGGAUGACCUUGCCCCAUGUGCUUUCAAAAAAUAAGGAUGAAAAUAUGGAUAAUUAUGAAUAUAUCAGUUAUUUAAUUUUACUGAUACAUUAGAGAUGCGAAUAUUUUCAUACAAAUAUCGAUGAAUAAAAAAUUGAUCAAAACUCAUGAAAAUAUUAUGAAAAUCUCUAAAAAAAAUGAUAUAAAAAUAAUAAUAAUAGAAAUAUUGAGAUUGUUUUGUUAAAAUAAAUUGAUAUAUAUAUAUAUAUAUAUAUAUAUAUAUAUAUAUAUAUAUAAUAUAAGUUGUGAUAUUUAACAAUAAUGUUUAUAACUUGAAAACAUAUUUUAUGUAUAUACACCAAAUUUGAAUAUAUUUAACAAUAUAUAAGAAAUGAUAAUAAUUUGUAGAAGAAUUUUUUGUUUCACACAAUAACCAAAACUAAUUAAUUUAUAAUAAUUUUAUUAUAAUUAAUUUAUAACAUAUAUAUACAUUAAAUAUGUUCGAUUUAUAAUGUAGCAUGGUUGGUUGGCUGGUGGUGGGGGAUUUUCCCCAACUUGAGGUUCUACCUUUCAAAUGAGCGCAAUGUGUAGGCUGGUAAGCGAGCCCAUUGCAAGAUGUUUGAAAAAAAAAAAAAGGAAAAGAAAAAGAAAAAAAAUGAAUCAUGUGGCAUUGAAAUUAUUGGUGCAUCAGUCGUAUGUCGGCGAAAAAUGGCAAGAAAAAAAAAACUCAAUCGGUCAAUUUAAUCUACUAUUCUUAUAAACAAGUUUGUUUGGCUAAAGGGUAGAUUUCACAAACAUGCUUGGAAUCAAAAUAAAUUUCAAGAUUAAUUUUAGCAAGAACUUGAAGAGAACUGGAUGACGAGUGCCCAAGAUGCUAAUGCCAAAGAUUGGGAUGUUUACAAAUGGCAUAAGCCAAGGCUAGAUUUUGGUCUUGUGCUAGGUAGUAGAGGUCAUUAUGUUGCUUGCCCAAGCCAAUAGUCUUCCUUGUAGCAGUGUUUUACACAAUACAAAAAUUGGAAAAGAACAUCACUAUACAUUUAAAUGUCCAUGUUAGUUUACUAAAUGAUAGUAAAUUAACUUGAAAUUGUGAAACUUUGAGUACUUCAUCAAGUUUAAUGUGGGGUGAAAUAUUCAAUGAACUAAUCGACUUAAUAUGUGUUUGACCACCAUCUGGCAAACUAAUGGUGGUUAUCUUAUGCAAAUUUUUUAGAUCUAGUAAUUCAGUUGAAGAAGUCACAUGAUUUGCGGCUCCACUAUCAAUAAUCCAACACAUAUUUCUGAGUGUAGGUAAUCUUGAAUGAUUUUGGAUGAUAUAUUUAUACUUGUGGCAUUUGCAAAAUAUUGUGAGUUACCAUCAUUGUUUUUUUGAAUCAUGGCCAUUAGUUGGUCAUAUUCCUCAGUUGUGAGCCUUAAUCCGUCACUUGUUGGAAGAUAUUUUGCUUUUAUCUCCAUGACCUUGUUUGUUUCCACCUUCACAUUGUUUGCAUUUUAGUGACACUGAUUGGGAGACUUCACGUUCUUCCCAUGAAGCCUGUGACCUAUUGGAAAGCAAUAUAGGUAGUAACACUUCUCAAUGUUAUGAUAAUCACCGUCACAAUAAGAGCAAUGUAGCAAAGUUUUUUACCUUUAAACCUAGUGUGCUGGAGUCACCUUGUUGUGCCAAUCUGCAAGCAUGGCAUGACGGUUCAUGUUCCCAUGUUUGAUAUAAACUUCAACCUGUUUUUCUUAUUGAAGGACAAGUGAGUAAACUCGACAUGUAUCAGGUAGAGGUUGCAUAUCAAUAAGAUUUGUCCAUGAAUGGUAGCAUAACUAUCAUUCAAUCCCAUGAGAAACUGCAUAACUCUUUCUUUCUCAUCCUUUUCCUUGAGUUUCUCCAACCCUCCACAAGAGUAGGAUAACACUUCAUGAUAGGAUGAAAGUUCAUCCUAAAAAGCUUAAAGCUUUGUGUAGUAAACCGAAAUUGAUUGUUGGCUCACCUAUGUUCCAUGAUUUCUCGUUUGUUUUAAUAAAUUCUUGAAUUAUUUCCUUGAAAAAAGCAUUCUUUUAGAUCUACCCUAACUUUUGUUGAAGUUUCAACAUAAAUCACACUGUUGAUUAUGUCUGGAUGAAUGAAAUUCAAUAACCAUGAGAUCACCAUAUCAUUGCAUCAUUGCAUCAUUGCUAAGAAGGAAAACUAUCAUAUGUCAAUGGAGUUGGAGUCAGCUUGAUUGAACCUAUGACAAAUCCAAUCUUAUCUUUAGUACUCAAACUAAUUCUCAUACCCCGACUCCACGUGUUGUAGUUAUCUCCUUCAAGUACCUUAGAGAUGAGUACCAUACUCGGAUGGUUCGAGUGGUGUAGAGAGAAGGAAUGUGAGGCUUCUAUGGUAGCCUUAGACGAUGUCAACAAUCUCAUUCUGUUAUUAAUGUCCAUGGCAGCAACUGUAACAAGGAAUUAGGUUGCAAAAAUAUUUGGAAGAAUUCAAAGCCACCAAGUUUGGUGCUUUGAUACCAUGUCAAAAACAAAGUAAAACAGAAUAUUUUGGAAAUCUUCAGUAUAUUGAAUGUUUUGACUUACAAAGAAAAAAAUACAUAUAUAUAAAACAUCAGUUAGCCUAUUAUAGGAAACUAUGUGUAAACAGAUCAAUUACAAUCAAUCAAAAAAAUAAUCUCAUAUUAACAAAUCUUAUCCUAAAAUUAUGAGAUUCUUGAUUCUUUUCUUGUAAUAAGUUCCACGGUUGGAGUCAAAUAAAGCUCCAAUAAAUGUUCCAUUUUACCUUGAAUAUCUAGAAACUUCUUGAGCCCUGAGCAGCCAAAGAAAUUAAGAAUUUCAAGUGCUUCCAUUUUGAUGAUGCUCUAAAAAUUGCUAAGCUUUUUGCAGUUUUUCAAACUCAAUAAAAUAAGCUUGCUAAGCUUUCCAAUAGAUGGGUGGACCUAAAGCAAACUUGAACAACCAUCAAGAAUUAGUUUCUCCGGAUUGGGCGCACUAAAUGUGAUGUCUGGAAUUUCAAUUAGGUGUUGAAGAAGCUAUAACCAAAAAUAAAAAAGAAAAACCAAUAAUAAUAAUUACUUUAGUAUAUAAGCUUUCAUGGAGUUUAGAGAUUAACUAAAGAAGAAACAUGAAAAAAAUAAAAUAAAAUCACUCAUCAUACCAUGUCAUUUUCACAAAGUUGUUUUAAGCUGCUAUGACACAUGUUAAGUUCUACAAUGUCUUUUGCAUAAAAACUUUAAUAGUUUUUAUGUAAAAAUAAAAUAAAAUUUUAUCAUUUAAAUUUAUCAAACUUUAACCGUUAUACAUUCCAUCAUUUUAUCGUCUUGUAAAUUACUAUUGCUUUUUUUUUCCCACAAAUAAUAUAUUCAUGUUUAUCAUCUCACAAAUAAAUUUUAACUAGGAUUUAUAUUUAUUUUAAUUUUUUAAAUAUUUAUAAAUAUAAAACAUUACACAAUAAUUUAGUCCCAACUCAAGACUUUACUUUGUUCCACACCAUUUCAAAAUCCAAUGAUAAAAAAAUAUCGAUAAUCAUGAGUAUAUUGAUAUUUUGAUUUUAGGAAUAUAUCAUAGAUACGGAUAUUUUGACGUAAAAUGUCGAUGGGUCAAAAAUUUGAAUGUACUUAAUAAUAUAGAAGAAAUAAUGAUAAUUUGUAUAAGUAUUUUUUAUUUUAAAAUUUUGAUAAUUUUAUUCAUAAAUUUAUAUUUAUUUUGUAUUUAACACAGUAAUCAAAAUUAAUUUAUUUAUAAUAAUUUUAUUUGAAUUAAUUUAUAUAUAUAAUUAUAUUUGUUUAUAUAGAUAUAUGGUUUAGAGCCCGUUUGACAGUGAUUUUUAAAAGUGUUUCUACCCUUAAAAACACUUUUAAGUGUUUUUGGGAUGAAAAUAAAGUGUUUGGCAAAUUUUAAAAAACACUUUUGAAAAUCUGGAAAAACACUUAAAGUGAUUUUUAGAGAAUCACUUAACAGGUGUUUUUUUUUAAAAACACUUCAAUUUUUUUGAAAUAUUCCAAAAAUGCCCCCCAGUGGUCAUAUAUUGUUUUACUUUUAAAAUUAUCUUUUAUUCAAUGUUUUUUUUUUUUUUAUUGAUUUAGAUGUUUUUUGUAAAUAUUUUUUAAAAUUUUAGUAUAGUGAUAAAAAAAUUAUUAUUUUUAAUUAGAAAAGUCUUUUUCUUUUUUAGAAAUUAAUAGGUAAAAUCAUAUAUUGUUUUAAUUUUAAAAUUAUCUUUUAUUCAAUGUUAUUUUUUUAGUGAUUUAGAUGUUUUUUCAUUAAUAAAAAGUUUUUUUGUUUAUCAUACCAUUUUUUUUAAUUAAAAUUGUAUGUCCUUUUUGGUAAUUUAUUAAUAUUAAAAGUGUUUUUAUAUUUAUACAAUAUAUUAUCAAAAACACUUUAGAAUCAUUUUUUCUGAUUAUCAUAAAAGUGUUUUUCACAUAAACACUACAGUAGAAAACACUUCAAAUAAAAACACUUCCACUAGAAUCACUACCAAACGGGCUCUUAUAUAUGUAAUGCUGAGAAUGAACAUAUAUAUUAAAUAUGUUCGGUUUAUAAUGUAAAACAUGGUUUUCCCAAGCUCGAGGUUUUACCUUUAAAGUGAGCGCAAUGCGUGGGCUGGGAAGUGAGCCCAUUGCAAGAUUUUUGAAAAAUAAAUUAAUAUUUUAAUAUCCCUCACUUAAAAAUAAAUUCUCUUAUAGCAUGUUGAGACAAAAUAAAUAAAUAAAUAAAUAAUGGUCUAUAGAAAGCAGGUGGGUCAACAAGGACCCUUUGUCUUCGAUGAUCUCACUGGCAUUUAAUUUACUUGUUGCAGAAACUGCCUGUUCCUUACACUCUGCGAGUUUUGCUCAGACUUGACUUUCACAACUCAAAUUUCAGAAUCCAUCUUCUCUGCCGCCUCGUAAUGGCUGAUCCUUCUUUCCAACGGAGCUAUGAUGUGUUCCUGAGCUUUAGAGGAGAAGACACCCGCAAUAGCUUCACUGCCCAUCUCUAUAAGGAGCUACGCACCAAAGGAAUCAACACGUUCAUUGACGAUGACAAGCUUGAGAGGGGUGAUGUCAUUUCUUCUGCGCUUGUUGCGGCUAUUCAAAACUCCAAGUUUUCUCUCGUUGUUUUGUCAGAAAAUUAUGCAUCUUCCGGGUGGUGUUUGGAGGAGCUGGUGAAGAUUCUAGAGUGCAUGAGAACCAUGGGACAGAGGGUUCUCCCCAUUUUCUACGAUGUGGAUCCCUCGCAUGUAAGACAGCACAACGGAAAAUUUGGAGAAGCACUGGCUAAACAUGAAGAAAAUUUGAGAACUAUGGAGAGGGUGCCGAUUUGGAGGGAUGCUCUCACUCAAGUUGCCAAUUUAUCCGGUUGGGAUUCCAGGAAUAAGUAAUUCUCUACAGCUUUCCCAUCAUCAUCUUCAUCCUCAUAUCACUAAUUUCAAUAUAUGCAUCUGUUCAUUAAUUAUCUUGUUUACUUUAAUUUUACCUUUCUCUUUUUGAGUGAUGAACUAAUUUCAUGUUUAUACUUCAAAUUUGGCAGGCAUGAGCCUAUGCUUAUCAAGGGAAUUGCCACUUAUAUUUGGAAUAAAUUGUUUAGUAGAUCCUCAAAUUAUGCUGAUCAGAACCUAGUUGGAAUAGAAUCUAGCAUACGAGAAAUAAAAUCCCUGCUAUUUACCGAGUCUCUAGAUGUUCGCAUGGUGGGGAUUUGGGGCAUGGGCGGCAUAGGUAAAACAACCCUUGCCAGAGCUGUUUAUAACCAAAUCUCUCAUCAAUUUGAAGCUUGCUGCUUUCUUGAAAAUGUCAGUGAUUAUUUGGAAAAGCAAGAUUUCCUUAGCUUGCAAAAGAAAUAUCUUUCUCAACUAUUGGAAGAUGAAAAUCUAAAUACAAAAGGAUGCAUCUCUAUAAAGGCUUUGCUUUGUUCUAAAAAGGUUCUCAUUGUCAUUGAUGAUGUGAACAAUUCAAAAAUAUUAGAAGACUUGAUUGGGAAGCAUGGUUGGUUUGGUAUCGGAAGUAGAAUCAUCAUAACAACAAGAAAUAAGCAGUUGCUAGUUACACAUGGGGUGAAUGAAGUCUAUCAGGCUGAAAAAUUAAAUGAUGAUAAUGCGGUUGAGCUCUUCAGUCGAUAUGCCUUUAAAAAAGCCCAUCCUAUAGAUGAUUAUGUGGAGCUCUCUCAAUGUAUAGUGGUUUAUGCUCAGGGCCUUCCAUUAGCUCUUCGAGUUUUAGGUUCAUUUUUAUUUGAUAAGAGCAAACGGCAAUGGGAAAGUCAGUUGGAUAAACUAAAAAAAAUUCCUAAGAAGGAAAUUCAAGAUGUGCUUCGAGUAAGUUUUGAUGGGUUGGAAGAUAACGAGAGAGAUAUAUUUUUGGACAUCGCAUGUUUCUUUCAAGGGCAUGAUAAAGAUUAUGUAAUGGAAAUAUUCAGAUCUUGUGGUUUCUUCCCUGAUAUUGGAAUAAGAGUUCUCAUUGAGAAGUCUCUUAUAUCUGUUGUUGAGAAUAAAUUGAUGAUGCACAAUUUGUUACAAAAAAUGGGUCGGGAAAUUGUUCGUGAAGCAUCUCCUAAGGAACCUGGAAAACGCAGCAGGUUGUGGAUUCAUGAUGAUGUAAAUCAUGUAUUGACAAAAAAAACGGUAAGAGACAAAUGUAUAAACCCUUUUUUUAUAUAUAUAGGUAAUUAGGUUGGUCUAAAGUGCAACUUAGGAAGUACCAACUUUGUUUAAUUGCGUAGUUUAGUAUGUAUAUAAUUUUACUCACUUAUCCAUUACUCUUUUUUGCUAGGGAACCGAAGAAGUUGAAGGAAUAUCCCUUGACUUGUCCAGUUUGAAAGAGAUAAAUUUCACUAAUGAAGCUUUUGCACCGAUGAAUAGGCUCAGAUUGCUCAAAGUCUAUACAUUGAAUUUUCUCAUGGACUCCAAAAGAGAGAAGUGUAAAGUGCACUUUUCCCGAGGCUUUAAAUUUCACUGCGAAGAACUGAGGCACCUAUAUUGGUAUGAAUACCCUUUGAAAUCACUGCCCAAUGAUUUUAACCUCAAGAAUCUUGUUGACCUCAGCAUGCCUUAUAGCCAAAUAAAACAACUUUGGAAAGGGACCAAGGUAUCGCUAUGAUUUAUCCAUGUUAUUUUAUUUAGAUUGUAUGUACCGUUCAUGAAAAAUCAUCUUCUUAAGCCUUGUUUCUUUCACUGCAGGUUCUUGAAAACUUGAAGUUCAUGAAUCUCAAGCACUCCAAAUUCUUAACGGAAACCCCGGAUUUCUCAAGGGUUACCAACCUUGAACGGUUAGUUUUAAAAGGUUGUAUAUCUUUGUAUAAGGUUCACCCAUCACUUGGAGAUUUGAACAAACUCAAUUUCUUGAGUUUGAAAAAUUGCAAAAUGCUGAAGAGUCUUCCAAGUUGCAUUUGUGAUUUGAAAUGCCUUGAAGUAUUUAUUCUUUCUGGUUGCUCAAAAUUUGAAGAGUUACCUGAGAAUUUUGGGAACUUAGAAAUGUUGAAGGAAUUUUGUGCGGAUGGAACUGCUAUUAGGGUACUUCCCUCCUCUUUUUCUUUAUUGAGAAACCUUGAAAUAUUAUCCUUUGAGAGAUGUAAAGGACCACCACCAUCUACCUCAUGGUGGUUGCCAAGAAGAAGUUCAAAUUUCAGUAAUUUCGUAUUGUCUCCUUUGUCAAGUUUAAGCUCCUUAAAAACUCUAAGCCUAAGUGCCUGCAAUAUAUCAGAUGGAGCAACUCUUGAUAGUCUUGGCUUCUUAUCUUCACUGGAAGAUUUAGAUUUAAGUGAGAACAACUUUGUUACUCUGCCUUCAAAUAUCAGCCGACUUCCUCACUUGAAAAUGCUUGGGUUGGAAAAUUGUAAAAGAUUGCAAGCACUGCCAGAGCUUCCAACAAGCAUACGUAGUAUAAUGGCUCGUAAUUGCACAUCAUUGGAAACAAUCUCAAAUCAAUCAUUUAGCUCCCUACUAAUGACUGUCAGAUUGAAGGAACAUAUCUAUUGCCCAAUAAAUCGGGUGAGAUUUUCCUCCGGUAUAUCAUAAUUCAAUUUCCCACUAAAUAAUGCACAAUUUAAUUUCAUUUGUGGUAGUGUAAAAUAAAUGUCGAAUGAUUUAAGAUGGUAAAGCAGCAAGCAAUUUCUAUCUCUACUAACAUCCUCAUCAUGUUCAUUCUACAGGAUGGACUUUUAGUUCCUGCACUUAGUGCAGUUGUUUUUGGGAGUAGAAUACCAGACUGGAUAAGGUACCAGAGCUCAGGGAGUGAAGUAAAAGCAGAGCUACCUCCAAACUGGUUUGAUUCCAACUUCCUGGGUCUUGCUUUGUGUGUUGUCACUGUUCCCAGGCUGGUGUCACUUGCUGAUUUUUUUGGUCUUUUUUGGAGAUCAUGUACCUUGUUCUAUUCCACAUCCAGUCACGCUUCUUCCUCCUUUGAUGUUUACACUUAUCCAAAUCAUCUUAAGGGAAAGGUGGAGUCAGAUCACUUGUGGCUGGUUUAUGUACCGCUUCCCCACUUCAUCAAUUGGCAGCAAGUCACUCACAUCAAGGCUUCAUUCAGAAUAACCACCUUCAUGCGCCUUAAUGUAAUUAAGGAAUGUGGGAUUGGUCUAGUGUAUGUUAAUGAAGAGUUGAAUUACUCUCCCUUCUCUCCUCCUCCUAAUGAGUCAUCUGUUGUCCUUCAAGAAAUCCAUGGGGAGGGAUCUAGUGGAAGUGGGAGCUCUAAUAUUGAUGGCUCAGAAUCAGAGAACUCCGAUUACUAUUCUGCUGAUGAGGGGGAACCCUCUGCACCCCUGCUGUAAGGAUCACUCUCAAUCAGAGAUGUGGCCAGAGAAACACUUGCAAUGCAGCCAUUAUCAGAGCAUCCCUUGAUGAGGAGGAACUAGCCAGACAAAUGCCUGAUUUGCACCCAAAUCUUUCCAUAACAACUCUUGGUGAGUUGUGUGCUUCCUUUGUUUCUUUUCCUGAAACUGACUUUGAGUUGCUUAGCAAAAUACCUUACUUUCUAGUAUUCUGGAAACAUCAUAACUGUUGGAGUUUUUGGGUUGUGUAUUAGUGGUGUUGCUGACUAGUUUUUGGAGUUUGAUACAUGUUGGGUUGUUGUUACUGGUUUUUGCUUCAAGUUUGCCUUGAUACAUGUUGAGUUGUUUAGCAAACUCUCUUGACAGAUUUUGGUUUUCUUUCGCACAAGGUAUUGUGAUACAUCUCUGUUCAUAUUCCCAUUUUCAUUCUUAUUCUCAUGUACUAAACAUAUACCCUUAAGGGCAUAUGUUCUCUUCCAAUGUUAGAACGAAACAGAUCAUGAUCAUUGUUUUUGGGAUAUGUUCUUUUAUCUGAAUAUGAUAGAGCUAUUACAGUUAAUGGUUACUUCGUAAGAAUUGUAAAUUCUUCCAUUGAUAUUAUACCAUAUUUUGUACUUUCAUCUUGAUGGGUUCUAAGGUAAUCCAUGGCUCAUUUUUCAUUCAUUUUGUUAGUAAUGAUGUAUAAGAUACUCGUAGCCAAUGUUUUGAAAAUCAGACCAGUCGUCCAACCGAUUGAACCGUCAAUCAGCCAUCUCUCUAGUCUGAUUUGCCCUAAGGAACUGUUUUCAUAUUAAGCCAGUGUUGAACUGCUUGAGCCGGUCUGGUUUACCCUAGGGAAUCAUUUUUAUAUUAUACCGAUGUUGAAUUGCUCGAGUCGAUGGUUGGACCAUCUAAUUGGAUGGACUGUCCGGCUUCCUAAGAGUAGUCAAGCCCAAAACCAGGCCAAAUUUGCACUUGUUGUGGAAGCCCAAUAGGCGUCACAACCAAUCACCCAUUAAAAGUCGAAACAGAUUGAGUCCAAAAGGGUUUGAUGAUCAGUCAUUAUGGUCCGACUAGUAAAUCAUAAACUAGUAACUUUUCUAAUUCAAUAAUCGAUUCGGUUUUGAAAAUAUUGCUUAUAACUUAGGUUGUUUCUUCAUUUUCUACCGAGAAUGUUGUCUUAUAAUGCAGGCAAACUAUCACCAAUGGAGAAAACAUAGAGAAAAGAAGAGUUUUAUUUUUCAAUUUGUUUAGCCAAUAAAUACCUUUCUUUAAUUUACUUUUCAAAUAUGAUGACGUUCAGAAAUUAGGAAAACUUGCCCAUGAAAAUAUAAAACUUGGGUCUGCUCUGGAUUAAAGAGAAAUCAGACUUGGCGGUACAUGGAUGUUUGCCCAAAUAUAUGAAAUUAAUUUAAGUGAAAUUAGGGGAAAAGUAUACUAAUACCUGGAUUCUAGCAUAUAGUAAUGGUUAGGCUGGGAACUUGAAAAUAAAUUUUUUGUUCUUUGGAACUGAAAUAAUUUUCAGUUGACAGAUUUUAUUAUUCGAAACAAUUUUAUGGAGAAUUUAUUCUUAAAACAUAAUAUUUUUUAAGAAUAUAUUGAAGGUGUUUUCUUAAAAUAUUAUAAGAAAUAAUUGAAAAUGUAAAGAAUAUUUUAAAUAUUUUUGCAUUAUACAAUAUUUUCAUGAAAAACAAAUCAAGAAAAUUGCUUUUUCAAUACAAUAUUUUUAAGAACUAUUUUUAUUUAUUUUUUAAAUGUUAUCUAAGAAAACCCUAUACCUAAAAAAAGUCGCCAUAAAGCAUAGAAACAAAACGGAGGCAUAAUACCUCCGGAGGCACUGUAGAAUUUUUCAGCAUAAAAAGGUUGUUGUUAUUCUGAUUUGUUAGGUCAGUCUAGGUAACAAAACCUAAGCUAUCCCUUGUAUAUUUCAUGACAUAAGUUUAAGUAAAGAGGUAUAAUUAGCAAAUGAUCAUUCUCUUCCCCUUACUUCCAUCCUCCUCACUGUCCUAAGAAAAAUUUAGCAUCUUCAACCUUGUACUGCGUGUGCUCUCGGGUCCUAUGGCUUUGUAUCUAAUCCCCAUUUGCAAAACGUUCAGUGCGUGAAGCCUAAGGGUCUGAACAAAAAAUCAUGGUAUAAAAUGUGAACCAACCAAAAGGCUUUAUCCAAUUCUUGUGGCCAUGCAAAGCCCUUCUCUUUCUCUGCCCCACUUUCCACCCACACCUCUCACUCCACCCCCCUCACCUCCUCUCUCUCUCUCACCUCCCACUUCUCCAUGGCCACCGCCGCUGCCACCAAGCUCACGCCCCAUCUCCUCUCUCUCUCCUCCCCCCUCCGUCGCCGGAAACCCCUGCUGCACCACCUCCCUCCGCCGCUGCCCCGGAAUGACCGUUCUUCUGCCUUAACACUGGGACUCUCUAGCCGGAGAAUUACUUGCAAGGCGAC